rnacentral:lncRNA from 1 species
UUCACUGAUGACAUUGUCAACGUACUAUGAAGUUGAAGGCUGAAGGAUAAAUACUAAGCAUGAAAGCAUGGUCAUGUGAAACUUGGAAUGGUAGAAAUGGAAAGCAGCAUGUGCCUCAGCAGUGCAAUUUUAUCUCUGUGUUUGUCAUGUAUGUGGUUGGGAGUACUGCCUUACAUUUCUAGUGCACCGACAGACACCAUCAAACCUGGGGAAGAGCUUCAAUUUUCAGAAAAAUUACUGGUUUCUGCAAAAGGGACUUUUACUCUAGGAUUCUUCAGCCUGGAAUCUGGCAGUUAUUUAGGAAUAUGGUUCACAAUUGAUGCUCAGAAGGAGAAAGUUUGGGUUGCUAACAGAGACAAGCCUAUAUCCGGUACAGAUGCAAACCUCACACUGGAUGCGGAUGGAAAAUUGAUGAUCAUGCAUAGUGGGGGUGAUCCAAUUGUCCUGAAUUCCAAUCAAGCAGCCAGAAACUCAACAGCUACUCUGCUUGAUUCUGGAAAUUUUGUUUUGGAAGAGUUCAAUUCGGAUAGAUCUGUGAAGGAGAAACUAUGGGAAAGUUUCGAUAAUCCUACAGACACCCUCCUGCCUGGGAUGAAACUAGGCAUCAACUUGAAAACCGGACAAAACUGGUCACUUGCUUCAUGGAUAAACGAACAAGUGCCUGCUCCUGGGACUUUUACUCUGGAAUGGAAUGGCACACAAUUGGUAAUGAAACGCCGAGGGGGCACCUACUGGAGCAGUGGAACCUUGAAAAAUAGGAGCUUUGAGUUCAUUCCUUGGUUGAGCUUUGACACUUGCAAUAACAUCUACAGUUUUAACAGUGUUGCUAAUGAAAACGAGAUUUACUUUAGCUAUUCGGUUCCAGAUGGAGUUGUUUCAGAGUGGGCAUUGAACUCGAGAGGAGGACUUUCUGACACUAAGGCUAUGUUUGGUUCCCAGAAAAUUUGAGGGAAAAUGCGAGGGAAAGAAAAUACAAAGGAAAAGUAGAAGGAAAGAAAAAGUGAAGGAAAAUAAAAAAAUAAAUUAAAAGUUGAUAAAUUAUUUUUUUUGUUACUUCAAACUCAUUUUAUUUAUUUUAACUCAUCAAUAUAAAGAUUAAAUAAUUUAAAAAUACAUAAAUUUUUAAUUAGUUUUAAUUAUAUUUGAUUUUCUUUGAUAUUUUUCAUAGGGCAACCAAACAUGAGAAAAUCAUUUUCUUUAUCAUUUUUUUUCUUUCCUUUGUACUUUCCGGGAACCAAACAUAGCCUAACAGACCUUUAUUUGUGACGGACGAUGUGUGUGAUGGGUUUGAGGAAUAUCCAGGGUGUGCAGUGCAAAACCCACCCACUUGCAGGACUAGAAAAGACGGAUUCAUGAAGCAAUCGGUUCAUAUAUCAGAAUCACCGUCAUCAAUAAAAGAAGAUUCGAGCUUGGGACCUAGUGAUUGUCAGGCCAUAUGCUGGAAUAAUUGUUCUUGUACUGCUUGUAAUACUAUAUACACUAACAGAACUGGAUGUCGGUUUUGGAGUACAAAAUUUACACAAACCUACGCGGGUGAUGCAAAUCGGGAGGCGCUCUAUGUUUUAUCCUCAUCACGAGUUACGGGUAAGUGUCUCUCUGUAUUUUCGUAUUCCUGAAAGUAACCAAGGCAAAGUAGUUGAUGAAUCCAACAUUUUUACUGAAUUUACAACCCUAAUAGGUGAUCAAAAAUUCAAAAUACCAUUAGAGGAGCUAUAUCAAGACCAUAAAAGACCCUCUCUCUUUCACUCAGUUCUGUUCUAAGCCACUAACCACAAAAUUUAUCAAUUUGUAUCUACGCAGGGAACAGUUGGUGGAUAUGGGUCAUUAUUGCAGGAGUGGUACUUGUGGUCCUGUUACUUAUGGGCUUCUUAUACUAUUUAAGGAGAAAAUCCAAAGUUAGUAUUUUAUUUUAACUUUUGCUGAUGAUAGUAAUGCCAUUUGUUAAUGGGUUGGAUAAUUGAACUUGUGACUUCUGGUAUAACAGGGGAGAGAAAAAUGGAGGAAGCUAUGCUGCAUGAAUUGGCAACUUCAAAUAGCUUUAGGCUCUGUUUGGUUCCCGGAAAAUGCUAAGGAAAGGAAAAAAAAUGUAAAGGAAAAUAGUUUUCUUUAGUUUGGAUGACAUGAAAAAUAAGGUGGAAAAAAAAUAUGAAGGAAAGUAUUAAAGAAAAUAUGGUAAUAUUUUCCCUAUUAUUUUCCUUAAAAAAUGACGAGGAAAAUAGGAGAAAAAGAGAAGGGCAAAGGGGGGGAAAAUUUUAUCGGGGGCUCUGUUCACCGCUUCAUCUUUCCUUUCCUCUUUAUCGGUGGCUAUGGCUUCUCACCGUCGUCGACCCUUUCAACGGCCACCACAAUCACUCCUAUCACCUUCCAGGGCCAAAAACGUACUCUUCAGGCACCCGAGUUCCCAUGGAUGAAGUGCGCUCUUCAAAUCAAGUUCUCAUUGAUGAAAUGGAUUCUUCAAAUCCAGUGAAUGUAUUCGGAUCCAUAUCUUCAGAUCAGGUAUGAAUUGAACUCCAAUCCAUCUCAUCUUGUGAAAACCCGGAACCCAAGGUAAUCGUUCUCUCUUGGGUUCUCUGUUUGGGUUUCUAGGUUGUUUUCGCCUUUCCCGUUUCUUAAAUUUCGCCAGAAUUUUUCUAAACUUUCUGGUUUGUUUUUUUCUAGAUUUGAUAUGAUUUUUACCCUUGAUAUUCUGCUAAAUGUUACACCGUUUCUUAAAUCACCUCAAUUGAUAUCAUUCCAAGGGAUUCCUAAAUGACUCUCUGUAUUUCUUGAUUUGCUUACAUUAUGAGUGUAAUUACAGAACUUAAGUUGUACAAUAAGCAUCAAUUGGUAGGCUAUGAUCAUUAUGACUCUCUAGGUUGUGAUUGGGGUUGUGUUUUCAAAUGGGAAGUGGGGAUUGUGAUUGGGGUUGUGUUUUCAAAUGGGAACUGGAAUACUCAGGUUUCAAAUGGCUGACAUAUUCUGGUGCAAUUAAUAACUCGUUAGUAUUAUGGGUGUCUUACUAGGUUUUUACGUCUCCAUUGUUGUAAUACUUGUCAAUUGUGAAGUUGAUCUGAAAUGAGUUAGAAUGGGACUUGACGAGAACUUUUAACAACUGACCAACUUGAUAUUCAACUAAGAGGAGAUGAGGGUAAAUCACAUUUGAUCAAUUAUGAGCUUUGUAAAAUGCAUACCCAAAAAAAUUUACAUUAAAGAUGAAUACCAGAUACUUGUGGCCUCCAAUUUGUAAAUACAGUUAGUGGAGAAUGUUGCUCAUAUCACUUACUUUUCCUCCAAGUUAUGAUUUGUCACAUUUUGAUCCAUAUGCGGAUCAUGUUAUUACCUUUCAUACAAGUAGGUAGUGAGAGAGGGUGGUAAAGAUGCAAUUUUCCUAAAUUAAUGUUUGACAAAGGGGACUGAUCAGUUUAAAUUGAUUGAACCCAGAAAUUUCAUAUUUCAGUCAUUUUGUCUGUUGCUUGAGAAUUGAGAAAACAGUAGACCCAAGUCAGCUAAUGGUCUGCCUCGGACACAGCUAUAGCGCAUUUGCUUAUGAAUCAAACUUAUAUACUGUGCNNNNNNNNNNNNNNNNNNNNNNNNNNNNNNNNNNNNNNNNNNNNNNNNNNNNNNNNNNNNNNNNNNNNNNNNNNNNNNNNNNNNNNNNNNNNNNNNNNNNUAGAUUCAUAUUUGAAUAUAUCUCAUGGUAAUUUUGAAUAUGCAUAUUUUCCCAUGUAAAGAUUCUUAUUGAUAGAACCAUGUUAGUAUUGGCCCUAUUGGGCAAUGAGAUUGGAAUUUUAUUUUAUUAUUCUAUAUCCUCAAAGGAUUGGUUUAGUAUGAGUUCUUAUAUGUAAAAGGGCUCUCUUACCUGGUCAUACACUCAGCAUUAGGCAUUAGGCAUGCUCGAAGGAAUUAAAUCUGAAUUUUAACUGAAAAGAUUCAAAUACAAACAUGGGAUUUUUCUAGAAUUGGAAAGAAAAUUUGUGUGAUUCAUCUGUUAGAUGUUUAUCAAUCUCAAUGAAAAAUAGGAUGGGAAAUCUACAGAAUUUAACAAACAGUUAAGAAUUUAGCACCGACAAUUACAAGGACAACUAGUAAGUAACUUCAUGAUGAAGGAAGAAAUACAGAGUGAAGAUAAGCAUAAAUAGGAAAAGGAAAAAUGAAACUAGAAAAAGCUGUGGAAAAAUUAAUGCUGUUUCCUGCAAUGAAAUACUCUUCUCUUAAUGCUAUUACAGUUGAUUGCUUCUGCUUUCCUUAAUAUUGGUAGAAUUCAGAUAUUGAGUAAUAACUAAAUUCCUUUUGGUUCUGGACACAACAUGGUUGAUUCUGCAAAACAUGCUUAGGAUAUCUCUUAAAGCAUGCUUAGGAUCAGCUUCAAGUUUAUAGGGAUAACAAAAUAUUAACUUUAGGUAAAGAAGUGAAAAAGCAAUCUUAGCAUCCCCCUUCAAGUUUGAAAAUACUAACAUGUUUUACAAUACUAAGUUAAGCAUUUAGGAUGAGUAAUAUUAUUUGUCAUGGUUUAACAUAGUAUAAGAGCUCUGAUUUUUAGUGUCUUCUGUUGUUUUUUUUAUCUUUCUAGUCUAGCAUGAUAUUAGAAUUUUGGGUUUUUAUUAUCUUUAAUCGGGUACCUAUUCAUCUGUUUUGUCUGCUUCUACACUUGAAGAAUUGAUAUUUUUUUUAUUUAUAAAAAUCAGAUUUUGAGAACUUAUCACAAAAAAUAUGAUAUUUUCUAAAAAUACAUUUCAUUCUCAGUUAUUUUAUUUUAAAAUUAUUUUUUUAAAAUAUAAAAAAUAAAUUGAGAACAUUUCAAAUUUUGAGAACUAUUCUUUGAGAGCUUUUUUAAAAAAAAUUGUUCUUUAUGGUGGAGUUUAAGCAGCAUUUAAAGAAAAUGAAAGACAUAAGUAUAAAGAAGCUUUAUAAAAAAAAAUCAAAAAAAUAUUUACUAGUAAUAUGUAAGGUGACCAAAACCAUAAGGCAACCUUGUUAGUUGAUUAAGUUACUAGUAAUCCUCAUGUCCCAUACGUAUACAUACUAUCCCAGUCUUAGUCUCAGUUCUACAUCUUCUUGGUGGUUCAGGAUACUAUCUUUGCAAAAUUAACAUGUGCUUACUUGGAUGCAACAGAGCAGCUUCAUAAGAACAACCACAUGGGGCCAAUAUUGAACCUGACCAGUACAAGCUUAGCUUGAAAUGCUGAGCCAUGUGGUGUCUCCCUUACUUUCCAAUCAUACACCCACUUGGGUCCUACCAUUUCUUCACAUUUCCUCUGUUCGAAAGGACACUGGAAUUAGGCUGCUCUAUGUUCACUUUUGUUUUUCGAAAGUUUCGUGUGAAAAUAUGAUUAAUUUUUUGAUUUGAUCAUAUGAAUCAUCUUCCUCAGUUGUAAAUGAAAUUAUUUUUGCAGAAUCAAAGGUUGGUUCUAUAAAAAUUAAGGCCCAUUCAGUUUAUCUACCAGAAAUACAAAAGAGAUAGAAACAAAAUAAACACCAAAAAUCAAGGCCAUGUUUGGGAUUGCUUCCUAACAUAGUUUUUUUUUUUUUUUUGUUGCAUUUGAACUAAAAUAGAGAUUCAUUUGAACUAAAAUAGUGUAUGGGUUUUCCAUUUCUUUUUACCUAAUUUACUUUUCUAUUAUUUGUGCAGGCAAAGCAAGUUCAUCCUGAUAAAAAUCCGAGUGACCCUUUGGCAGUUGAACGAUCUCAGGUAAGUUCACUUCUUUGUCAUUCAUUCAUCAUCUUCUUCUUAAUGCUCUACUCUCCUUCAUUCAUCCCAAAACCAAGUGGAGGACCAAGUAUUCUUAAGUAAUCAUGCAAAUUUCAGACUGAAUAAUGAACUUGGAAAGAGUUUCGUUUUGUUAUCAUGCUUUAAACUAGACAUUUCAACUCUAGUAAGGUCUGUUUUACCAUAAGUGGUAACUUGUCAUUAAUUUAACUAUCAUAAAUAGUCAUAAUCAAUCUUAGAUUAAGUUAAUUUAACUAUCACAUUUCAAGACUGAAUAAUGACUUUACUAAAUCAUUCCUCUUACUUUGCUAUCAUGUAGACUUAUAAUGAAGAGUGGCAAAGACUUAGAAGAUGGGCUGCAACUCAACUCCACACUGCAUCUUUUGGCUUGGCCUCUCUCUUCUUCUUUUCUCUUUCUUUUCAUAUUUAGCAGGCCAAGUUGAGAAAGACUAACAGGCUCUCGUUUGAAUUUGUGCAUUCCAGAUCUGUAUAAUUCUGGGAGUGAUAUUGAUGAUUUUAGCUCCCAUUGGUGCCCUGAGGCAGAUCAUCCUCCAAGCCAAGACCUUCGAAGUGUUCUCAUGAUGAUCUUCCCAUUGCAAAGAGGAUGGAUUUGAUUGAUUGGCUGAGAAGUUGAAUAAUGGUGCUUGUCCCAAGAGCCAAAUGAAACAGUUGGGUCUCGUCUUAAGAGUUCUAUAGUCUUCUGUUCUUUUUAUUUGCUUGUACAGUGCUCUGUUAAAUAUGUCACAUCAAAUAUUAAACACAAUGAAGCAUAUAAUAAUAUAUCCUCAAGCCUUAUGAUUAAAUGAAAUUAUUAUUAUUAUUAUUAUUAUUAGUAAAUAUGUUAGUUUAUAUCAUCACACUCCAUUUUAAAAUUGAUUUUUACAUUAUAUGAACAUAUUUUAUUUCUAAAUUUUGAUUCCGAAAAUCCUUUUGAAUUUUUUAAGAGCUUUUUAUUAGCUAUAAAUGUUUUCUUGAAAAUAAAAAAUAGUUAUUACUCGUAUAUUUUAUUUGUAUUACAUGAGAAAAAUUUUAUACACAAAUUUUAUAAUUAUUAAUAAAAAAUAAUAGCAGAGACUUUUUAUAAGUAAUGUUUUAUGUCGAAAAAUUUACGUUUUUUAACAGUUUUUUUUAUUGGAUUAAUUUAUUUUAUUAUUUAACAAAUUGAUAACCAUUUAAGAUAAAUUGUUGAUUUUAUUUUCCUUCCAUUUUUCCUUAACUUUUUUUUUUGUGGUUAACCAAACAAAAGAAAAUAAAUUCUUUUUUUUUCCCUUGAAUUUUCCAUAGAUAACCAAACAAGUGAAAAAAAUUAUAUUCAUUUCCUUACCUUUUUCUUUCCUUCCAUUUUUCCUUUCAAUUUUCUUUCUCUCGUAUUUUCCGGGAACCAAACAGAGCCUUAGUGAUUCAAAAGAUGUUGACCAUGAUGGAAAGACGGCUCAUGAUCUCAAACUGUUCAGUUUUGAUUCUAUUGUGGUUGCCUCAAAUAACUUUUCAUCUGAAAAUAAACUUGGAGAGGGCGGAUUUGGCCCAGUUUAUAAGGUAAUUAUAAUUUCAUUAGGCCAUAGCAUGUAAUAGGAAUAGGGCAUUCUUUGUUUAAGUACCCCAAUUAAAGCUUCCUUGUGGAUUAUUUUUGCAGGGGAAAUUACCUGAGGGGCAAGAAAUUGCAGUGAAGAGACUUUCAAGGGGCUCCGGACAAGGAUUGGUGGAGUUCAAGAAUGAGAUUAGACUGAUUGCCAGACUCCAACACAUGAAUCUUGUUAGACUUUUGGGUUGUUGCAUUAAGGGAGAAGAAAAGAUGUUAAUCUAUGAGUUCAUGCCCAACAAAAGCUUGGACUUCUUCCUCUUUGGUUUGAAUACUUCCCUUUUUUAUUCCUUUAAUCUGCUUAACUUUUCCUUAUGUUCUUUAUCCUUUUUUGCUUGAAACAAUUUACUAGUCGUGUUGUGUUCACCCAAAUUUUCAGAUCCUGCUUGAAGAAAGAUAUUGGAUUGGAAAAGACGUCACAAUAUCAUUGAGGGGAUUGCACAAGGACUUCUUUACUUGCAUAAAUAUUCAAGACUAAGAAUUAUUCAUAGAGAUCUAAAAGCAAGUAACAUCCUACUUGAUCAUGACUUGAACCCCAAAAUUUCUGAUUUUGGCAUGGCCAGAACUUUUGGGCGAAAUGCAUCAGAAGCAAAUACAAAUAGGAUUGUUGGAACAUAGUAAGCAUGACUUUUCCUUAUCUACUGCUUCUUUUUCAAUCUAGUGAAUUGAACCUUCUACUAUGGAUGCAGUGGUUACAUGCCCCCUGAGUAUGCCAUGGAAGGAAUUUUCUCAGUAAAAUCAGAUGUUUAUAGCUUUGGGGUGCUACUGUUGGAGAUUGUGAGUGGCCGGAAGAACAAGUGCUUUUAUCAUAAUGAUGGUGCCAUUACCAUAAACCUGGCAGGAUACGUAAGUCCGCUAAAUCUCAUAUUUGUCUCUACAUUAUUAUCAACACCUGGUGUAUCCUUCCAAAUUUUUCAUACUAACCUUGUAAGUAAAUCAACCCUAAAAUGAACUGGAAUCAGGCUUGGGAGCUAUGGAAAGAAGGUACUAGCUUGCAGCUAGUGGAUCCAAUGCUGGAGGAUUUCCACUCAUCAACCCAAAUGUUGAGAUGCAUUCAUAUUGCUCUCUUGUGUGUACAGGAGAGCGCAGCAGAUAGGCCUACAAUGUCAGCUGUUAUCUCCAUGCUCACCAACGAAACUGUGCCCCUACCAAACCCAAAUCUACCCGCAUUUUCCAUUCAUCAUGCAGUGUUAGAGCUAGAUUCACACAAAGGCGGGCCAGAGAGCUGUUCUGGAAGUGUAAACAUUUCAGAGAUGGAAGGUCGGUAAAGAAGAGAAUUUCAAGGGGGGAAAGGGAACCUAGAGAACAGCAGUUUUUGUCCUAACCUAUUAGCUAUUUGUCUAGAUUGAUUCGUAUUGGCAUCAUAUAUUUAUUAUAUAUAGAAUCAACUAGGUUUCCCUCAAGGUAAUCUUUUUUAAAACCUUUUUGAAUUUAUCAGAGCACAAUAGAAGCUGGUUUAGUAUCAUUUGAAACAUAGUUUGAAUCUAUAUUCUGCGGCUCAUUUAUGUUCAGUUAUUCAUUCUCAUUAUUGGGAAGGCAUCGGAUGGACUACGGCAUACGUUGGCAUCAAACAGAUGAUCAAAGCUAUGUUCUACGCCAUACGCAAAGAAGAGUACUCCAGACCACCAAAGUAGAAAGUAGAGAUAAUGUAUGACUGAUCCUCAUUCAAUUUGCAUAUACACCACCGGUUAACCAAACUUCAUCCUCCAUGCUUCAGGUAAUCCAUAGCCAAGUUCUUCUCCCACGCGCUGCAAGAGACGUAGGUCUUCAAAUCGAAAUGUCCACCUUCUCCUAAAGCGCAAGAUUUUAUUGAGAAUCAUCCCUUUCUGGAGGCCAUCUCUACCGCCUCAUCUACGCCAACUCAGAAAUUCAAAUCAUGAAAGGCUGAAAGCCCAUGUUAUGGGUUCCAACAUCCCCACCCCCCCACUUACAAAAUUUGCACACAUACAUAAAAGCUUAUAUAUUCAAGCGACACCUAUCCCCACAUCACCAUGAUGCCAAAGUUAACUCUUUGCCCAUUUCCAGCCAAAAAGGAGACAACCUAUAUAAGGAACUCCUCAUCAGCCAUGGUUUGAAGUAUUGGCAAAGACUGGCACUGCUCAGCCAAGUCGUAUUUGCCUUGACCAUGACCAUGAUCAAUCCAAGAUAAAAUUUGAGAAUUUUACAGUUGAUAAUGACUCGGUUUCAUACUUAAUUCAACCAACUCCAACUCACAACUCUACAACUCUAAUUCAAUGGAAAUAGGAGUAAACAAAAUUUGAGAAUCUCUACAUGUCCAAAAGUGAACACAUCUAAAUUAUCAAACCUAAGCUUUUUAGAGUAAGGGAGGCAAGAAUCACAAACAUGAUUACUAAAGGCAAACAACAUAAAAGGAUAGAAAAGUCAUGCAAUUCUAGUAAGUUUAGGAUGUCAUGAUCCUCAUGUGUUAAUCAAGUGAACAAAUGAGGAAAUGGUACAUCAAAGGCACAUAAGGAUAUAUCCAUUUAAUACCAAUUUUAUCCUCAUCCUCAUGUUUCAAUUUCAACCUCUUAUCAUCCCAAUGAAAUUGCCAUUUUGUGAACCUAUAUUUUUUAUUUAUGUUUCCGGUCAAAUAACAAAAUUUGGACUCUGAAAAAUUUAUUAUGAAAACUAAUUUUUUUAUUCUCUUUUGAGGCUGCCUUUAAUUUUAUUCAUUUUUAAAACAAUAAAGAAAACAAAAUUUAAAAAAUAAAAUCUUGUUUGACUCCAUAGAGGAAAAGCUAGUCUAGAAAUGAGAAUGGAUAUGGAAGCACUCAUCUAAGUUCUCACAUUAUUUGGUCUCUAUUAGUGAGCUAAGACAUGAUCUGAAAUUUGAUUUAGUUUACAUAAUCUUGCAAAAUUAGUUAUAAAUUUUAUUACCAUUAAUACAAAAAAUUUGUCACGAGAUACAAAAAUUUGAUUCAAUUAAUUUUUUUUUUUUAAAAAUCAUUUUAUGAUUUUAGUAAUUAAUAUAAAAAUUAGCAUAUAGACUAAAAAAUAUAAUUUAAUUUAUUUCUUAAAAAAUUAAUAAAUAAAGUAUUUUUCUGAUUUUAUUAAUGUCAAUUUAUAAAGAAUUAAUAUAUAAAAAAAUUUGUGCCACAUAACCUUAAAAAAUUAAUUUAUAAAAUAAGUUUCUCGUUUUUAUUAAUUUACAAAAAGAAAUAAAAAAAAUUCUAAUUUAUUUCACACAAUCUCACCAAAUUAAUUUCCAAAGUGAUUUUCUGAUUUAUUUUAUUAACAUUAAUAUAGAAGGAAAAGUUUAAAUUUAGAUCCAUUCAAUCUUACCAAAUAAAUUUAUAAAGUAAUUUUAUUUUAUUUUUUUCAAAUUUACUAAAAUUAAUAUAUGGAAAAGAAUUGAUUUAGUAUUUAUCAACUUUACAAUUAAUUGGUAAAACAAAUUAUGUCAUUAUCAAUAUGAAUUUAUAAAAGAUUAAUAUAUCAAAUACAAAUAAAAUAAAUAAAUAAAAUUUUGAUUGAAUAUUUAAUAGUUUACAAUUAAAAUUCAAAGUGAACUAUUUAAAAUUCAAAUUCCUCUCUCAUUUUUUAAAUUGAACCAUAAAUGUACAUUGAAAAGUUAAAAUAAAAUAAAAAAUAAAAAAGGGAAAAAUUAAAUAAAUAAAUAUAAUUAAAAUAAAAAUAAAAACAGAAAUAAAUAAACAUGUUUGGGUCAAGAGUGAGUGGACCUACUCUGUAUUGGAGGAAAAUUAAAUGGGCUUAAAUUUGGCCCAAAGUGAAUGUGCCUACAAUGUCAUGGGUUAGGAUAAAUUUGGGUUCUACACAUUUAGACUAUGCUUGCUUCCUAGAAAAGUAGAAAAGUUGGUGGGAAAAAUAAAAGGAAAGAAAAAAGAAAAAGGAAAUAAAAAAAUAAUUUAAAGUCAAUAAUUUUUUUUUAUAUCAUACCUUAAAUUCAAUUCACUUAUUUAGCUAUUCUAUAUAAAGAUUAAAUAAUUUAAAAAUAUGAAAAUUUCUUGCUAAUUUUUAUUACAUUUGACUUUCUUUAUUAUUUUUCAUGUUGAAACCAAAUUAAAAAAAAAAUUUAUAUAUUUUUUUUCCUUUCUAAUUAUUUUUUGGAACAAACCAUAGUCUAACUAUUAUGCAUAUAUUCCUAUAUUAACAACUGGUUGUUUGAGAUAACUUAUUUUAAAAUUUUUCUAAGAGAUGAAGUAAAUGUCAAAAUUUUAAAGGGUAAUAGCUGUUACUUUAACAAUUUGAGGGGCUUUUUUUAAAUAAAAGAAAAAAUUUAUACCGCAACUUUAAAAAAUAAUUCUUAAAAAAUGAUAGUUGGACAAAUAUUGACUGAUUUACGGCACUUUUCGCCACGUGGAAUGUGUCUUUUGAAGAGACAGCUUCCAUAAUUUUCAAAUAUUGAUAUUCACUAGAAGAAUUGAAUUUAAACUAAAGGUGUCUUUCAAAGAGACACCUUCUAGAAUUUCAAAAAAUUAGAUUUAUACUAAAAGUAUCUCUUAAAAAGACAUUUUCCACAAUUCCACAAAAUCUAAUAUAUACUAUAAAUGUCUCUUAAAUUUGAUUUUAUAUUAAAAAAAUUAGAUUUAUACUAAAAAUAUCUCUUCAAGAGACACUUUCCACAAUUUCAUAAAAUUCAAUAUAUAUUAAAAAUGUCUCUAAAAGAAACACCUUUCACAAUUUCACAAGUUUUAAUUUAUACUACAAGUGUCUCUUGGAUUUGAUUUUAUAUUGAAAGAGACACCUUCUGCAAUUCCAAAAAAUUUGGAUUUAUACUAAAAUGUCUCUUAAAGAAACAUUUGCCACAAUUUAAAAAAUUCCAAUAUAUACUAAAGGUGUCUUGAAUUUUAAAUUUCAUCUUCAACAAAUUCAAAAAAUAUUAAUUUAUACUAGAAGUGUUUCUCAAAUUUGAUUUUAUAUAGUUGUCCUUUUAAAAAAUACAUUUAGUAUAUAUUGGAUUUUGUGAAAUUGUAGAAGGUGCCUCUUUAAGAAACACCUUUAAUAUAAAUUCAAAAUUUUUUUGAAUUAUAGAAAGUGUUUACCUUCAAUAUACAAUCAAAAUCAAGAGACACUUGUAAUAUAAAUUAAAAUUUGUGAAAUUGUGGAAGGCGUAGAGUUUAGUAUAAAUUGGACUUUUUUUGGAAUGGUGGAAAUUGUUUUUUCAAGAGAAACCUUCUACUAUAAAUCCAAUUUUGUGGAAUUGUAGAAAGUGUCUCUUGAAGAGACACCUUUAGUUUAAAUUCAAUUAUUUUAAGUAUAUAUCGUAGAUUUAAAAAUUGUAGAAGAUGUCUCUUCAAGAGACACCUUCAAUAUAACAUCAAAUUCAAGAGAUAUGGAAAUAGGUUGCAUCAAAAAAAGUAAAAAUAUGAUAUAGUUUUUUUUCCACACCUCUCCUACAUGUCCAAAAAUGCCAUAAAUUUGGAAUUAUUUUCCAAUUUACGAUAUUUUAGAAAAUAAUUUUUAAAGGGAAAGUUGUGAUUUGGGCUUCCCAUCCCAACAUAAUAGCAUUUUAGAAUCCCAACAAUGGGAAAUAUGAGAAUCAACUUUUAACAUGAAAAGUAUUGUCAUUUUUGUGCACUCUGAGCCAACUCCAUCUUCUGUGCCCAAAUGGCCCCUUUGUUUCUCUAACUUAGCAUCCUCAACAUCAUCUUAACAACCCAAAAUUUCUCUCAUUUUAGUUUAGAAACUCAACUCCAAAACUCCAAGGCAGUGUCAAAACACGUCUUUCAGCUCAUCUAGGAGCCAUGUGAGUAAAAAAGAAUCUAGGAAAACUGAAAUGGAGCUUGGGUGGAGAGAGUAGAAACCUAAAAAAUCAAAACCCUAACCUCCAAACAGGUCCUAGACUUGAAAAUCUGUGUCCAAGAUGGAUCGGCAAGAAAUAACACCAAACAUCUGUUCUAGACCACUAAAUCGGUGAAGCCCUUGAAGAACCGGAGGAAAUAAUGCAAAAAAUGAAACGUAGGAGACUUUUAAAGUAUUGGGUCCCAACGAACCGGUCAAUUGAUCCUAGACCAAUCAUCUUUGGCAUUUUAGUAACUGUACCUUAGGUACUACCUUAAUAGCCUUUAGAUACUAGCUUAAUCUACUUUAGGUACUACCUUAACCUACCUUAGUUAAACCUGCAUCUUACCUGUGUGAAGGCUUAAAAAUUCAUUUGUGGAUAUUAAUUAAUUCAUUUGUGACCCUUAGAGCAUGUCAUUAUGUGAUUAAUUAGUGUGGCCAAUUGGUUCACCUUUGGUAUUUUGGGGACUAUACCUUAGGUACUACCUUAAUAGCCCUUAAGUACUACCUUAAUCGACCUUAGGUACUACCUUAAUAAAAAUUGGGUACUACCUAUUUGAAGCCUCAGAAGUUCAUUUGUAGAUAUUACUUACUUCAUUUGUGACCCUUACAGCAUACCAUAAUAUGAUUAAUUAGUGUGAUUAAUUAGCAUACCAUUAGAACAUGAUCUAAGGGCCAUAAAUGAAUUAAUUAAUAUCCACAAAUGAAGUUUUGAGGCUUCAAAUAGGUAGUACCCAAGUUUUAUUAUGAUAGUACCUAAGGUCAGUUAAGGUAGUACCUAAGGUAGAUUAAGGUGAUACAUAAGGACUAUUAAGGUAGUACCUAAGGUAUAGUUAUCGAAAUAUCAAAGGCGAACCAAUUGACCAUACUAAUUAAUCACAUAAUGGCAUACUCUAAGGGUCACAAAUGAAGUAAUAUCCACAAAUGAAGUUUUGAGGCUUUAGAUAGGUAGUACCCAAUUUUUACUAAGGUAGUACCUAAAGUCAGUUAAGAUAGUACCUAAGGUAGAUUAAGCUAGUACCUAAGGGCUAUUAAGGUAGUACUUAAGGUGCAAUCACCAAAAUACCAAAGGCAAUCGAUCGAGGACUGGUCGACCAGUUUGUCAGAACCCAAUACUUUAAGAGUCUUCCACACUUCAUUUUUUGCACUGUUUUCUUUGGUUUUUCAAGGGCUUCAUCAAUUAAGUGGUCUAGGAGAGAUGUUUGGUGUUAUUUCUUGCUAAUAGAGCUAUCUUGGACACGAAUUUGCGAGUAUAGGACGCAUUUGGAGGUUAAGUGUAGACCCCUCUUAGGCCAAGGGGUAUUGUUGGGCACUUGGUGAGCUAGGCAUUUUAUUUGAGGAUUGGGGAACAACUUUCCAUGAAGAAGCUGCUAAGACAUGUGACAAAAGAUGUGACCACCUUGCCAUGGUGGUGGUUGAAGCAGGUAAGAAAAGAAAACAGAGAAGUACCGUGGAGCUGGGUGACGGGAGACUUUUUGGGGAGUGGUAGUUGUAGGAAAGAAGAAGCAGAGGUUUUGAGAGGAUGUGAGGAAAGAAGGGUUGGGAGAGAAAAAUGGAGGAAGUUUUUUAGAUAGAGGUUUGGAAGGGGGUGUGAGAAAGGAAAAUAGAGCAAGAGAGGUGGAGAGGAAAAACAAAAAGCUGGACUGAGAUGAGGGGAUGAGCCGAGGGAGGGGUGGUCCAUGGGUGCUUCGUUUUGGAAAGAUUGAGAAAGAGUGAGCUAGGUAGAAAAAUAGGGUUGCAAAAACAUGGGAUGAUCGAUUGGUUUUGGAGGAGAAAGGAUAGUUGGACCCACGAGUUUAGGUUCUAAUAUGAAUGACAUAUGUGGAGUGGAUUGGGUGUAUGGAGGUAGUGAUCAUGGUGAUCCAGAUUUAACACAAGCCAUUUCCCACUUGAAAUAGACCACCAAAUUCUCCACCCCCUAGUUGUAUUUGGCCACAUGCAUAAAGAGCUGGCACAUGGAAAUGGCCACAGUAAAAUGAUUGUUGUUGGGAAAGAUGACACCACAUGCCUUUGGUGGGCCAUCCUUGAAGCACAUGCCCUUAUCUUUUUCUUUUUCUUUUUUUUUUAUUCUUUAUCCUCACAUGUCAAAGUUUGAUUUUUGCAAAUUUCUUUUAAAUGAUUUUCAAAAUUCCAGUUUUUCAAAUAAUCUUAUUUCCAUUCCAAUUUGCAAAUUUAAAUUUCAAAAAAAAAAUUCCAUUCUCAAUAAUUUUUCAAAAUUCCAAUUUUUAAAACUUUAAUCUUCGAAUAAUUUUCCAAAAUUCUAAUUUCCAAAUUUAAUUUUUAAAACUUCAAUUUUCAAAUAAUUUUUCAAAAUUCCAUUUUCAAAUCAUUUUCAAAACUCUAAUUUUUAAAUUUCAUUAUCAAAACUUUAAUUUUCAAAUUUAAUUUUCAAAACUCUAAUUUUCAAAACUCCAAUUUUCAAAAAUUCAAUUUUCAAAUAAUUUUAAAAACUCUAGUUUUCUUUUAAAUAAUUUUAAUUUCACUCCAAUUUUCAAAUAUUUUUAAUUCUACAGUUUUUCAUCCUUUAUUAGGGUUUUGGAUAAAAAAUAAUCUCAUUUUUAAUAAACUUGCUACAUUUUCCUUCAGUUAAGCACUUUCACAAAUUUUCUUUGAUUUUCAAAUAAUUUUUGUUUCUCUUGAUUUUAAAUAAGUAUGAAUAUGAUUUUCAUAAUUCAAAAAAAUAAAAUGGAAUUUAUGAGAUUAAUUCAUGCAAAAUCAAUUGGCCUUUGGUAGGAGCCCUACAUAUGAGUUUUUCCUUCUAAUUGUCAAUUGUUAUGCUUAAUGAAUAUUAUUUGAACUUUGUCUUACUUUUUGAUAUGCAUGUGAUAAUUUUAUACUUGAGCUACAUUUGUUUCCGUGAUAGCGCACUAUUUCUUAUUGCUAAGGUACGCUCUCACUCUCACUUUGUUUAUUUAUUCAUUAUCAUGACUUACUUUUAAUCUAUGAUAAUUUUGGUAUCCAUUGAUUUCCUAAUUAAGUAUCACACUUGCUUCAUCUUAUUUAGUAGAAACCCAUUUUUUAGGGACUUAGAGGGGUGCUACAAUCUUUUAACGUACCUUCCCUAUAAGUAACUUGACCCCUGAACCUGACUUUGGUUUUUCACAUACCUGUGUUUCCUUCAGGAGUCACACUUAGUGUUUUUCUUUCUUGUUUUGUUUUUUUCUUUUUUUAAAAAAUAUAAAACAAAAAUAAGUGGUGACUCCAAGUAUUUUCUAAAAAUCAUAAUUUUUCACAAAUAAAUGAAAAGCGAGUGUUGUCAUCGAGUGGGAAUGCAUCGUGCGAAAUGUGGGGUUUGCAUUAGGGUUUCGAUUUUUUUUGGUACUUGCUCUCUCUACUCAAGCUCCAUUUCGUUUUUUCUCAUAUUCUGUUGGACUCCCAUGGCUCCUAGACGAACCAAAAGGCAUGUUUUGACACUGCCUUGGAGUUUUGGAUUUGGAUUUCUAAACUAAAAUUAGAGAAAUUUUGGGUUGUUGGGAGUGAAGAAAGAUGAGAGAAAGCUUCCAAAUGAGAGAGGGUGACCUAGAGGUUGGGAUGAUGCUGAGGAUGUUGAGCUGGAAAAACGGAGGGGCAAUUUAGGCACAAAAGAUGGAGCCGACUCAAAGUACACAAAAAUGAUAAUGCUUUUCAUAUUAAAAGUUGAUUCUCAUAUUUCCUAUUGUUGGGUUUUGAAAAUGCUAUUAUGUUGAGAUGAGAAACCUAAAGUACAACUUUCCCAUUUUUAAAAAGUCCAUACAUUUAUCAAAAAUUCCCAAUUUGAGUUGUAAGACCCAACACUCGAUGGGGAGCAUUAUGAUUAUGAGGAGGUUGCCUUGUUGACAUUGUAAGAUUCUUUCCACUUGACGAGUCACCACUGUCAGCACCAAAGCUCCACCCCCCAAUAAUGCUCAAUUUUUAGGAAAAUUAGGUAAGUAAAUCCUAAAUCAUGCCCUCAUCCUUCAGUGGUUUCUCCUCUUAUUUGCGAAUGGGUUAGAGGUUGGGUUUUUUCUUCUUUAUCUUGUAAUGUGUCUGUUUGGAAGGGCCUUGCUCUUGUAAUGCACACACACACAAAGAAUUAAUAUAUAUAUAUAUAUAUAUAUAUAUAUAUAUAUAUAUAUAUAUAUAUAUAUAUAUAUAUAAAUUGUGCCACAUAACCUUAAAAAAAUAAUUUAUAAAAUAAUUUUCUCGUUUUAUUAAUAUACAAAAAGAAAUAAAAAAAAAUCUAAUUUAUUUCACGCAAUCUCACCAAAUUAAUUUCCAAAGUGAUUUUUUGAUUUUUACAACAUUAAUAUAGAGGUAAAAAUUUUAAUUUUAGAUCCAUUCAAUCUUACCAAAUAAAUUUAUAAAGUAAUUUUCUUUUCCUUUUUUCAAAUUUACUAACAUUAAUAUAUGGAAAAUAAUUGAUUUAUUAUUUAUCAACUUUACAAUUAAUUGGUAAAAAAAUUUACAUCAUUAUCAAUAUAAAUCUAUAAAAGAUUAAAUAUCAAAUAAAAAUAAAAUAAAUAAAUAAAAUUUUGAUUUAAUAUUUAAUAGUUUACAAUUAAAAUUCAAAGUGAACUAUUUAAAAUUCAGAUUGUGCCAUGGGUGAAUGUGCCUACAAUGUCAUGGAUUAGAAUAAAUUUGGGUUCUAUGCAUUUAAACUAUGUUUGAUUCCCGGAAAGUUUAAGGAAAAAUAUAAGGGAAAGAAAAUAGAAAACAAAAGUAGAAGGAAAGAAAAAAGUGAAAUAAAAUAAAAAAUAAAUUAAAAAUUAAUAAAUUAAUUUUAUAUCCUACCUCAAAUUCAAUUCACUUAUUUAUCUCCUUUAUAUAAUGAUUAAAUAAUUUAAAAAUAUAAUUUUUUUUUACUAAUUUUAAUUAUAUUUUACUUUCUUUAUUAUUUUCCAUACUAAAACCAAACAUAGAAAAAUUAUUUGUUUCUUUGCAUUUAUUUUCUUUUCUUAGUACUUUCUAAUAAUCAAACAUAGCCUUAGUAUUAUGCAUAUAUUCUUACACAAACAAUUGGCUAUUUGAGAUAACUUAUUUUUAAAAAUUUCUAAGAGAUGAAGUCAAUAUCAAAAUUUUAAAGGGAUAAUCUUAUUAUUAUAAAUUUUUUUAUUAAAUAUAAAGCUACUUCCAUGAAUAAAAAGAAGAAAAAAAUUAUGAGAAGUAGCUUCAAUUUCUUUCUUUUAUUUUUGUUUUGUUAAGCUUUUUUAAUUUUAAAGUUACCAAUAAAUACAAUAUGUGUUGUACGUGUGAAAAUAAUAACUUAAUGUAUUUAGACCACUUUUAAUAUAUGAAAUUCUACAAUAGGAAUAGGAAUGUAAGUGUGAUUUAUUAGUGGUCCUAAUCGUGUGCGUGCACGGGCGGAGCCGCCUUGUUGUGCCCAGGAGGGGCGGCUUUGGAAAAAAGGAACUUCAUGAGUGCCUACAGCGAGGGUGGGGUAGGCGAUCAGGAUAAGAGCUGGAGCUUGCCUUCAAAAAGAUGGGUCGGCGGUCAAGUUAACAGCUGGAGCUUGUCUUCAAUAAUGGUGGGGUGGAUUCCGUGGAGGCUUUUGCCGAUGUAAAACUACAAGACCUUAAAACCUGUAUAACACUGAUCAAAGUAUUGAAGGCACGCUUGUUUUGUGCCUAAGAAAAAGCAUGGCGUCCUCUCUGUCCUGUCCAGGCAACUCCUUGACCCAGUCAAAAACCCUCUAUGCAAAUCAAAAGGUUAUGUUCAUAUACAGAGAGAAAGAAAGGGAAAUAAAAACGAAGCCUGUUGAACGUCCUUCCACCGGGUCACCUUAUACAAAGAACAUUGCCCACGUGGUCACACGAGUAGGUGAAGGAUGGAUCCAUACAAAGGCAUAUAGAAAAUGAAACUUGGAUUCAAACAAGUCUUUUGAGUUACAACUAAUAUAUGGAAAAGAAUUGAUUUAGUAUUUAUCAACUUUACAAUUAAUUUGUAAAACAAAUUAUGUCAUUAUCAAUAUGAAUUUGUAAAAGAUUAAUAUAUCAAAUACAAAUAAAAUGAAUAAAUAAAAUUUCAAUUCAGUAUUUAAUAGUUUACAAUUAAAAUUCAAAGUGAACUAUUUAAAAUUCAAAUUCCUCUCUCAUUUUUAAAUUGAACUAUAAAUGUACAUUAAAAAGUUUAAAAAUUAAAAUUUAAAAUUAAAUAAAUAAAUAGAAGUAAAAUAAAAAUAAAAACAGAAAUAAAUAUACAUAUUUCGGCUAAGAGUGAGUGGACCUACUCUGUAUCCGAGGAAAAAUAAAUGGGCUUAAAAUUGGCUCAAAGUGAAUGGUCAAGAAUGAAUGUGCCUAUGAUGUCAUGGGUUAGGAUAAAUUUGGGUUCCAUAGAGUAUAUUUGCUUCCCCAAAGUUUGGGGGAAAAUGCGAGGCCAAAAAAUGAAAGAAGAAAAAUGAAAGAAAAAUAAAUAAAGUAAAAAAUAUAUAUUUAAAAUUAAUAAAUUAUUUUUAUAUCUUACCUCAAAUUCAAUUCAUUUAUAUGUCUUUUAUAUAAAUAUUAAAUAAUUUAAAAAUAUAAAAAUUUCUUACUAAUUUUUAUUACAUUUGACUUUUUUAUUAUUAACUAAGCAUAAAAAAAUAAGAAAAAAAUAUAAAAUUAUUUUUUUAAUAUUAUUUUUCUUUUCUUAGUGUUUUUGGAACCACACAUAGUUUUAGUAUAAUGCAUAUAUUCUUACAUAAAUGGUAUCUUAUUUCAUUACUAGUGGGUGGACUUUUGUGGUGACUAGUCAAGUAUACUGAAUCUUACAAUGCCGACCUCGAUAAGGUAACCCCCUCACACUUAGAAUGCUCAAUUUUUAGGAAACUCAAGUAAAUCCUAAAUCAUGUACUCAUCCUUUGGUGAUUUCUCCUCUUACUUGCGAAUGGGUCAGGGGUUCGGUUUUUUCUUCUUUAUCUUGUCAUGUGUCUGUUUGGGAGGGCCUUGCUUUUGUAGUGCACACACAGACAGCAUCAAACCUGGGGAAGGGCUUCAAUUCUCGAAGCUACUGGUUUCGGCACAAGGGACUUUCACACUGGGGUUCUUUAUCUUGGACACCCGCAGUUAUUUAGGAAUCUGGUACACAAGUGAUGUUAACAACAAGAAAGUUUGGGUUGCUAACAGAGACAACCCUAUAUCUGGCACCAACGCAAAUCUCAUGCUGGAUGGCAAUGGAACAUUGAUGAUCAUUCACAGUGGGGGUGAUCCAAUUGUCUUGAAUUCCAAUCAAGCAUCCAGAAACUCCAUAGCUACCUUGCUUGAUUCUGGAAAUUUUGUUGUGUCAGCGUUAAAUUCAGAUGGAUCUGUGAAGCAGACACUAUGGGAAAGUUUCGAUGAUCCUACAGACACGCUCCUGCCUGGGAUGAAACUAGGCAUCAACUUGAAAACCGGGAAAAACUGGUCACUUGCUUCGUGGAUAAACGAACUGAUGGGAUAAACGCAAACAAUGCACAACCAGAUUUUAUCCCCUCUUGUGAGAACCUAAUAGGAAUCAAUUUAAUAGAGUAACAACAAUUCACCCAAUGCAACAAGAAUAUGAAUACCAACAAUUUUUAGCGUGGAAAACCUUCCCAAAUGUGAGAAGUAAAAACCACGGGACCCUUAGGCCACUUAAACCCUCCACUAAUAUAAUCAAUGGGUUACACAAUUCUCUCUAGAUGAAACUAGAGGUUUACAUCAGCCAUAUCUCAAGACAAUUAGUCUUGGCAAAUACAAAACAACUUGCAUAAAACAAUGGAGAGAUCUCACCAAAACAGAGUCACUGUUCCCGGACACAAAUCACCACUGUUCCAAACUCCAAAUCCAAUCUCCACCGUUCAAAAUGAAGAUCAAUGAGUUAAGAACGUGCUAGCCAAAAAUCAUCUCGAUCAGACCACGGAUUAAUCUCGAUCAAGGCUGAAUAUCAGAACUGCCCGGGUGAGAAGAAAUCAGCAACAAAGACGCACUGUUCACGGACUGAAACAACAACCUUCCGAAACUCCAAAUCCGAUCUCCACCGUUCAGAUUAGAGAUCAAUGUGUUGAAAAUCUCUCCUUCAAAUUUCAGGUCGAUCGGACCACACACGAAGCGGGAUCGGCCGUUUGAUGAAAUCUGGACAGUAAAGAGAAGAAAAGAAAUUAGCGUUUUUCUUCUCUCUAACUUCAAAAAAUCAGUGGCUUUGGUCCUUUUUCUCUCCAACUUUCUCUUCUUUUUUCUUCUUACUCUCCUCCUAGGGUUGCAAAGAUGAAGAAGAAGAAGAGAAAAUGGUUUCUUCUUCCCUUUUAUACAUUAAGGCCUAAGAAGCCUUAUAUGUUUGGGCUUUGGGCUUUCCUCCACAAGAAGGAAAUAACCCAACCCAACACGAACAAGUGCCUGAUCCUGGGACUUUCACUCUAGAAUGGAAUGACACACAAUUGGUAAUGAAACGCCGAGGGGACAUCUACUGGAGCAGUGGAAUUCUGAAAGAUCGGAGUUUUGAGUUCAUUCAAACUCACCAUAACAUCUACUAUUUCAUCAGUGUUUGUAAUGACAACGAGAUCUACUUCAGCUAUUCAGUUCAAGACGGAGCUAUUUCAAAGUGGGUAUUGAACUGGAGAGGGGGAUUUUUUGACACUUACGGAACUCUAUUCGUGAAGGAAGACAUGUGUGAUCGUUAUGGCAAAUAUCCAGGGUGUGCAGUGCAAGAGCCACCCACUUGCAGGACUAGAGACUUCCAAUUCAUGAAGCAAUCGGUUCUCAAUUCAGGAUAUCCAUCAUUAAUGAACAUAGAUACGAGCUUGGGCCUUAGUGAUUGUCAGGCUAUAUGCAGGAACAAUUGUUCUUGUACUGCUUGUAAUACUGUAUUCACCAAUGGAACUGGAUGUCAGUUUUGGAGGGAUGAAUUGCCACGAGCCCAAGUGGGUGAUGCAAAUCAGGAGGAGCUCUACGUUUUGUCCUCAUCAGAAGACAUAGGUAAGAGGCUCUAUGUAUUGCAUUCCGAGAAGUAGCCAAAACAAAGUACUUGGUAAAUCUCACAUCUUCAUCGAAUUUACAAUCCUACAAAAAAAGUCCUACUGUAUAAUCGUCUACCAUUAGAGGACCUAUAGCAAAACCAUUAAAGACCCUCUCUCUCUCUCUCUCUCUCUCUCUCGUUCUGCUCUAACAAUAAAAUUUAUUAACUUCUACCUAUGCAGGGAAGCCUUGGUGGAUAUGGAUUAUCAUUCUCGUUGUAGUAGUAUUUCUGUUCAUGUUAGCUGUCUUUUGUUGUUCACAGAGAAACUCCAGAGGUAGUAUUUUAACUUUUGUAGAUAAUAGCAAUGCCAUUUGUUAAUGGGUUGGAUAAUUGGACUUGUGGCUUCUGGUAUAACAGGGAGAGUAAGGAGAGAAGUUCAGUUACAUGAAGUUGGGCCUUCUGGUACAACAGGGGAUAGAGAGGGGAAGAAAGGUCAGCCACGUGAUGUUGUGGUUCCUGGUGGUAAAACAGCGGAUAAAAAAAAGAAGAAAGUUACGUUCCUGUUGCGUACAGACGAGUGACGAGAGGCCUGAAAUCUCAGAUGUUUGCUCCAUGCUUAACAGCAAAACUGGGGACCUACCCAACCCAAAUCCACCCCCAUUUUGCACUUAAGGCGAGCCAGGGAGUUGUUCUGCUCUGCUACUUGAGAGAUGGAAGGCGGGUCAAGAUGAGAUGAGAAUUUGAUUCCCUCGUUGUAAGCUUUUCUUUAUUUACGUUUUGUUAAUUUAUAAUAAGAUGACAACUGAACUGAAGCUAGUUUUGUGAUCAUUUGGAACAUAUUUGUACCCAUGUAUUCUGGAGCUCUAUUUGCCCUUUUGCUCUCCAAAACAUCUUAUGAUAUACGUCUAUCUAUAUCCAUCUCAGCCAAAGUAGGCCAUAUAUAUGUUCUAUAAUUCAUUAUUUGCCAUUGAAUAGAUGAUCAAAACACAAGGUGGCAACAGUGUGCAUGUGAUUUAUGUCUUACAGUCAAGAGGAAAUCUACUCACAGUAAAAUUAUUCAAACAUUACUUAACAUCAACUAAGCAGACUAAAACAUAGAAACAUGAUUUAUAACAUUUGUCACCCGUCACAGAAAGAUAAAUGUCUUCAUGAGGAUGCAUAAUAUAAAUAGCUUGAAGGUUGCUUCCCAAACUUUUAAUACCAGAGCAUGCAUCUAAGCAACAAGCAGAAAACAUCAUCCUAGCCACUCAACAGGCCAGAUUAUCAAUGAAAUCUGAAACUGAGAACCUCGUAGGUAUAACAUCCUUCAACCAGUUAUACUAGGACCUCAAAACCCUUUAUGCAAAUCAAAAGGUUUCAGUUGAUUAUACAUUAUUUUCCUAAACUUCAAUACAUGGGAUAUUCAAAUUAUUAUUUAUGCUAAGGUCUAGUUGUCCAUUUUUGGACAGAUAUGUUCAUAUACAGAGAGAAAGAAAGGGAAAUAAAAACGAAGCCUGUUGAACGUCCUUCCACCCGGUCACCUUAUACAAAGAAGAAACUUGGAUUCAAACAAGUCUUUUGAGUUACAACUUAUACGCAAUGAUCCAAAGUGAUUUUCUGAUUUAUUUUAUUUUAUUUUACUAACAUUACUAUAGAAGGAAAAGUUUUAAUUUUACAUCCAUUCAAUCUUACCAAAUAAAUUUUUAUUUUCAAAUUUACUAAUAAUGGAAAAGAAUUGAUUUAGUAUUUAUCAACUUUACAAUUAAUUUGUAAAACAAAUUAUGUCAUUAUCAAUAUGAAUUUAUAAAAGAUUAAUGUAUCAAAUACAAAUAAAAUGAAUAAAUAAAAUUUCAAUUCAGUAUUUAAUAAUUUACAAUUAAAAUUCAAAUUCCUCUCUCAUUUUGUAAAUUGAACUAUAAAUGUAGAUUGACAAGUUAAAAAAUAAAAAUAAAAAUUAAAUAAACAAAUAGAAGUAAAAUAAAAGUAAAAACAGAAAUAAAUAAACAUAUUUGGGCUAAGAGUGAGUGGACCUACUCUCUAUCCGAGGAAAUAUAAAUGGGCUUAAAAUUGGCUCAAAGUGAAUGUUGAAGAAUGAAUGUGCCUAUGAUGUCCUUAGUUAGGAUAAAUUUGGGUUCCAUAGAGUAUGUUUGCUUCCCCAAAGUUUGGGGGAAAAUGCAAGGCCAAAAAAAUAAAGAAGAAAAAUGAGAGAAAAUAAAAUAAAAUGAAAAUAAUUUUAAAAUUAAUAAAUUAUUUUUAUAUCUUAUUUCAAAUUCAAUUUAUUUAUAUGUAUUUUAUAUAAAGAUUAAAUAAUUUAAAAAUAUGGAAAUUUCUUACUAAUUUUUAUUACAUUUGACUUUUUUUUUUAUUAUUAACCAAACAUAAAAAAAUAAAAAAAAUAAAAAAUUACAUUUUUAAUAUUAUUUUUUUUUCUUAGUGUUUUUUGAACCACACAUAGUUUUAGUAUAAUGCAUAUAUUCUUACAUAAACAGUUGUCUUAUUUUAAAAUUUUUAUACGAGGUGUCAAUGUAAAAAUUUUUAAUGGCAAUACCUUUUACCAAGUUGAGCUGCAAGACCCAACAUUGGAGGGGGAGCAUUCUGAUUGUGAGGGGGUUACCUUACCGAGGUCGGCAUUGUAAGAUUCAGUACACUUGACGGGACACCAUUGCCAACACCAAAGGUCCACCCUUCGGUGAUGCUCAAUUUUUAGCAACCUCAAGUAAGUAAAUCCUAAAUCAUGCCCUCAUCCUUUGGUAGUUUCUCCUCUUAUUUGCGAAUGGGGUCAGGGGUUGGGUUUUUUCUUCUUUAUCUUGUCAUGUGUCUGUUUGGGAGGGCCUUGCUCUUGUAGUGCACAAAGAGACAGCAUCAAACCUGGGGAAAGGAUUCAAUUCACGAAGCUACUGGUUUCGGCACAAAGGACUUUCACACUGGGGUUCUUUAGCUUGGACACCCGCAGUUAUUUAGGAAUCUGGUACACAAGUGAUGUUGACAACAAGAAAGUUUGGGUUGCUAACAGAGACAACCCUAUAUCUGGCACCAAUGCAAAUCUCAUGCUGGAUGGCAAUGGCACAUUGAUGAUCAUUCAUAGUGGGGGUGAUCCAAUUGUCUUGAAUUCCAAUCAAGCAUCCGGAAACUCCAUAGCUACCUUGCUUGAUUCUGGAAAUUUUGUUGUGUCAGCGUUAAAUUCAGAUGGAUCUGCGAAGCAGACACUAUGGGAAAGUUUCGAUGAUCCUACAGACACGCUCCUGCCUGGGAUGAAACUAGGCAUCAACUUGAAAACCAGGCAAAACUGGUCACUUGCUUCGUGGAUAAACGAACAAGUGCCUGAUCCUGGGACUUUCACUCUAGAAUGGAAUGACACACAAUUGGUAACGAAACGCCGAGAAGACAUCUACUGGAGCAGUGGAAUUCUGAAAGAUCAGAGUUUUGAGUUCUUUCAAACUCACCAUAACAUCCACUUUUUCAUCAGUGUUUGUAAUGACAACGAGACCUACUUCAGCUAUUCAGUUCAAGACGGAGCUAUUUCAAAGUGGGUAUUGAACUGGAGAGGGGGAUUUUUUGACACUUACGGAACUCUAUUCGUGAAGGAAGAUAUGUGUGAUCGUUAUGGCAAAUAUCCAGGGUGUGCAGUGCAAGAGCCACCCACUUGCAGGACUAGAGACUUCCAAUUCAUGAAGCAAUCGGUUCUCAAUUCAGGAUAUCCAUCAUUAAUGAACAUAGAUACGAGCUUGGGCCUUAGUGAUUGUCAGGCUAUAUGCAGGAACAAUUGUUCUUGUACUGCUUGUAAUACUGUAUUCACCAAUGGAACUGGAUGUCAGUUUUGGAGGGAUAAAUUGCCACUAGCCCGAGUGGGUGAUGCAAAUCAGGAGGAGCUCUAUGUCUUGUCCUCAUCAAAAGAUACAGGUAAGACUCUCUAUGUAUUGUAUUCCUAAAAGCAACCAAAACAAAGUUCUGGGUAAAUCUUACAUCUUCAUAGAAUUUACAAUCCAAAUACAUGAUCGAAAAUUCAAAAAAAGUCCAACUGUAUAGUUGAUAUUUCAACUCAUCGUCUACCAUUAAAGGAGCUAUAGCAAAACCAUAAAAACCCUCUCUUUCUAUCUUGAGUUCUGCUCUAACAACAAAAUUUAUUAACUUCCAUCUAUGCAGGGAACCAUUUGCAGAAUAUAAGCAUUAUCUGUGGAGUGGUAGGUCUGGUCAUAAUACUUAUCUUCUCUUGUUUACCGAGAAAUUUCAGAGGUAGUUUUUUAACUCUUGUAGAUAAAAUUAAGCAAUGCCAUUUGUUAAUAGGUUGGAUAGUUGAAAUUUUGGCUUUGGUAUAAUAGGGUAUAGAGUAAGGAGGGAAGUUCAGCCACGUGAUGUUGAGGUUUCUGGUGAUAUAACAGGGGAUAGAGAAUUGGAGAAACCUGAGCAGAUUGUACCGAGUGAUUCAGAAGAUAUUGACAGUGUCAAACAGUUCAGUUUAGUUUCUGUUAUGGCUGCCACGAAUAACUUUUCAGAUGAAAAUAAACUUGGAAAGGGUGGUUUUGGUCCUGUCUAUAAGGUAAUUAUAAUUUGAUUAAGCCCAUAGCAUGUAAUAGGACAUUAAUCUUUGUUUAAGUACCCAAUUAAAGUUUCGUUAUGGAUUGUGGAUUAUUUUUGCAGGGGAUACUACCUGGGGGCCAAGAAAUAGCAGUGAAGAGACUUUCAAGGGAUUCUACACAGGGACCAGAGCAGUUCAAUAAUGAAAGACUGAUUGCCAAACAACAACAUAGAAAUCUUGUCAGACUUUUGGGUUACUGCAUGGAGGGAGAAGAAAAGAUGUUAAUCUAUGAGUUCAUGCCCAACAGAAGCUUGGAAGACGUCCUCUUUGGUUUUAAUACCUCCCUUUUUCCUUCCUGUUGUUUGCAUAACUUUUUCCUAUGUUUUUAUGUUUUUUUGCAUAAAACAAUUUACUAGUUGUGUUCACCCAAAUUUUCAGCUCCUGCUGGAAGAAAGAUGUUGGACUGGAAUACGUGGUGCAAAAUAAUUGAGGGGAUUGCACAAGGACUUGAUUACUUGCACAGACAUUCAAUAUUAAACAUGGUUCAUAGAGAUCUAAAAGCAAGUAAUAUCCUACUCGAUCAUGACAUGAACCCCAAAAUUUCUGAUUUUGGCACUGCCAGAAUUUUUGAGCGAAAUGCAUCAGAAGCACAUACUCGUAAACUUGUUGGAACCUUGUAAGUGCCUCGACUCUUGUUUAUUUAUCUGCUUUCUUCUUCAGUCUAAUGGAUUAAUUGACCUUUCUAUUACGGAUGCAGUGGUUACAUGCCACCUGAGUAUGUCCUGGGGGGAGCUUAUUCAGAGAAAACAGAUGUUUAUAGCUUUGGGGUCCUGCUGUUGGAAAUUGUGAGCGGCCAGAGGAUUAUUCCCCCUGAUUCUAAGGGUGACAACUUAAGUCUUAUACGAAAUGUAAGUCCGUCAGAUCUCAUAUUAGUCUCGACAUACAUUAUUAUCAAUACCCAAUGCAUGCUUCCAAAAUUUUCAUACUAGCCUCGUAAGUAAAUGGUCCGUAAAAUGAACUGGGUUCAGGCUUGGAAGUUAUGGGGAGAAGGCAAUAGCUUGAAACUAGUGGAUCCAGCGGUGGUGGGUCCCCACUCAACAACCCAAAUAUUGAAGUGGAUUCGUGUUGCUCUCUUGUGUAUACAGAAGCAUGAAGAGAGGCCUACAAUGUCAGAAGUUUGCUCCAUGCUUAACAGAACGGAGCUACCCAAGCCAAAUCCACCCGCAAUUUUGCGCUCAGAUGAGCCAAGGAGUUGUUCUGAUAUGCAAGUGUAACUACUUGAGAGAUGGAAGGGUAUGCUUUUCUUUAUUUACGUUUUGUUGAUUUAUAUAAGAUGACAACUGAACUGAAGCUGGUUUUAUGAUCAUUUGGAACAUAUUUGUACGCAUGUAUUCUGGAGCUCUAUUUGCCCUUUUUCUCUCCAAAACAUAUUAUGAUAUAUGUCUAUCUAUAUCUUCGUGUCUAUAUAUUUAUCUCAGCCAAAGUAGGUCAUGUAUAUGUUCUAUAAUUCAUUAUUUGCCAUUGAAUAAUGAUCAAAACACAAGGUGGCAACAGUGUGCAUGUUUAUGUCUUAAGAGUCAAGAGGAAAUCUACUCACAGUAAAAUUAUUCAAAUAAACAUGCACACUCACCUGCUUCACAGCUAGCACGCUCACCUGCCUCAUUGCUCCAAGAAGCGCCCAAGUGAUACCUAAUCAGGCAAGUAAAAGAACCCAAUUAAUCCUUUGACGACACAAAGAGGAGCACUCAUACCGACAAACCAGACAAUGAAAGCAAAGAUAAUCUAUGACUUGUUCAACUUGCACAUGUACAAACCAGUUAACCAAACUUCAUCUUCCAUGCUUCAGGUAAUCCUUUUUUUUUUUUCUCUGAUGAGAUGCUUCAGCUAAUCCAUAGCCAAGUUCUUCUCCCACACAUUGCAGGAGAUAUAGGUCUUCAAAUCUGUUGCUAGGAAAUUUCCAACAUACUCAUGAAGCUCAAUAAAACAGAACCAAUAAACAUAAAUUGACGGAUAAAUUCCAAUUUAAGAAAUAAAAUAAAUAAAUAAAUAAAACACUUAAAUAAGAUUUGGAGAUAACUAUUACAUUAUGUUUGGUUCUCAGAAAGUACUAAAGAAAAAAAAAAUAUAAUGAAAUUUGGUUUCAUUAUAAAAUAAAAUAAAUAUCAAAUAUAAUUAAAAUUAGUAAGGAACUUGCAUAUUUUUAAAUUAUUUAAUCUUUGUAUAAAAGUGUUACGUAAGUUAAAUGAGUUUAAAGUGGGAUAUGAAAAUAAUUUAUUGACUUUAAAUUUUUAUUUUUUUUCUCUUUUUUCUUCCUUUUACUUUUUCUCUCUAUUUUAUUUUCUUUGUAUUUUCCCUCAAACUUUCUAAGAAUGAAGCAUAGUCAUAAUGAAGAGUACGAAAACAACAAACACAAAGCCCAAUACGACCCAAUCUCAGGAAAACAAAACCCAUAAAAUUAAAUUAAUAGAUCAAUUAAAGUAAUUUUGAUUUAGGACCCAAAAAAGAAGCCAAAAACCUAAAAUAAGAUAGCAGACUAUAAUUCCUACAUACACACCUUACUUGGAAACAAUCCCUUAAAGUAAAACUAAUAUAUCAAUUCAAUUUAAAUAAACAAAAUCCAAAUUUAAAACAAUUGAAAAAAACUAGAGUAUCACUUUAUACCUUUGAUGCAGUGCAAAAUUUUUGUGUCCGUCUUAGUUUAUGAUAAAUCAGGCAUGCCAUUAAAGCAACUGAAUUGCACAGAAUUUGCUGGGACUAGUUCAGUGCAAACAAAUGCUCAGGUCUAUAGAACGGAUCCCACUCACGCUGCGUCCAUUCCCCAUCAAAUAUAUCACAGUUCGUCAAUGAUUCUGAUCAAUCCUCUUUCCCUUGCUGUGCAAAGAAACUAGUUCCUUCACUUUGGUUCUCCAACAAAGAAGUCAUAACUAAGACACCACAAAGUCAAUAAAGUUGUCUCUCUCCCCAAAACUGCUAUUUCCUGUACAAGGAUUCUUCACAAAAACAAAACCAACAAGUAACCUAACAAAUAUCCAGAUGUCAAACCAAAAAAAAAUUUUGGCAAUGAAUCCAAGUAGAGGUUGGGAUUUUAGAGCAUUAGCAACUACCAUAAACCAUUAAUUGCAACCCAAAAAAUAUUAAAAUUCUGAACAUUAGAACUGAGAAUCCUAUAGGUCUACUCAAGGGAGACUAAAGAGGGGGAAGAAAGUUACCAUAGGUUAAAUGAGGGAGACAAAAAUUUAAAUGCUGAGUUUUUGGUUGAUUUUGUGCAAAAUGAGGAUGUUGAAACUUGUUAUAGAGAAGUAUACACCUUGUGAUAAUCUUUAAAACCAUUAAUUAACAAAAUAUGAUCUGUUUCACAAAUGAAAACUUGUACCUUAUUUCUUUGUACAGACUAAAACCCCAUGGUUCAAUAAGGGUAUCCCACACUACAAGUGUAGAAAAACAAAUAUAAGUUACAUCGUUUUUUCAAAAAAAAAAUAAAAAUUGAUUUAGUCUUUAUAAGAUAUAAAGGCAAAAGCCUCGAAACACUUUCAAUAUGAGCAAAAUAGCAUCUAAUCAACAGGAAAGCAAUGCUCAAGCACUAACCUCAAUAGAUGUCUUUUGACCUUCAUCUAAAAGUGGAAGGAAUAAGGUGAGUUCAUGACUCAGUAGGAAAGUUUAUAACUAUCCUAUGCAUAUCCUUGAAAACCUUGAAUCAAACAUAUAGCGGUAUGCAUGAUAAACACUUUAUAACCAUUAACAAAUAUGCAAUAAUAUCAAACAUGUACACAUGUUGCUAAUGAUUUCAUCUCUGCUUUGCCUCAUUCAUCGUUUCACACAUGAUAAGCUGUUAGCCCCCACCAAUGUACAUAUCAACCAUCAAUGCUCCCAAAGAUAUUCGACCAUAAAUAAUGACUAUUCUAGGACUAUCACCAAAGAAUAAGUCAUAUCCCAUGUCUUUUGGGACUACAACACAAAGGCAAGACCAACCCCAUGUAUUUACGGACUAAAACUCAAGAGUAGGACUAACCCCAUACAUCCACAUCAAAGUGUCUUUCUCGAGGGCUUUAGGGACUUUCACCCAAGGAUCCACGGUCCCAGAUAAACAAUAUAUUGAAAGAUAGUGCCCACAACUUCUCAUAACCACUUCCCACAUAUCAAGUUAUUCUUUGGAUAUUAUCUGUCAUUGUUCCAUAUUGUUCUUGCAAUGUAACCAUACCAUGAACCAUUUUCUCAAUAUUGAACUUGUGAAUCCUCAUACCAAUACAUAUCCAAAUAUCAUUGCAACAUUUAAAACAAUAAACUAAAAACACCAUUGCACAUUAAAGCACUUCAUGAAAUCAUAAUAAAGGUAUGAAAAUUUCCAUAAAUGCUUCAAGAAAUUAAACAAAGAUACACAAGGGAAUGGUAUAAAAUUUCCUACCUUACACCAACUUCUCUUUUGCAAUCCUUCUAUGUGGACACCCUUAGCUAUUACAAGGAACUAAAAUGAAACAACAUAAUUUAGGUUUCCCAACCAUAAAAGUUACACAAUUAAGACUUAUGACAUUUUCCUUAUUGCUAAUUUUAAUAAUUUAAUGCUAAUAACUUUAAUUUCCAUAUUCUCUAAUCAUCAUGCUCAUAGGUUUUCAAAUCAAAUUUAAGGUGAGUUAAACAAUCUGUACUAUGCAUAUUGAUAUUCCCCAAUUAAUUAGGAUAAAUUAAUUAUUUUGAUUUUCCUUAAACCUAUUCCAUUAGCAGGCUCCAAGUGUUCAAAUAAACCUAAUUAAUCACAUGAUUCACUAAUCUAUUUUUCAAUUAAAGCAAACUAAACAAACAAGCAUGUGAUUAUUUCGUCAAAAGAUACUUAAAUUAAAAUACUUAAAACCCUAAUUAACUUUAAUUUAUAAUAAAAACAUGCUUAUAACUAAUUAAACUCAAUUUUUAAACAAACUAUACCAUUAAUUUGUUUUAAAAGAUCAUUUGGAACCCAAAUUUACUAAAAUCACUAACUUUAUCUUUUUCUUUACCUUGAUUUCUUCACUUUCUCUCUUUAGCUUCUCUCUCUAGAGCUGCCAAAUUGCUGCAAAGAUAGGGUUGGAAAUGAGGGCUAGCAGCCCUUAUAAAGUGAUUCCUAAGCUAGCAUGCAUGAGGUGGCAAGUUCUAAGGUUGCCACUAAUUACCAAUUCUCCAAAUUGCAACUUAGUCCCUUUACUUGUGCUAUUUUAUGUUUUGUAGCUACCCAUUAGUCCCUUAAGUUUUCUUAAUUUUGAUUAACCCCCAAGAAGUUAAUACACAUGCUUAAAUUGUUAACUAAUCAUACUUAACCUUAAUCAAAGUUUAAUUCAUAAUUAUAUAAGAUUAGUGUUAAACUAGUUUAAGCCUCUAAUUAAACACGUUUAAAGUUAAGUACUAAGAUAAUCAUUAUUGCUUAUUUAAUUCAUUACUACUAAAUAUUGCAAUAAAAGUAUUUUUUAAAAACAAUGUUAAAAGUUAGACAUGAAAAUAAUUCUACACAAUUCAAGGGAUAUGAUACCUAUACUUGAGGGACUAAAACAAAAAAAAUUACCUUACCCAAUAAAAUGGUACAUGUUUAAUAAUUUAUUUCAAUUUGGACCAUAAUUCUCAUUCAUACGAUAUAUUUAUGUAUAUUUGGAAUCAUGAAUUGUAGGAAUCUUGCUUCAUCCACAACAUAAACAGAUAAUGCCUAAACAUGGUGAUGGUGUUACAAUGCAAAAUUUACAAAUCCCACAUGCAGAUAUCUUUAUUAGACAAUAUCACAAGAUGAAUGCUUAGAUGACUAAUGGCAUGAUAGGCAAAAAAACACACUAUCCAAACGACUUCCUGUGGGAAUCCCUCCCUGAUAAAAUGAGUAUGGAAUGAUAAUCAAAGUUAGAGUGGAGAUUAGAGAAAAUUUUAGUAAACCUAAAGUGGGGACGAGGUCCUACUCCCUUCCCCAACCAAUCUGCCUUGAUUGUUUAUAUAAUAUACAUAAUUUUAUAUUUCAAAAAUUAAGAAAAGAAUUGAAUAUGAAUUCCAAGAUUCGGGAAUAAGCACAGAACCAGGAUUCCCCUAGUGGGAAUUCCAUGCCCUCAAAUGGACAAGGGAUGGGGAGCCCUACCCAACCCUGUCUUUCUUACACCUCUAAUUAGAAAAAUUAGCAAAUUAAAUCCAUAAAGAGAAAUAAAUAAAUAAAUAAUAAGAAGAGGGAGCUAUUCUUCAAACUUUUUUGAGUUUUCCCUUGACAAUGUUGUGAUGAAAAGUCCAAGAAAGCCCAAAGAAAAAGAAUAGAAAUGCUCACCCUUCUCUCAAGUCUCAUCAGUCGGUCCCUACCCAAAAUCUAGCACCAGGCUGUUUUCCAAAGAAAGGCCGAAAAUUCUCCCUUGCCUACUUGAAAUCAAUCUUAAGAGAUUCAUUUAUAAAAAAAAAUGUGGACAAAGGAGAAGUAUGCCCAUACUCUCCAAGCAAUAUCCAUAAUUAGACUAGUAAGUGUAUAAGACUGGGCUCCAAAAGGAUGCUGCGAGAUAUCUGGAAGUUCACCCAUGACAUUUUCAAUGUACUGUGAAGUUGAAGGCUAAAGGAUAAACACAAAGCAUGAAAGCAUAGACAUGCGAAACUUGGAAUAGCAAAAAUGGAAAGUAGCAUGUGCCUUAGCAAUGCGAUUUUGUUUCUGUGUUUUUCAUGUAUGUGAUUGGGAGUACUGCCUUAUAUUUAUAGUGCAUAGAUAAACACCAUCAAACCUGAGGAAGAGCUUCAAUUCUCGUAAAAAUUACUGGUUUUUGCCAAAAGGACUUUACUUUAGGCUUUUUCAGCCUGGAAUCUAGUAGUUAUUUAGGAAUAUGGUUCACUAUUGAUGCUCAGAAGGAGAAAGUUUGGGUUGCUAAUAGAGACAAGCCUAUAUCCCAUACCGAUGCAAACCUCACACUGGAUGCAGAUGGAAAAUUGAUGAUCAAGAAGCUAGGAACUCAACAACUACUUUGCUUGAUUCUGGAAAUUUUGUUUUGGAAAAGUUCAAUUCAGAUGGAUCUAUGAAGAAGGAACUAAGGGAAAGUUUCGAUAAUCUUACAGACACCCUCCUACUUGGGAUGAAACUAGGCAUCAACUUGAAAAUCGGGCGAAACUGGUCAUUUACUUCAUGGAUAAACGAACAAGUGCCUGCUCUUGGGACUUUUACUCUAGAAUGGAAUGGCACACAAUUGGUGAUGAAAUGUCGAGAGGGUACCUACUGAGUAUGGAGCUAUUAGCCGGUGUACAAUUCCAGCUUCUUAACAAAAAACAUUGAACUCUUUUGAGGUAUAUUCACCUCCAUUAUCAGUUCUGAGCACCUUAACCUUCUAGCCACUUUGAGUUUCAACCAUUUUCUUGAAGCCUUUGAACACAGAGAGCACUUGUGAUUUGGUUUUUAGAAAAUAAACCCAAUUAAUUAUACUGAAAUCAUCAAUAAAUAAUGCAAAAUAUACAUUGUUGCUCAAUCAGGUUGUGCUCAUUGGUCCACAAAUAUCUGAAUGAACUAAUUCCAGCUUGUGAGUUGCUCUCUUGGACAUAUUUUGAGAGAAUGAUUUUGUGAUGUUGUUUCCCUAGCUCACAACUUUCACAAGUUUGAGCAUUAACUGUGAUUUCAAGCAUGUCUUCAACCAUACCAGCUUCUUGCAUGAACUUCAGUGACUUCAAGUUGAAAUGACCAUAUCUUUUGUGCCAAACAACACUCUCAUCAAUCUUGGCACUAAAGACAUGAUCUUCAACUAAAUCAAGCUUCAAAUAAAAGCUAUUUCCAUUCAUUUUAAUUUUUGCUAUCUCUGUUCCAUGUACAUCAGUGAUAAAACAAAAAAUUUAUUUAAAAGAGACUGCAUAUCCAUUUCUUAACAUUUGUGUAACACUAAGAAUAUUUUGAUCUAGUUCUAGAAUGUAAAGAACAUUAGUGACAAUUUUUGUACCUCUCUUGGUGUUAAUAGCAAUUGUCCAUUUUCCUUUGGCCUGCACAACUUCACCAUUUCCCAACUUGACCUUUGGUUGAACUGAUUUGUCAAUGGAGGUAAAAAUUGACAAAUGUUUGGUCAUGUGACUAGUGCAGCCAUUGUCAAUGAGUCAAGUAUUUAGUUCAUGAGAACUAAGUGCUUGUGAUGCCAUAAAUAAAUGCUUAUUAACAUUUUUGUCUUCUUCAAUCACAUUUGCAUGUUGUUGUGUUUGUUGUUGAGAUUGUUUUUUCUUGACUCUACAAUACUUCUCACUGUGGCCAAGUUUAUUGCAAAAAUAACAAUUAAAAUGAGGUUUACCUUUGUACCAACAAUCUUUCUCAACAUGGUUGGUUCUGCUACAAUGAGAGCAAGAUGAAAAGUUUCCUUUUCUUGAAGAUCCUUCAGCUUUCCCUUUGUUGUUCUUGAAGAACUUCUUUCCUUAUAGGUUUCCAGAACUCUUUUCCUUAUGAUUCGCUUGAAAAACACCUUUAGUAGCUUCAUCACCUCUCAUUAAGACCCUUUGCUCCUGUGCAUGAGGCUUGCUGGUUAACUCUGCAAUUGUGAGACUUUGCAAGUCACAAGACUCUUCAAUUGCAGAGAUCUUGGCUUCAAACUUUUGAGGCACUGAAACCAUGAUCUUUUCUACCACCUUUUGAUCUAUAAAUGCCUCACCAAGAAACCUCAUUUGGUUUACAACAUCCAUUAACCUGCUAGAAUAAUCUUUCACAGAUUCGUUGUCUUUCAUCUUCAUCAACUCCAACUCUCUCUUCAACGUGAGGAGCCUGACAGUUUUGACUUUGUCAUUGUCCUCAAAUUCACCUUGAAGCUUGUCCCAUACCUAUUUAUGUGUUUCCAAGUCCAUGAUUUUGGUGAAGAUGUGGUCUGCAAGUCCUGAAUGUAGGAAGGUGAUGUGUCUUUCUUGAGUUUUUCCUCCUCAUGUGCUUUCAUCUGAGCAACUGUAGGAUUUGCUCCCAAUGGUGGUGGAUCAGCUUCAAACAUCACAACAUUCCACAAACCUUGAGACCUUAAGUAAAACCUCAUCUUGACAACCCAAAUGUGAUAGUGUUCACCAUUAAACACUAAAACUACAGAGGAAGUACUACUGGAAGUAGACAUGUUUGCACCACAGCUGCCUAAAAAAAAAAAUCACUCAACCUCAUUGUGUUUAGCACUCAAAACACUCAAAGAAACUUUGCCUCACAGCCCAUAGGAACAAAGCUCUGAUACCACUGUCAGAAUCUAUAGAAAAAUAAAUAAAUCAGGAACUAGAACUUGCAGAGAAAAAUAAAUAAUUUGAGAGUUAAGAAUUGAAGGAAGGCACACAUCUAUUUCACAAAUGAGAAUGCCUAUUUAUAGGCUUACAACCAAACAGAAAUUGCAAAAAAAAGUCUCAACUACUAGCACUACUACUAAUUGAAAACAGAAAAUUAUGGAGCAAGAAUCUGAUAUGAAACAACAACAAAGACUAAGUCUAACUAAGACUUUUUUAAACUUCAGAGGCAAACUCUCAUGAGUUUUAAUAGUUCUUUGUGAAUACAUUGCAAUACUUGCUAUUCACAACAAGGGGAUAAACAUAGCAGAAAGAAAUGAAAUAAAAGAUUAGGGGGAGUUCUGAAGAAACAAAAAAUAGUUUGCAAAAUAAACAUGAAUUUCAAUAGAUAAUAAUUGCUCAUAGUGUAUAUAAGCAUCCAGGAACGUCAACAAAAUGCUCAAUGGUUCCAGAAGCAGAAAAAUGGAAGCGAUGGUAAUCUUGCAACAAUUUGGAAUUCAAUAAUUGAACCAUAUGAUAUGAAAAGUCUUUAUCCUACAAAGCAAUAAAGACAAGUUGUACCAAAUACCCGUGGUGCUAAACAUAAUAUCAUCAAGGUUCCAUUAAUAAAAGAACUAGGUCAUAUUUCUUUUCCCAAAAGACCUUGAAUCGAAAACUUCUGACUCUAUAGGGAAAUAAACAAUGAUCCUAGAAAAUAAGAGAUCACCCAACAUAAAAAAUUUAAAAUAAAAUGGUGAGAAGGAAAAAUAAAAUAAAAUAAAAAUAAAAACACACUUGUGGAAGCAUCCCAAAACUAUACGAUUAGAGAAUUACAUAAUAUUCAGAUUGUAUACUGCUUAACAAGAAGGAAUUAUCUAAAUUGGUCACAACUAGUGAGGGCGGUUUUAAAGGGCAAGGGAAAAAUGAAUCAUCUCACUGGAACAAGCCUAAAACUUGAAGAUUUGCUAUUCAUUGUUUGGGACAAAGAAGAUUCUAUGAUUAUGUCAUAGUUAUGGAAUUCAAUGUUACUUGAAAUCAACAGAAGAUGCAAUUUGGGAAACCAUUUGGCAAAGGUACUAAAAAAUACAGGAUGCUGCCUGAAUUUGUGAAUUGAAUAUUAAAAUCUCCAUUACAAAACAGGGUAGCUGAUCGAUUAUUGAGUAUUACAAUGUGAUGAAGAGUCUAUGGCAAGAGGUAGACUAUAAUCAAACAUUCAAAUGAAGUGUUUUCUAUCAUCCAUGCUGAAGAAAGCUGAAAAAGGAUGAUGCUUGAUCCACCACCAGUGGAUGGAACAACCAUGAUUGUAAAGAAACCAAGUGGAGGAGCCAAACCAAAUGGUACGAAUCAGAAUGUUAGCAUGGAGCAAGGAAGACAGGAGUUGAUGAAGAACUUAACAAAGAAGAAACUAUGGUGCUCAUACAGAAAGAAAGCAUGUCACACCAAAGAAAAAUGUGGGAAACUUCAUGGAAAACCACAAGGUCUCAAUCGGGGUGAUGGUAUGAGGAGCUUGUACUUCUUACAUCAUAACUAUUUUUUUCUCUUCAACAGAAAGUACAUCUUCUGACCAUUAGUUUCAUUUUACCUCAUCAAAAUUUCAAAAGCUGAGACCAAAACAACCUCUAAAAGAUGUGUAGCUCUUAGAUCACAAAGAGUCAAAGCGAUAGAAAAUACCUUAAUCCAAAAUCUUAGAGAAUCUUCAACAGAUUUAAAUGGUGGUAGAUGACUAUCUGCAGCACAUACAGCAACAUCAUCACGUUCCGUGCGGGCAAUUGGUCUAGCACCGGGUUUCAAUUCUCUUAUAAAAAAUUCAUUGAAUGCCUACAUAUAAAAGUUAAAAUUCAACUCAUUCAGAAAUUCAACUAUAGUAACUGUUCCAUUUAUAGAAAUGAUACCAAGAUCCAACAAUGGUAAUAACAAUAACCUCACCAUCAACUAAGAAGGUUAAAAACCAACAAAACCACAGGGGAAGUGAUAUUGCUCCAUCUCUGUGCAAAAAUCUACUUUUGUCUUUCAAUUCCAAGCUAAGCAAUGAAAAUUUAUAUGUUCCAUCUUGAGAGGGAAAUGUCCUUGUUAAUGAGGGUAUUAUUGAGUAUUAAUGUUAUUACAAGGGUACAGUAUAUAUAGUUUAUUACUGUAGUUUAUUAUUUUUCUAAUCAAUAAAAACAAGAAGAACAAACACGUUCUCUUCUCUGAUUCCUGUUGUCUAACAAGAUACACAUAAGAUUUAACACAGACAUUAUAAAUCCUUCGGUAAACAUAUCAGUCAGAAAAUUAUUAGCAUGAAGUUGAAAUGAAGGCAGUCUAAUGUGCCAUAGCAAAAUAGAGAUAAUAUAGUCAACAAUCAUUAAACAAGCACAGAAAUGAGAAUUCGUGUGCAUCAGGGGGGAAAAAGUUUGUGAUAUUAGAUACAUUGCACCUUCCCAUGUACAGCGUUCAGAAUGAGCCAUCUAUGAACCCUAAUUAGUGAAAUUGGCUGGGCAGUGUUGCUGUGUGUAAAUUUGACAUGCAGUGAGGGAACAGGAAAGUCCCAUCAGAGCAAAGCUCAAAAAAAGUGUGUCAACCUGUAAUGUGAAUCAUGAGAUGCCAAGAUGAAUUAUAAUUAUUAUUUUAUUAUAGACAAUAUCGUAUAAACUAUUGUAUAUAUGGCAUGCAUACAGGACUUAUAUUGCAUGAUGCUACUGAUGUAUGGAAUCAUAAGUAAGUAUUUCUCUCUUAAUCUUUUUGAGUAAUUAUGUUGUAAGGAUCCAGUUGUGCUAAAGAAUUAUUUCAAACUCAGUUAUCAACCAUUUCCUAAGUAAUUGAAAACAUUUCAUGGAAGUUAUAAAUCAUGGUAACAAGAUUAUAGUUCCUUCAUUAAGAGAAAUUGUCGUGCCUCAAAGAACUUAAUGAACUUAGGUAUAUCUUUAGCAGAUUCAACUGAAUUCAUUCACUUUCCCUGCUUUUCAGAAAUGCUGUACAAAACUUCUUUUGCACCUGCAUCCAAAUGGACAAACAAUUUAAGUUGUGCAAGAAAUUAAAUGCUGAAGGAGAAAAAAAUAAAAGGAGAAAAAAAUUGCAAGUUAUUGAUUACAAUAACAUUAUGUUGAUUUCAGAGAUAGUGCUUAUGGAAAAGCAUAAUGUACAAGUUUAAUUCCUCAUCAUUGUUAAAUAUUGAUUAUUCAUUUCAUAUAUGUUGUUUCCUAAUAGAUAUUUAAAAUGCAUUCAAGGAAAUCUAUUUACAGUUAGAAGAAGAAAAAAACAGCAAAAAAUGUGUAAAAGCAGUGAAGCCUCUAAAACAAUGAACAGUUAAAACUUCAGUCAGAGUACAUGUUAUUGUUAACAAAAAGUCACUAAAAGGUUAGAAUGAAAUGUAUCUCUUUAAACAAAAUGGCACAAGAUCACCAGAAAGGCAGUUGAAACCAAUAAGGAAUGUAUGAGCAAGAUAAAAAAAACAAUAUGAUUGCUUUACAUGGCAUGACCAUAAACACUAUCUAACCAAUGUCUUACUAAUUUUUUUAUCUUUAAGACAUUAAACCUGUCAUUCUGAGCAUAAUGUUUUUAGACAAAGAUGAUUAAAUUAGUCAUCCUUUAAAUGUGUCUGUCUAUUACAGAGAAGUUCUGAUCCUUGCAGCCUCUAAUUGCAUUCCAAAGGAUUAUGAUCCAAGAGAAAAACAAGUAUUUAUAAUUAACAUAAAUUUUUGAAACAACUAGUCAAUAAAUUAGAGUUACAGGGAACACCCCAAGGCAACAAGCUGUUAAUAUGAGAAUAUGGGAGGCUCAAUUCAGAGCUCAGAACUAUUAUUAUAAAAAAAUAUUUUAAAUGAAGCAGGAAUUUCAUUGUAGGAAAAUUAUGGUUGUUGAUGCACAUUCUCUUAAUAACAAUCUUGUUCGGUUGGAUGUACCGUAUGCCAUGACAACAUUAAAAAUCUUCAGCACAAUGUACUUGCAGCAAUGCUUUCCAGCCACAGGAAUCUUUCUAGUUUUGCUAGACAAGUCUCUUGACUACAUCUUUUUUUUUUUGUGUGUGAUGAUCGGUAGCAUUUUUUCUUGAAUACAUCCUUGACAAAGGACAUGUCUAACACAUAUCCAUGGCCGGUUAACAUGUGUGUGCAUAUACCUAUAUAUAAAGGAAACAAGAAAAUCAUUUAUUAAAAAAGUGAGAGUGACUACAUGAAACAGUGAGUAUCCUUCAAGAGAGCUGUCUGAAAAAGAAAAGAAAAAAUAAAACAUUUAUACAUCCCCAAAAGACCUAACAGAAGAACCAAACGAAAGAACCCACAUUGUGAAUGCUUUAGAAUGAAGGGGAGGUCUCCAAUAGAAAACUCAACUACUAUAGCUCCUUCCAGAGCCCGGUGAUUCACUAACUGGUUAACCAACCGAGGAUUCCAACUAAAGAAAUAAGAGCUCAACAAUUUUGCGACUUCAAGCAUGAAAAUGCCCUCUCAGUCCCUGGGUCACUUAAGAAAGACAAUAGCCAAAGGCGCCUGGACCAAAAUAUUAAAAAAAACUCAAUAGUAAAGAUUCACUAAUCCUGCUAGGUAAGUAAGUAUUCCCUCCACAAUGGCAAAAUUGAACCUGCUAGCUUAGAGAAAGCUAUCAACACCUAUGCCUCUAUAGUCUAGGAGAACUCCCCCAAUUCCUAUUUGCACUAGGUUACCUAGAGAACAACAAUCAACAAUAAGUUUGAGGCAACCAAGGAAUGGAACUACCCCCAAUUCAUUUUGGCAAUGUCAUAGAAACAAACAUCUCUUUGAUCCCGCAAAAUCAAACUAAUAGGAUGCAAGAGAAUUCUUUAGUUAUAGAAGCUCAAAUAAAGGAGAGGUCGUAUACAAUCAAAUUAACCAUUAUAAAAAUUUGUUAAAGAAUUUGAAUUAGUCAAGUUAUUUGAAUUCACUUCUGCUUUUGUUAUUUCAGAUUAUGUCGGAUUAGGAUUUUUAUGUUUUUUAAAAUUCAAAUAAGGGCAUAUUGUUUUCUAUAACAAUUCUGUCGUGAUCCUAGGAGUAAUUUCAAGGUUUGGUUGAUAACCCUAACCUAAGUCUAUUUAAAUGUAUUGCCCUAAAAUAAUAAGAUGAUGAUGCAAAUUAGUUUUAUAUGUGCUUUUAUGGUAUCAGAGCCUUGAACUCUGAAAAAUACCUAUGGCAAAAACAACCAUGACAGGGUCCUCACAUCGAGAUGACUCCACAUCUAUGACAUCUGAUCAAUCCCAUGCCGAUUAGUCUGUCACGACAUUUCCUAGCAGGGACAACAACUCACUCCAGAUUACAGCGCACAGGCUGAAGGGCAAAAAUUACCUUCAAUGGUCCCAAUCCGUGAAGAUUGUUAUGCGGUAGAGGCAAAUUUAAGUACCUCACUGAUGAAGCCAAAGCUCCAGCAGCAACUAAUCCAGCAUAUAAAAUUUGGUUUGCUGAAAAUUCUUUAGUGCAUGUCUGGUUAAUUAACUCGAUGGAACCCAAGAUUAGCCGCCGAUAUCUAUUUCUCAAGAAAGCCAAGGAUGUGUGGGAUAUUGCCCAACGAAUGUACUCCGAUCUUGGCAAUGUGUCACAGGUGUUUGAAAUUUGGUCAAAAUUAAAGGAGAUGAAGCAAGGCACCCAGUCGGUUACUCAGUAUUUCACUGACUUGGAGGAUAAGUGAUAAGAAUUGGAUUUGCUUAUUGAUGAAAACUCAGUGUGUGCAACUUGCAAUGUGGAGCAAUAACAAAAUCUUGAGAAUGAACGGGUGUAUGAUUUUCUUGUUGGAUUAAACCGAGAUCUUGAUGAAGUCCGAGGAUGUGUUUUGAGUCAAGUUCCAUUCCCAACAAUUGGAUUUGCUUAUUGAUGAAAACUCAGUGUGUGCCACUUGCAAUGUGAAGCAAUUACAAAAUCUUGAGAAUGAACGGGUGUAUGAUUUUCUUGUUGGAUUAAACCGAGAUCUUGAUGAAGUCCGAGGAUGUGUUUUGAGUCAAGUUCCAUUCCCAACAAUUGGAUUUGCUUAUUGAUGAAAACUCAGUGUGUGCAACUUGCAAUGUGAAGCAAUUACAAAAUCUUGAGAAUGAACGGGUGUAUGAUUUUCUUGUUGGAUUAAACUGAGAUCUUGAUGAAGUCCGAGGAUGUGUUUUGAGUCAAGUUCCAUUCCCAACAAUUGAUGAAGCCUUUUACUGAAGUAGAGAAGAAAAUCGUCGAAAAGUUAUGUUGUCUUAAAGACUGCCGAGUGCACCACCAACAAAUUGAAAGCUCGGCCUUGAUGACCAAAAACAACUUGCAACCAGGAAAGAACAACAACAAUUCAAGAACAUCACGCCGAGGAGAACGAAUGUGGUGUGAUCACUGUAGUCACCAUGGACACACCAUGGAUAUAUGCUGGGAGAUUCAUGGAAAACCUGUAAAUUGGGUUCUCCAGAGAUAGACUGAAGGUCGAGAUUUUCAAGCUCAAUAAAACCAAGACAAGCAAGGAAUAGAUUCUUCAACACAACAUCAAUCUACAAAUUCAUCAAUUCCGUUCAACAAGGUACAACUUGUGCAAUUCUGUCGUCUUCUCAAUCCAUCACCAGCCCCAUCUUUGUCAAUUCCUGAUCUAGGGUCAUGUUCUAUAGCACAAUUUGGUAACCACUUAGCCCUAACAUCUUUGGUUCACUCUAAGGAACCUUGGAUCAUUGAUUCAGAUGCCUCCGACCGUAUGACAGGUGGUUCUCAUUUUUUCCUCUUUUAUAUUUCAUGUCCUAGUUCUAUUAAAAUAAAAAUUGCAGAUGGAUCUUUAUCUUCUGUUGCUGGAAUAGGUUCAAUAAGAGUUUUUAAGCAUUUAAUUCUACACUCAAUCCUUCAUGUUCCUACCUUAAAAUGCAAUUUGUUAUCCAUUAGUAAAAUCACUCGUGAUAAUAAUUGUGUUGCUAACUUUCAUUCUUCAAUGUGUCAAUUUCAGGACCUGUCAAUAGGGAGGACGAUUGGCAAUUCUAGAAUUCAUGAAGGGCUUUAUUAUCUUGAGAACACACACUAUGAGGGUCGACAAGCUUUUGCGUCAAGGGUUACAUCAGUUUCUGUUUUUAGUGCUAAGGAAAUAAUGUUGUGGCAUCAUUGACUUAGUCACCCUAAUUUUUGCAUACUUAAAAACAUUUGUUACCUUCGUUGUUUAAACAUGAAGAUUCUGUUUCUUUCACUUGUGAUAUAUGCCAAUUUGCAAAACAUAAAGUACCAUUUUCUCCAAAACUCUAUACACCCUCAAUGCCUUUUACCUUAAUUCACAGCGAUAUCCGAGGUUCAUCCAAAGUUACCACAAUGCCUGGAAAACGGUGAUUUGUGACAUUUAUUGAUGAUCAUACAAGAUUCACUUGGGUAUAUCUUCUUUGAGAUAAAUCAGAGACUUGUUAAGUGUUCCAAAAUUUCUACAAUAUGGUCCAAACCCAAUUUCAGAAAAAUAUUUGUCUUACGAAGUGACAAUGGGAGAGAAUAGUUUCAAUCUAUCUUGGGAGAUUAUUUAUUGCAUAGGGGAAUUGUUCACCAAAGCUCGUGUGUUGACACCCCACAACAAAAUGGUGUCUCAGAAAGAAAGAAUAUACAUUUAUUGGGUGUGGCUUGUGCUCUUAUGUUUAUAAUGAAUGUUCCCAAAUAUUUGUGGGGGGUGUCAUUUUAAUCGCUGCAUUUCUCAUUAACCACCUACCUAAUCGCACCUUGACCUUUAAAUCCCCACUAUCCAUGCUUUCACACAUGUUCCCACAUCUCAAUAUGCUUACAAAUACCCUUCCACUCAAGACAUUCGGUUGGACUGCAUUUGUCCACAUUCAUUCUCAACACCUAACCAAACUUGAUCCUCGAGCCAUCAAAACAAUCUUUCUUGGUUCUUCUCCAAUCUAAAAAGGGUAUCGGUGUUACUAUCCCCAAACCAAGAAAAUGUUUGUCACCCAAGAUGUCACAUUUUUUUUAAGAAAUCCUGUAUUAUUCACAUACUUUGCUUUAAGGGGAGAAUCGAGACUGAGAAGCUCCUAUGUGGGAUUGGGAUACCGUUGUUUUACUCAUAUCUGAGAUCCCAUUGCAACUUACAAUAUUACCUGAGACUGUGGCUACUCCAUCCAUGAUACCUGAGCUCACCUCAUCUAAAACCUCACCACCAACUGAAACAUUGUCACAGUAUUCACCUACAGUACCAAUCCCAGCAACAAAGGCAAAUCCAACCAUACCAAAUUAGCAAAAGUUAUAGGUUUACUCUCGGAAAAAGAGUUCUCAAGGAAAUAAUCCACUCAUGAGCACUAUGCACUGUCCGAAAUCUGAACUUAUGUUAGGAACUGGGUUUUCAUCCUCAAGUAAUCUUGAAACCAUUUUUGAUAGACUAGAUGAACCUAUUGCACUUAGAAAAGGUGUUAGGUCAUGUACACAACAUCCUAAUUCUAAAUUUGUGUAAUAUGAUAAUCUAUCUCCUUCGUUUCGUGCCUUUACGACAAAUGUUUCUAGAAUUGAUGUUCCUAGGACAAUAGAAGAUGCUUUAGUUGUUCCCAAAUGGAAAAAUGUUGUUCUUAAGGAGAUGUGAGCCCUUGAUAAGAAUGAUACAUGGAGUUUGAUGGAAUUACCACAAGACAAGAGUGUGGUUGGAUGCAAAUGGGUGUUCACUAUUAAAGUGUGACUAGAUGGCUCAAUCGAGAGAUACAAAGCAUGAUUGGUUGCAAAAGGUUUCACACAAACAUAUAGUAUCUAUACUAAGACAUUUCAUCCCAUUGCAAAGCUCAACACAAUUUGUGUCCUAUUAUCACUAACAACAAAUUUAGACUUGCCAUUGUAUCAACUUGAUGUGAAGAAUGCAUUCUUAAAUGGAAAAUUGGAGGAAGAAGUGUAUAUAAGCCUACCACCCGACUUUGAAGAAGAUAAAAAAGGUAAAAUGGUAUGCAAACCAAAGAAGUAUCUAUAUGGUCUCAAGCAAUCUUUGCGUGCAUGGUUUGAAAUAUUCUCAAAAGUGAUCAAGAGUCAUGAAUAUUAACAAGGGCAAACUGAUCAUACUUUGUUUGUCAAAUGCUCAUCCAACAAAAGGGUUACGAUCCUGAUAGUAUAUGUUGAUGACAUAAUACUCAUAAGAGAUUACUUCAAUGAAAUGGAGGUGAUCAAAAGAUUAAUGGCAAUGGAAUUCAAGAUUAAAGAUCUUGGAACUAUGAAAUGGAAUGAAAUUAUUCAAGGAGAACAAUGGAAUGAAAUUACUCAAGGAGGAUAAUGAAAAUUAAAAGAUUUAUCAAAUCCAAAACCAACCAAACCUUUAACAAAUCCUUAAAAAAUUAUACAACCACUACUACAAAAAUUGUAAAUAAUGAUGUUUAAUUCCUUGGCACUUUUAAAAAGUGACAAGGAAUGCAAUGAAUAGUAAUUGUAUAAAAGAAUAAUGGUGUUUUAUAAACAUGGUGUUUUAUGUAAGCGUCAUUGUUGCACUUCAUCAUUCUUGGCAGUUGUAACAAAGUGUCACUGUCUUCUAGUAUUUAUAUGUAGUCAUAUUUCCCCAUUUCUCAAACAUCCCGUCUUGUCUCAACAAACAUCCCGCCUCAUCUCAACAAACCUAGAAAACUAAACCUAAAAUCAUCCCUGAUUUCUUGUCUUCAGCAAACUCGUAGGAGACGCCCAGCUAUCGAACUAUCGAACCAUCAACUACUGACCGGUGAUAAUGAGAGUACCUCAUCGAAGACACCCAAAAACACUUCAUUGUGUUAGGUAAUUUCUAACAGUGGGUAAAAAAACAAUAAUAAUAAUAAUAAUAAUAAUAAUAAAAAGAAAUAGAAUUGGAAUCAUGCAUUUUCAAAGCUUGAACGCAGUCAAUCUAUUAGAGUUUUCAAGAUCUAGUAUUUCUGUUGGAAAAGUUAAUUUUUUUGGUUUGUAGUUGGUUGGUAUUCAGAGUGGCGUAGAGAACUUCAAUGGCUGGAAAUGGAGAAGAGGGGAAAGCCUUGGCUGGUAGCAUUGGUGGUGGUGUCUUUGUUGUUUCAAAAUAUUAGGGUUUCGUUGGUCUCUCAGGAUUGAAGUAAGUAGUUUUUCAUUUCGCGUGUUUGGUUGUAGGGAAAGUGGAUAAAUCAACUACAAAUAUGCAGAAAAUUUGUUUCAAAAUUGAGUUUGGGGCUUUGAAUUUUAAUUUAGUUUAAUGUUUAUUUGGGUAUGUACAGGUUUGGUUUUGUUCCAAUUUCAAAGAGAAAGAGAGUCAUGAGAGAUAUGUUUGGCCUUUGGUGAAUUGGGAUAAUGGGAGCUUCACCUCUGUUCGUGGUUUGAAGUGGAGUGCUCCAAUUGGAAAGCAGCGAUUUUGUGAGUGAUUCUUCCCUAAAAAAACAAUUGUAGAAUAAUUUCUAUUGUGCUUUGGAAUGAAAUGAUUCUUGUUGCUUCUUCUCAGUUGGAGGAGCUUUGCAGCAUCCCUCGUUGAUUGCUCCUUCCCGAGAACGAAAUGAAUGUGUUUGAGGAUGAUUUUGAAACAUGGAGUCCUGAGGGCAGUCCUAGCAGGACUCCAGAGUACAUGCUGGGUGGUCACAACCCUUUGGAGCCCAGAAUAAUCUCAAAUGGAACUAUGGGCCUGAGCACUGAGACACCACUUUUGUGUAGAGUGUUUUCUUAGCAAGGAUUAAUUAAGUGAAAAUUCUGGCAAUAAAGAAAUUGACACUAUUCUAUUUUAGCCACAAUCCAAGUGAUUUUGUUAAAAUGAACACAAAAGUUUCUUGAUGAUAAUCAUGGCAUAACUGUUUGCAGACUGGGUAGAAUUCAACUUUUUACUUGGUUAUAAGUGUCAUUAGCAAGGAGUUUGGUGGAACUUCCUUUAACAUUAUUUCAAUAGAUGUGGUUAUAUGUAGAACAUGGAGUAAAUAAAUUAUCACAUGCCAAUACAAGUUUAGUAUUGAUGGAUACUAUUUGGGUAAUCUGAUGCAAGCUGACAUCCAAGCGACUAGCAAAACCUCUAGCCAUGAGAUAAUGAAGAACUUUAAGUUGACUAGUUUUGGUUUACUACCAAGGCUGAAAUUUUGACCUUUUUUGAAGGCUUGAAAAAGGUCCUUUCCUAGGGGAUGAUAUUUUCCCUUUUGAAAGAUAUUCUUCCAUAGUCAUUUCUUGUGCCCAAUACCAAGAGACAUGACUUCUAGAGCUACAAUCAUUAGAUGAUAGAGAUGUUUGAUUUAUCAAAAAAUAUGGAAAUUUCUUUCUAUUGGAAGCCUAGAUUAGCUAAUCAUGCAAUUAAUGGAACCUACACAUGGAAUUGGGCUAAAAAAAGAUGAUUCACUAAAAAGUUCUAGCUUGUUAGCCUCUGAUUUUUAUUUUUUUUAAUGGGCAAUAAAAGCUUAAACUGCAAUUGCAACUGUUAGGAUAUUCAAUACCUUAUUUGGAGAUUUCAUUUGGUUAAAGCAUUUAAAACUUGAAAAAAUUUUCUUAUAUCUUUCUCCUGAUGGCAAAAUUUGGGCUAAUUUUUUGUGAAUAUAUCAAUGUUUUAUUCCAUUUUUGAGACUUUUUACUUUAUUUGAUCUCGAAUCCUUAAUGAAGUCAAAAGAGUGACAAUUGUGGAUCACUUAGUGUAUGCACGUCUAUAUCAUAAAUUAUAUAUGGCAAUAUGUAGAAAGCAUAUCAAAGAAAUAAAAAUAAACCUUAAAUAUUUUUGGUUUUAUAGGAAUAUUCUAUAUAGGAUAAAUUCUAUAUGGCAAUAUUUUGGUUUUAUUUCCAUUUAAUACAAAAUGGAAUUGACGCCCUAAUAUUUUUUAAUUAAAUAUUCCUAUGUUAUCUUUAUACUAUUUUUAAAUAUUUUUUAUGAAUUAAUUAAAAUAUAUUUCAUUAAUUACAAUAUUUUUUAAUUACUAUAUUUAAUUAAUAAAAUAUUACUAUAUAUACAUUAAUUAAAUAUUUUGAUUCAAUGUAGUACGUUAAAGAAUUGAAUUAAAAUUUAGAUGUUCAUUAAAUUUAGUUUUAUUUUACACUUUUCUUCUUCUACUUUCUAUAUUUUCUAUAAAUUCUAUUUUAAUUUUGGAAAAAAGGAGGGGAAAAAUAUAAUUUUAGUAAAUAUAUUAAUUCUCUAAUCCAAAUAAGUAAAAUCAAUUUAAUAAAUAAAUAUAAUUAUAACACAAAUACUAUUGAAUCUACCUAAAAUAUUUUGAAGGUGGUUUGGAAGCAUUUAUCAUAAUGUUGGAAGUCUUUGGUAAUAAUUGAAAAUGUUUUUGUCAUAAACAUUUAACAUUUGGUAAAUUUUAAUUGUGAUUUUGAAAGUUUGUAUUACCAAAUGAUAAUUUUUGAACUAACUCAUGAAAUAUGCAUUUUUCACAAAUUAUUUUUUGGUAGCCUAUUAUAUAUAUAUAUAUAUGUAUAUUAUAAGGUAUUAAAAUAAUUUACCAAACCAUUUGAAAAUAGAAAAUAGUACAAAUAAAAUUGAUAACACAAAAUUUAAUUAUAACCUAAAAACAAUUUUAGGAUAUUUGGCUCUAAGGGGUAUUUGGGAUAAAUUUCCUGUUACCAUGAUUACUUAGUUUAGAUAUUUAAAAGGUUAAAAUUAUAAUUUCAAAAAAAUUUUAUUAAAAUUUUAAAAUUAUGAAAACCAUGUCCCAUGUUCAUUAUUGUGUGCUCCUAUAUUAUGAUAUAUGGUUUAAAAUUAAUUCUCAGUUUCUCCAUUAGGAUGCACUACUUAUUUAUUUCACAUAGGCAUCUAGAAUUUCUUCACAUUUUAUUUAGAUGUAUAUUAUAUUAUUUUUAUAAUAAAGAGAUUAAAAUUUUAAUCAAACAAAAAAUAUUUUUAUUUUCAUGAUUUUUAUUUUAAAUGAAAAAUAUAUAUGUUAAACCAUAUAUUAUCGCUAUAAUGCUUGUGAAUUCUUCUCAAAAACAGAAAUCUAAAAAAAAAAACCAAAUGCAAAAGUACGGCAUAGAGACAAGUUUAAAUUAUAUAGUUCACAAAAUACCAUUAUAGGCUAAAAUUUAGACAAAAAUAAAAUUAAUUAUUAAAUAUUGAUUGUUUUAUUAUUUGUUUUGUAGGAUAAUUACUUGAUGUGUAUUUAAAAUUAUCAAUUUAGAUUAUUUUGAUUAAAUUUUGUGUGGACCUUUUUGUAGAAGAUGUUGCUCUCUAAGUUGUGAAAAGGCUUUUAAGCCUCCAUGUUAAAUGUUAUAUAUUUAAGAUAAACGUGAUAGAAUGAGAGUUAUGUUGUCUUGUUGUAAUAUUCCAAUUAGUAAUUGUGUUUUAAUUUUACUCAACUAUGCUUUGCAUUAGAGUUCCCGUUCAAGUAUCAUUGUGAGACAAAAGUUUCUGUUAUUACAUAGUAAAAACAUUUUAGUUGUCAAAAGAUGAAAAUGGUUUUAUCUAUGCUAGUUUCACGUUGACAACUUUUAAAUUGUCUACCAUGUGAUAAAGAUCUUUUCUCUACAAAUGAUGCUUGAAUUGUCCGAUUGGAUAGUGUAGGAAAACAUAAUAUCUAUGAAGUUAAUUGCUUGUUCUUAAUUCAUUUUAAAUAAAUUUUGGUACUAUUUCCUCUUAUUCUCUGGGUACAUACUUGGACAAGGUGACAUAUUAUGUCUUGUCCAUUUUGUGUACUUGGAGAACCAUAGGGAAAUGCUGCUGAAUUUUUUUUAAAUUUAAAUUGAGCACAUUGGCAGUUGACACAUAGAGAUUAUGUAUUCCUAUAUAGGAUAGGAACCACUCCCUAAUUUAUGAUGUUGGAGAUGUUAGAUGGCAUAAAAAAUUGCAACAUAGCUUGAAUUGUAUAUGCUAAUAAUAUUAAUAUGCACUUGUUUAAUUGAGGUUAUGCAUCACCUUUAAUGCAAGUACUCAAGGUCAAUAACAUUUAUAGCUUCGUAAUCACUACUACAUAUAACACAUACAAUGACCUUUUGUUUUUUCUUGGCAUUUUUUAAAAUUUUCAAUAAUUAGCGUGUUAUUCCAAUAGUGUAAAUAUAUGUAAAAAGUCAAAAUGAUUAGAAAAUUAAUGCUCACCCUUUUUCUCUUAAAUCUAGCCUCUUAAACAAAUGUUAUAUUAAAUUGAUUAUUGAUUAUUCUUUGAAUAGAAGAAAGAGAGGUUGCUAAACGAAUGACAUAAAAAUUGUCAAUAUUUUCUUCCAUUUGAAGUUUGAUCACUGUUGGAAGUUUGUUAUUAAAAAAUGGACUAUUCAUGGAUCUCAAAGGAUAGAAGAUCGAAAGAGUAUGAGGAUGGGGUAGAACAUUUUAUCACAUUUGCAAUACAAAAUUCUGUAAAUAAAAACUCCAUUAAAUGUCCAUGUUUACAGUGUGGUAAUAUGAUAUUCCAUACUCCUCAAAAGACUAGAGAGCAUAUGUUUUUCCGUGGAAUUGAUCAAAGUUACCAUACAUGGUAUUGGCAUGGAGAGGUAGCUCCAAGUGGACCACCAACUACAAGAGUAGAACAUUACGAUAAAGUUCAAUUUGAUGAUGUGCAUAGUACAAUAGAAAUGGUUCAAGCUACACAGGAGGAUUGUAAAAAUGACCCAGAAUCAUUUCAAAGAUUGCUGAAAGAUGCAAAAAAACCUUUAUAUCCUAGUUGUAGAAACUUUACAAAAUUAUCUGCAUUGAUUAAAUUGUACAACCUAAAAGCACGCUUUGGGUGGUCUGAUAAAAGCUUUUCAAAGCUUUUAGAAAUGCUUGGAAAUAUGUUGCUUGUAAAUAAUGAGUUGCCUUUGUAUAUGUAUGAAGCAAAAAAGAAAUUGAAUACAUUGGGAAUGGAAUAUGAGAAAAUACAUGCAUGUCCCAAUUAUUGUAUCCUUUAUAGGAAUGAGUUUAAAGAUGCAUCGUCAUGUCUUACUUAUGGAACUUCAAGGUGGAAGACAGAUAAAACAGGAACUAAAAAGAGGAAGGGGGUUUCGGAAAAAGUAAUGUGGUAUUUCCCUCCAGUUCCAAGAUUUAGAAGAAUGUUUCAAUCAUUAAAAAUCGCAAAAGAGCUCAUAUGGCAUGCCGAAGAAAGAGAUUUCGAUGGUAAAAUGCGUCAUCCAUCAGAUUCACCAUCAUGGAAGCUAGUUGACCAUAGAUGGCCCGAGUUUUCCUCAGAAUCUAGAAACUUGAGACUUGCCAUUUCAGCAGAUGGCAUAAAUCUUCACAGUUCAUUAUAGUACAUUUUAAUAUCUUAAUAGGUGGCAACAACUAGCUAUACAAAAAUCAUUGAUAGAAGCAUAUUAUGGAAGAAAGCAAUGAAGAAGAAAGAUGGCACUUAUGAUGAAGUUGUCAUACCAGUGGUGGAGAAGAUUGUAAGUAUACAUUUUCUAACAUAUAUUUCAUUUAUUUUAAGACCUUAUUUAUAGUAACCAGUAUGACAUUGAAGUUAAUAACAUCAUUGUGGUUUUAGGACAAGAUGUUGAAAGAGUCAUGAGAAAGGGGUCGAAUUUUUAGUGGUAAUAAUGACAUACUUACAAAAGCAUUGGGCACUCUCGAAUACAGUGGUCGAGUACGGGCUAAAGGCAAGCAUUAUACACCACACCAAUAUUUCCAUUCCAUGGCAAAUAGUGUUAUGCGGGAAUUUAUGAAAGAAUCUCAAGAGCGACAAUCUAAGUUUGAGGCAGAUAUUUUAGCCCAACUUUCUCAGAUGAUGCCUAGCACACUUCAAUAUGAUGUUAGCAGCUCUAAUGUUAAGAAAAAUCAAAUUUUCCUGCCUCAAGCUGUUGAGCAACCUAAGUGUCAAGUUGAUGACCAUGUCCUAAUAGUGCAAAAAGAAAACAAGGUAUGUUGUGAUUAAUAUUAUGUUCUAUAAUUCCUAUGUGAUAACACAUAAAGUUAGAAAUUUCAUUUCAUUCAUCUAGUUGAAACUAUUCAAAUACCAACUCAUUAAGAGACAUUUUCAUCCUUCAAGAAUGAAAGUUAUAGGUUUUAUAUAUAGUUUUUACUUGUCUAGGUUUGUCCCACCUACAUGAUGAAUGAGCUAACUAUGGAAAAAACUUUUCUUAUGGUACAAGCACUAGUUUUUGACAUUUAGGGUUUAUAGGGUUUAAAACCUUUAUGUGAACAAGCAUCAUAUUUGACCUUGAUGAAUCAAUUUUCCUCAACUAACUCUUACGGUCCUAGUAAAAUUCUGAAUUUUCAAUGGUUGCAUAUAAGUAAACAAUCUUGUUUAAUUUUAUAGGUUAGGAAAUGCCAAUUGGCCAUAGGGACAAAGGAAAAUGUAGAUGUAGUUGGCACAAUUAUACUUGAAUGUGGUGUUAACUUCUUAGUUGUUGUGGAUGCUUCUUAAGAGCCAAAUGCACCACUUCCUAUGCCUAUUCCUAACCAAAUUACAACUAUUGGAGAGGCUCUUGUGUAUCAAGUUUUGUGGCCUGUCCAAAUGGUCAGUCUUACUACUCAUCCCAUCGAGGUACAAUUUUUUUUUUUUUUCAAUUUUCAUUAACAGUUUCUUAGUAAUAAUUAUAACUUAUUUUAUCAAGGACAAUAAUUAUAUAUGCAAUCAUACACUUUGUUUUUAGGAUUCAAAGAAAUUUAAGAAACAAAGGAAUAAAGAAACACGAUUAAGUUCUAAGGAUGAGAACCCCGUAGACAUUAAGAACUUUGCUACAUUGGUUGGACUACUACUCAAGGAAGGGAAGGUACAUGCAAUAAACAUCACAAAGGAUGUUUUUGGAGAGUCUUGUAAGAGCUUUCUUAUUAAUUAUGAUAUGGAUAUGAUAAUUUCAUCAACAGAGGUGUCAUCUAAUUGUCUUAUGUUCUAUAUAUGGUGAGGGGACAUUUAUUUUGUUUUUUGUCAUAUAUUUUAGUUGCUUCAUGAUAGUUUAAUUUUUAAUUAUAAUCAUAUUAGGAGAGUUGAAAUGUUAGUUACAUUAAAAUAUUAACUUCUUGUUAACGGUAUGUGAAAUUAAAUUAGGCACUUGCAUAAAAAAAUGGUUGAUGCUAAGAUGGCCGGACAAUUUGCUUUUGUAAAUCCAGCUUUGGUUUCCAAAGCUGGAAUGGGGGAAGCAAGCAAGGAAAAUAGGUAAAGGUUUAUUGCCAAUUGAUUGAUGAAUGCAAAUCAUGCUGACUUUAUUUUCAUUCCAUACAACCCAAGGUACAUUAUAGAACUUAAGUAAGCUAUGUUGGUAAACUUAUCAAAUCAUAAUUAAUAUAUAACUAAAUUUAUGUAAAAUUUUGUAGCUAUCAUUGGGUUUUGGUGGCACUGGAAACAAGGACUAUGAUUGCAUAUUACCUUGACUCAUUGGAAGACCAACCUUCUGAUGAUCUUAAGGAGAUUGUUAAUGUGUAAAUUUUUCUCUCAAUACAAGAGCAUGAAGCAUAAUUGGUAACAAAUAUUAUUUUCUUCAUGUAGGGUCCUUAGAAUUCAUCCACCACAAAAACAUAAAUCAUCAAAGAGGGAGCCUACUUGGGUUGUACUAGGGGUGAGUAAUUCAUAUAAAUUAAGUAAUGCAAUUUUUAAUACCAUUUCUUAAUUUUUAAUUAAGUACAAGAUAUCCUACAACUAACUAUAAAAUUGGUGUAUUCUACAAUGAUUUAUUUUUAUGCAUAAAAUGCCCAAUAGAACCAGGCAGUGUUGAAUGUGGAUAUUAUGUGAUGAGAUAUUAUUGCUGAUCAAGGAUGUCUUACAUCAAAGUUAUGCACUAUUUUAUUAAUUUCCAAUAUAUCAAUUUUUACCUUAUUUUUCAAUGUAAUUGAUUAAAUUGUUUACAUUACUCCUUAAUAGUUUCAUGGAAAAAAAAAUCGUAUAGCAAAGAUGAGUUGAACGAAGUACGAUCAGAAUGGGCAAUGCUGGUCACUUAGUUGAUACUUUCUUUUGUUUGAAGGCUUUGAAGACACUUUUUUGUAUGGAAAUAAAUCAUACUUUUGCCUAAUCCAACUAUCACUUUUGUUGAGGUUAAUAUUUUAUUUUUUUCUCUUUUGAACCAAACUAUGAUUAUAAGUAAAUUGUUUGAUGGAAUCACAACCAAGUUGAUAAUAUUUUCUUUCUAUUGUCAUGAUAUUUCUCUAGUUUCCCAUAACUGAACUAAGUUGUUAAUUGCAUGCAUGACUCACAGGCAUCCAAAGGGAAACUUUUUGAAGCUAAAAGUUGGAAGCUUUUCCAAGUUUCUAAUAGGUCAUGAGCUACUGCCACAAAAAAGGUUUUUUUUCAUAGGGAUAUCAAGUUUAUUAUUUCUUGCUUCCUAUUAAAGAUCUUCUAAAAGGGGAUAUACACUUGGAAUUUUGUUGUUCUCAUGUGAUCAUUUGUUUUCAUUCUCAACUAUAGAAUGUUCUUGUUGGUUCAAAAGGGAACAUGAAGAUUUCUAAUUUUGGCCAUGGUGUUAUACCACAACAUUGUAAGUUACAUCGUCACCCUCAUAAAACAUAAAGAUUUCUUCACAAUAUAAAUUUUUUGUUUCAUUGCUUAACUUAUUUAUUUUUCACUGAAUUUAAAACUACAAGAUGAUGGAUUACUAUAUAUUUAUAUACAACCAAUGGAAGUUCAAAUUACAUUGCUUAAUUAACUUCUAAUUAAGUUUUUUCAAGUGUCAAAAAUGUGGUUUGUAGUUUAAUUUUCAUUUCAUUAAAAUUAACGGUUCUAUUUUUAUCUUUUCAACCAAUUUGUAAACUAGGUAAGUGAUUGAGCGUAGCUCUAGAAGCUGCCAAUGAAGUAUCUCUAUGAACAUGAUCCCCUCAUGAUUUGCAGAAAUUUUAAGACCAACAACAUACUCUUAGAGGUAUGGUCUCUACUACUCAUAAAUUACCAUUAUAUUUUGUUCAUUCAGAAAAUUUAUAUUGGUGAUGAAGUUUUUAUUAUUUUACAUCAUUGGCUUGAUAACCAUGCUUUUAAAAUUUAAUAUACAUGAGAAAUAGCAAUUAAAAAAAUGAAUUCCGGUUUCUCACUUUAUGUGUUUGUAUUAUGGACAUUUUUAAGGUAAAGUUCCUUAAGCUUUACUUUUGUGUAAUGUAUUGAAUGAUAGGCUGGUGUUUGAAUCUCUAUUUAGCUUCAUAGAUAACCUGAAUUUAUUGUUAAAUUUUUAUGCAAUCAUAUCUUUUCCAUAUAGUUGUCACUUUGGUUCACUCACAUAAUUCUAGAUAUUUUCCCAAAUAUGUUUUAUUUUAAAAAAUAUUCAUCAUUAGAAGAUGUUUAUCUACUAUUAAGUUGUAGAUAUUCUUCUCUACAUUUUUUUAUGCAUGCCAAUUUAUUUAUUGUUAAGUUCUGGAAUUCAUAUAGUUGUUGCUAGCCUUGAUAGUGAUAAAUAAGAUGAAUGAUAAGUAUGAUACAAUUGGCCACUAUUUUGGAUGCAAUUCUGUAACGCAUAUCAUAUGGUGGGAAAUGAUAAUUCUUUUAACUUAACAAAAAACUUAGUUGAUAAAGUAUCAUGGUGUGAACCUUAUUUAUUUCAUGUUACUGAUUACUACUCAAAAAGUGCUAAUUGAUAGCCUAUAAUUAAUCCUUUUAAACACUUUUGAGUAGUAGUUCAGGCCUUUUAACUCAAUUGGCAUGUUAAGGACCCUUGAAAGGGAUUUUAAUCACUUUAUGUAAGUUUUGGUGUUUUUGUUAGUAAUUUGAUCACCGAAGCAAGCCAAGACUAAGGAGAGUUAUGAGGAAUCUUGGGCAAAGCUUAGAAGUCAUUUGCCAAGAGUAAAUCCGGAUUGCAAGGAGAAAAAGUAAAGAGAAUCUGCCAUGAAGCAUAUUCUUGAUGACAGUCGUAGCAGCCACUUUUGGAGCACUUUCUGAAGUCCAAUUGAUGCAUGCUAUAUAACAUUUCAAAGCUCAGGAAGUCAACAAUCUAAUGCUUCAAAUGGUACGCAAUUCGGAGUUGAAAUGAAGAAGUUGAAGCCAUUGCAAGCCAAUCACUCCGAGCUGAAGGAAGCAUUUUGCAAAGUGCUGCGAAAUCACCCUUUUGUUGCGAAGUGAUUCCGUAGCCUUUUUGUACAGUAGGGUGUAUUUCCUCCUGAAGAUGCCCGACAUAUACCGCGAGAGGGAAGCUGGGAACCUCAAGGUGGAAGCCAACUUCACAGCCCUACGAAGAUAGCAUGUUGUUGCAAAAUGAUUUCGCAGCCCUCUUGAGUGUCUGCGAAAUCUCGCAGACACCAUUUUCUCUUGCGAAAUGGUUCCUGGAGCCUCCCAAUAUUUGCUACCGACAUUGGGAGAUAUUUUACAUCAGAUUUUUGUUGUCUAAAUCCCAAAAUACUCCUUGUAAGCCACCAAUUACAAGAUUCCUUAGCUUUUAAAUUAGUAAAAAAGAGAAACUAUCUAUGUAAUAAUUAGUUUUAUAUUAUGUUCAUAUAUAUACCUCUCGGGAGCCUGUUCUCAAGGAGAGAUCCUUUUGUAAAAGUUUUGGGUAAGCAAGUAAAGUUCAGUUCUUUGUAUUGCCUUACCUUCUCACUUUGUAUUUUCAUUUUCUUACUAAGUUAUGAACUCUCUGAGGAGUUUUCCCCAGAGAAUGAGUAACUAAACCUCUAAUUCCUUGGAUCUAAGGUUGCCGGGGAAGGUUCCAAGUGCAAGAAUGCAAAGCUUUGUGGUUUUAGCUAGUAAUGAAGAGGAAGUGAAAUCCUUUAAUGAUUUCUAUGUUUUUAGUUAACUUAAAACACCUUAGAGUCACCUGGGCCAACACUUGGUAAGGCAAGUGAUUUCCAACCAUGGAAAUGCACUAGUUUACCCCUUGCGAGCCUCUGGGAGGUGACUUCAAGGUAGGAUUUUCUAGAAUAGCCAACACUUGGUAAGCUUUUGGACUCCUAGGAGACAUCCAUUAGUUAUCUCUUGCGAGCUUUUGACGGGUAAUCCAAGGUUAAAGAUCACCUUGAAUGGUUAAGGCUUAGUGAGAGGCUUAAACCAUUGCAAGUUGCAUCAGUGAGAGAAUUAAAGUGAAAUCUAAUUGAAGGAGUCUCUGUACAACACCGGUUAGAGAAUUGACUAUAUGUUGAAUCUCUAACGCGAGGAAAUGAACCAUCUGACCGGAGCCGUGUCUUUUGCAUGAGGAACCACCCCAGUGAACCUAACUCUCCAAGGAAUGUUUUUCUUCCUAAGUUAUUCCUAUUACUUGUUGUGUUAGUUAGUUUAAGUCUAAACCUUUACCAAUCAAAGUUUGUGUUUUAUUUCUUAAGCUAACCUUGAAAUGAAACAAGACCAAUUCACUUUGAGUUGGUAUCAUUGAUAGCUUGCUAAUCCUUCCCAGUGAACGAUCCUAGAGCCACUAUACUAUAGUAGCUUUUUCUUUGCUACCCUAGUAUAUGGUGUUAUAGGUUAUAAAUUUUGUUGAUUACUCCCUCAAUCAAGGAGCACCAGCUGGACACGAAUCAGCUGACGAAUCAGCUGAGACACCAAUUGGGCACGAAUCAGUUACACCAUAUUCCCAAACCUUCCUUUGUCAAUGUUGCGCAUUCGAUGAGGCCUAUUACUAUUAGAUGAUGCCUAAUUGAAUAUUUUAAUGGACUAUUGAUGUUGAUAUUCUCUUGUCCCAAGCUUGGUUUGUUUUUCUAUUUUCUUUUAGGCUAUACUAAAAACUUAAUGGAUUAUUGAUGUUGAUGUUCUCUUAUCCCGUAUUUGAUUAAUCUCUUGUUUUGUGUUUUAACUAUUGAUAGUAAUUUUGUUGUAAUUAUUCUUAGGGUCACAUAUGUCAAUUGUGAUUACUACUCAAAACAUGCUAUUUUGUAGCUUGUAAUUAGCUCUUUUAAGCACCCUUGAGUAGUAAUUAUUACCUUUUAACUCAAUUGGCAUGUUAGGGACCCUUGCAAUCAUUUCUAAUCAAAUUGUGUUAAUGUAGACCCCCAUUUGGGGCUCAUUUUCUGCAGUUUGCUUUUAGCCAGGUGUCACCAUCUGGGGGAAGCCACGUGUCACAUUUUGACUAGCUGCUAGAGAAUCACAAUAGUGGAGUUGGAGGAGCAAUCAGGGGUUGACACCUAUAAAGGUGAUUCUGAGAAAAUCUGCUAGCCGUUAGUGCAAGCUGAGAGGAGCGUAUGAGGAGGGGGGCAUCUAUCUCAGGCGAGGGAGGAAAGAGCGGUGGGAGAGAGAUAUUUGGGGGGAGCUUUUCAUGCUGGUCAGAGAGAUAUUUUAGAGAGGAAGAGGUUACUCUAAGGUAGGUGAGAGACAUAUCGAUUUAGGAGAGAAAUGAGGGAAGAUCCUUUCAGCUGAGGAAGGUAGCAGGCUGUUUGGUUUGGGAAGGACUUACAGAGGAGUUUAUUCAGCUGCGGGGAAUGAGGACUUUGGGGGGAUUCGGGCAGAGGUGGUUUGCCUUUUGGAGGCUGUUGGUGAGAGAGUUACAGAUAGGUAAGCUUGCUGGCUUCAUCGGCAUUGGAGGAGGAUUUAAAGCGCUUAGAGCUGAACAGAGCCUCACUGGAAAAGGGCACUCUCAGGUAUGAAUGCAACAGGUAUAUUGUUUGAUUUCAGAUCCUUGCUAUCCCUCUACAUUUCUUGUUAAUAUCUGGAUAUUUUUUGGUUUGCUUGGGGUGGAUGAUGAAGGCCACUUGUUGCUUGUUGAUAUAUAAUCUUGAACUCAUGCUUGCCAUUUGUUGAUCUUAAUGUACCUUGUCUCCGUUAUGAAAUACCCAAUAAUCCUUCCAAUAUUUGCAUUUGAUGCUAUUUUUCUCACCUAAGAAGAAGGGUCCACUGAUGAUUCAUGAUGUGAAGCCCCUUUUGAGGACAUUUUUAUUUGUUUCUUCUACGCUCUGUUUUCAUCGCAUUUUUCAUUGUCGAGGCCACUUCUAUUCUUGGAUCUUGUUCAUUAUAUGGACUGAGAGGGGGGUGAAGAACAUGAAGAAGCAGCAAGGUUGAGUAGAAGCUUGGGAAUUCCGAUGAAGCUACUUCAUGAAGCUGCAGGGCAUGUGGUUACAGUGGAGCUCAAGGGUGGAGAACUGUACAGAGGAAGCAUGAUCGAAUGCGAAGACAACUAGAAUUGCCAACUCGAAAACAUCACCUUCACUGCUAAGGAUGAAGAGGUUUCCUAACUUGAGCAUGCCUUUAUCCGUGGUAGCAAAGUCAGGUUCAUGGUCAUUCCAGAUAUGUUAAAGAAUGCUCUUGUUGGAAAUAUAUUCAAGCUCUGGCUCCAUCCGUGGUAGCAAAGUCAGGUUCAUGGUCAUUCCCGAUAUGUUAAAGAAUGCUCCUAUUGGAAAUAUAUUCAAGCUCUGGCUCCUUGGGAUUGAGUGUACCAGGAACAGGUCAUGAUUACUUAGCCUUUGGAGUGUCAAUUUCCAAAGUUCACUGCUCAGUCACAAAUUCUGUGGGAGUUCCUGAAUGCCAUUUGGACAGUGACUUCGAGAAAUCCACUUCUCCCUUCACUGAUGAUUUGAUUCCAUCCAGAGCCUCAGCAGCUGCUUCAGGCAUUGGUCUUGAAUAGUUUCCUGGUCAAAUUAUCAGAGGUGCAAGCCCAUUCAGACUUCUACAAGACCAUACUUCUGAUGACAGUACAGAAAAUGGUGAUGCGCUAUGUGCUGAAGAUGUUAUCCCUGUAAGCGCGUCACCAUCAGUCACAACUGAUACUGGUUUGCAUGGAGAUAUUAAAUAUAAUCUGGACUAUGGUUUAGGAUCUGAGCGCACUUGCAGGACUGAGAGGAGUUUUGAGUGACCUGAAUCACUAGUGGAUGUAAAAGAAGUUAAAACAUCCAUUGCUACCAGAACCACUGAUGAAGAUGUUUUGAUCCAUGAAAAUGAGACACCUAUUUCCCAUGGUGUUUCUGACAGGGAUGGCCAUGAAAAAAGUGCUGGUGGUGGUGUUGAUAUUGUUCCUGAGAGUGGGAAGUCUCAGAAGGAAAUGUCUCCACUGAAAAUCGAUGAGUUUAGGCGGUUGGUCGAAGAAUGUGCUAGUGACAGUGAUUCUGAUGAUUCAUGCUAUGUUAGGAAACAUGGUAAAUCUGGGGGUUUCUGGAGAGGACUAGUCAGUAAUGGCUGAUAUUCCUUUGGUUGACCAAGGGUUUUAUGGGAAUGGCAUCAAUUGUUAUAAGGAGGGGCUCAAAACUAUUGGAGUAAUGUUUGAAUAUGGCGAAGCCUAUGAGUUUAUGGGAAUGCACCUCAUGUCUCUUGCAGCUUUCUCCGCAUUGACUAAAUCCCGUCUCCAGUUGGACCUGUUUUACUUGACCAAGAAUGGAAAGCUGCAUCACCAAUUAGUAGCAUCCCUUCCAUUGACCAAGACCACAACGGCAAGGAAAUCCUUUGUUUCGAAAUGUAACUCCAGAUGCUUGGUACGCUAGUUGGCUUUAACAAAAAUCGCCACUUGGUCGCUAAUCACUUCAAGUCUCAAGCAUGCUCAAUUCAUCCAACAGUUGAGUCUAUUCUUUUGAUAUUUGAAUGCAUGGCAUUUCUGACUGAGCAAUGAUAUAUUAAUUUGUUGAGAUAGACUCAUUUCUCAUGGACUCGACGUACAAUAUUGUGUGGAUGAAUAAUGUGAAAGAAAAUUGAAAGCUCACUGUGAAAUUGCAGUAGAAACUCUAUGGAAUAUGAUGGAGGUGACGACACCAGCUCAGCAUCUUCAGGUCCACUUGAUAGGAGAGGUGCCUGUGAUAAUUGGAAGCAAUACCACAGGUGUCUCAUCUGUUCAGCAAUCUGUGUCUGCAAUUUUUAGUUCCCGUGGCUCCAAGCACCACAAGUGGCCUUAAUAUGGCAGAAACACUAGUUCAGACCCUGCUGGUGCACCCUACAGAAACCCAAAUAUUCCACUUACAUGCAUGAAUUUAUAGUCCCACACUUCCCGCUAAUGAAGUGCAUCAAACACGAGUUCUGCAUGAAGCCAUUGACAUUGCUGGGCAGAUUAUUCUCUGUAAUUUCCUACUUCUUGCGUGUCAUCCUUUUCAUGAAGUCUAUGGAGGAUCCACACCCUGUUUUCGGUGGAGUGCCUGAACUACUUUGACUGGCAAACAGUGAGUCUCAUGCACAGCUUCAAGAAGGCGCAACAACUCAAAUGCAAACAACACUGUUACUGGUGGAGAUCACAAGGAGAAAAAGAAGGGUCCCUCUACUAAAAAUUUAAUGGCAAAGAGAGGUCGCCAGAGGAAGCACAAUGAUACGACGACAUUUGGCCGCUGCGCGUGGGGACUUGGAGGCAGUGGAGCAGAUUCUGGACAAGGUAGAUGCUCAGAUGACGGGGACAUUGAGCUGGGCAGAUUUUGGUGCUAAAGUGGCAGAGAAUCAAAGCUCCAAUUAUGAUCCAGAGGGUGAAUAUGUGAGACAUUGGCUGCCCGAGCUGGCAAGAGUGCCCACUGAGUGGAUUCAUCAUCCUUGGGAUGCUCCCUUUACUGUGCUUAAAUCUAGCAGAGGUAGUUUGGAAUCAUGGGCUGCUCAAGCGAGUUGGGGUUUGCCAUGGCAUUAGUGGGAAUGCUUAUGUGUUUCUCUCACUGUACCGACUGACAUACAAAAUGGAGUUUGUUUUAGUGCCGUGCUGGAUGAGCUUGUUACUAAUGAUGAGAGCUGCCGAAGAUCUUAUUAGAUGGUUGCAUCAGCCAACUUAUCGGAAUCAAAGGUCUAAGUUGUGGUUAAACUAUUUUGAGAUGUAUGGCGGAAAACUCCUUGAUUUUCUCAACGAUAGAAAGAAACUUUGUAUGAGAGAAGAUAGAAGACAACAAGUUUGCAUUGUUGGACUGCAAGAAUUUGAUGUUUUGGAUGCACAGAUUGUGAAAGAGAUCCUUGAGAGAAGUUUCUAUUCUAUGUGGUGGGGUCUCUGUGGAUGAUGAGACGACCUUCAUUGUCAUUUUGAUGAGUCAGCCUGCUGCCCAUCUCAAAUAGCUUAUGGAUCAGAAUCCUAUGAGGUUGUAGCAUAUCUUCCUGAAACUGCCAUAAAAGUGGCCAACUCCACUCUGCAUGGUGCAUGGCCACUUUUAAGCCACAUGUCUUUCUGACUUGGUUUCACCUUUGGUUUUUUUAAAUAAUCCCUCAAAUCCCAAUUUUCAAAUAGUUUUCCAAUUUCUCGAUUUUCAAAUAAUUUUAACUUUUUCAAAUCUUCAUCCUUAGUUUUAGUUUUAUUAUGCCUCAAAAUAUCAAUUCUAAUAAAAUUUGCUUCCACUUUCUAUUCGGCAAGCAAUUUUCAAAUCUUUCAUGAUCUUUUAAAAUGUUUUUAAAAUAAGUAAGAAUUAAAUUCCGUAAUUCCAAGUGAUGGAAUUUAUGGAAUUGAUUCAUGCAAAAUAAAAGGGCUUUGGUGGGGGCCCAACAUCAAAUAAAUUUUCAUCAAAAUAAAAUUGAGUGAAAUGACACAUGUGUUAUUGAUGAUUUUGUAUUCAGUUUAGUGACAUGUAUGCUAUAUCUUGUAAUCAUUGUUUUGUACUAAUCUCAUUUUCUUGAUAGCGCAUAGUGGCUCGCUGCUCAGGUACACACUCAUUCCCACUCUGGUUAGUCUAUAUGCAUUUUCUGACUCUUAUAUGCGCAUGAUUGAUUCGAGUAUUCAUUGAUUUUCUCAUUGAUUUCCAUGUCAGCUUCAUCUCAUUAGUAGAGACCCGACUUUAGGGACUUAGAGGGGUGCUACGGUCUUUACCGUACCUUCCCGAUAAGUAACCUGACCCCCGAACCCGAUCCGGUUUUUCACAGACCACCUUUUCCAAAAUAAGGAGUCACACUUAGGGUUUUUCUUUCUUAUUUUGUUUACCCUUUAAAAAUAAAACAAAAAUAAGUGGCGACUCCAAGUCAUUUUCAAAUAAUCAAUAAAAAUCAAUUUUUCAAAUAAAAAUCGAGCUCUCCAUCGAGUGGGAAACGCAUUGAGCCGAAAUGCGGGGUCCACAGUUAAGUUUUGGUGUUUUGAUAGCUUUUUUAUCACCAAAGCAAAUCUGAGAUCGAGGAUAGUUCUUUGGAAUCCAUACAAGGAGUAUACUCGGACAAGGUGUCCAGAUAUACCAUCGGAAGGCAUCCGGACAACAUAUCCGGAUAGGAUGCUAUCGUUUCAUCCAAACAACAUUCCACUUGGGUAGGAAUUGCACCCGGCUGCCAUGCACUUUCCACUCCCGGAUGUUCACAUCCGAAAUUCUGACGCCGAAUGGGAGAGGAGGCGUUUUAACUUCUCCAGACAGACGUAUCUAGAUCAUUUGAUAGCCGCCUACCCGGAUGGGAGAGCAGCCAUUCUGCACAGUGCAGCGGUGUUCUCCUGAAGCUUCCUUCUAUUUCCGACCGACAUCUUAAGAUAUUUGCCACCGAUAUUUUAGGAUAUUUUGCUUUAGAUAUUUGAUGUCUAAAUCCCCAAACUCUCCUUGUAAUCCACCUAUCAUAGGAUUCCUUAGUUUUUAAGUAAGUAAAAAUGGUGAAUAACCUCAUAUAUAUAGUUUGUAAUUUUCUUGGAAAAAUAUAUCAUCGAUGUAAUAGACAAAAGGAAGAAAUAUAUUGUAGAGAGCACUUGCUAUGUUUUUGCUUAAUAUUUGUUUUCUCAUUAAUUUUCUUUCUAGCCAAACAAGCUUUGAGGAAGUUUCCUCAGAGAAUGAGUGGCUAGACUUUUAGUUCCUUGGAGUUGAGGUUGCUGGGAAAGGUUCCAAGUGCAAGAAUUAGUAGCUUUGUGGUUUUAGUUUUUAAUGAAGAGAAAGUGUAACCUGUUAAUGGUUUUUUUAUCUUUUUAGUUAACUUAAAACACCUUCAAUUCACUUGAGCCAACACUUGGUAAGGCAAGUAAUUUCUAUCUAUGGAGAUGCACUAGUUUACCUCUUGCAAGCUUUUGGGAAGUGACUUGAAGGUAGGAUUUUCUAGAAUUGCCAACACUUGGUAAGCUUUUGGACUCUAAGGAGACAUCCAUUAGUUAUCUCUUGCGAGCUUGAGAAGGGAAGUCCAAAGUUAAAGAUCACCUUGAAUGGAAAAUUCUAUGUGAGAGGCACGAGCCAUUGCAAGUUGCAUCAGUGAGAGGGAAUUAGAGUUUGAACCCAUUAAAGGGAAGUAUCUGUAUAGCACCAGUUAGAGAAUUGACUAUAUGUUAAUUCUCUAAUGUGAGGAAAUGAACCAAAUGACCGGAGCUCUGUUUUUGCAUAAGGAACCUUCCCUGUGAACCUAAACCUCCAAGGAAUGUUUUUCUUCAUAAGUAAUUUCCAUUACUUUCUUUUUGGUUAGUUUAAGACCAAACCCUUUUCACUCAAACAUCUUUACGUUUUCUUUUGAAGCUAACCUUGAAAUGAAAGAGCACCAACUCAGAUUUGAAUUGGUAUUAGUUGAGAGUUGAAAACCCUUCCCAGUGAACGAUCCUAGAGUCACUAUGCUAUAGUAGCUUUGUCUUUGCUACCCUAGUUCAUGGUGUAAUAUGUUAUAGUUUUUGUUGAUUACUCCCUCAAUCAAGGAGCACCAGCUGGACAUGAAUCAACUGAUACACUGACUGGGCAUGAAUCAAAUUGGUAUACACAUUUGUUUUCCUAUUAUAUUUUCAUUGUCAUUUCUUUCUCUCUAUUUCUAGAAGUAUUCACUUACAUAUCUUUUUUUGAAAUUGUAAUUGAUUUUAGUUUUUUGUGCAUGUAGGUCAUCUUUUUGGGAAAUUAACCUUGUAGUUGGAUAAGUUAGCAUGAAGGAGUAUGUUGAAGACCAAAGCACAAUUGGGUUGCAUGUAAAGAAAAAUGGACUAUGUCAAGGGACUAAACUUUAAAGUUAUGACUUCUUUUUUUUGUUAUUUUAAUAUAUUUUAGCUUUUUUGUGUUUCUUGUUUAUGAAAUACAAGUUCUCUAUUUGUGAUUAAAUACUGCAAUUUAGAAAUGUAUUACCAGGUGAAAAAUUAGGUGCAACAACUAAUUUCAUUGGUACAUACUUUUUUUUCUUAUGUGUAUGCAUUAUUUCAAUAGCAGGUGAAAAAUUAGGUGCAACAAUUAUUAAAUUAAAACUAAAUUUAAAAUUAAACAAUUAUCUUCCUUGAUGUUUUUACUAAGUGUCAAGGAAUGAGAGUAACCACCAGUAACAUUUAUAAAACCCAAUAAUGGCACUAAUAAAUGUGUCAAUGUAGUGUGAACAACUAACAAUGAUACUUUUUAAGUGUCAAGGUUCUCUUCAAUGGCGCUUUCUAGAAAUAUCCUUAUAGUUCGAUAUUUGAAACUGCUAAACAAUGACACUUAUAGAAAGUGUCAAGGUUUCUUCUAGUCAACAACGGCGCUUAUAAAAGUGUCAAUGUAGUUUGAUAUAACUAAUGAUGACACUUUUUUUAAGCAUCAAGGUUCUCUUCAAUGGCGCUUUCUAGAAGCGUCAUUGUAGGCAAAUACUUAUUAUGACAGGCUAGUAGAUGACACUUUGGGGAAGCACCAUUGAAUGUAUUUCUCGACACUUAAAAAGCGUCAUGGUUAAUGUUUUUUCUUAUAGUGAACAUACAGAUGGUACUGUUCAAUUAGAAUUUAAUCCAGCUUCAAAAUACUCAUUUACUCAAGAAGUUCUCUCUACAAGACCUUCAACUUCAAGUAAAAAUUUGAAAAGCGUUAAUUUUGCUCCAAAUAUUCCUAUUCCUAUUUAUCAACAACAAGAAUCUCCUCCUAUGUCCCCUACUCAUUUUGAUAUGUGUCAUUCUCAAGUCAAUAUUAUUCAUAAGAAAAAUUAUAAGAGAACUCCUUUUAAGCCAAACAUUGAAUGGAUAAAAUUAGAUUAUUUCUCUCCUUACAAUAAACCUAGAAAUUCUUUAAGAAAACACUAUGAAAAUUAUAUGAAUCAAAAUAAAAUAACAAUUCUUUUUUUCCAUUGGUUUUUCAAACUUUGAAAGAAACGAAAUUAUAACUUUAAGAUGGGAAGAAGGAUAUCAACUAGCAUUGAAAACCUAGAGAAAUAAUUCAAAAAAUAAUUUUAACAAUAACCUCAGAAUUAGGUUCUCAACCACCCCUAAAUAAUCAUUAAUUUAAUUUUGAUAAUAAUUCUAUUUCUGCUUCACCUUUUAAAAUCCCAAGAACAAAAUAUGAAUAAAGUUUCAUAAUUUACAAAGAUAUUAGAUAAGUUCAACAACAAUUAAAUUAUAUAAAUAAUCAUCUUCAACAUAAGAAUCAAUAAACAAAAAAAAAAUUCUCAAUUUUUGUUUUCUUCUACCCCCGGAGGGAGGAUAGGAGAAACAUCAAAAUCGUCAAUUUUUCCUCAACUCUAUCAUUAUCAUCAUCAUCAUCUUCUGUUAAGUUUUUAAACCAAGCUUUCAUUAUUCUUAUAAAUGCUGCUAAAUAAAAAACACAACUCUCUACUCCAACAAAAACAAUGUUAAAAAAAAAUACAACUUAGAUUAGAUAAACUUAGUAUUAAUGGUAUCAAUCAAAAUAUGAAUCAAAUUCAAACCAUAACUAAAGAUAAAUCAAAAUGACUCCAAAUUCAAUAAAUACACCUCCUUUAAUAGUUGAUACAAUAUCUAAUAAUUUUGUAAGUAGAAAAAAUUAUUAUUCAAAGCCUGUUUUUCCUUAUGUACAAUUAGAAGAAAGAAAUUAUCAAUUAGCUGUAAGUUAUAAUGGUAGUAGUUUUUAUUAAUGAAAUAUAAGUGGUACGAGUGAACACCAAAUAAUUAACCUACUUCAUGAAAUGAUGAUGGUUGUUAUGCUUAUAGAACCAAGACUAAUAAUUAUGAUUUUCAUGUUGUGGAUGCCUUAUUAAUAAGGUUCACUAAUUUACUUAAAGGAUGAUGGGAUCAUUAUUUGAGUAAAAAUGAUAGAGAAUAUAUAUUAAAUGUGAAAAAGAUAAUAAUUAAAGAAGAAGGAACAUUAGUCCAAACUUAUGAGAAAGAUGUUGUCAAUACUUUAAUAUUUGCAAUAACAAAACAUUUUAUAGGGGAUUCAGUAUAUUUUCAAGAAAAAACAUUUGAAAUUCUCAAUAAUCUUAGAUGUCCAAAACUUCAAGAUUUCAAGUAGUAUAAAGACAUGUUUUUAGUCAAAGUCAUGGCUAGACCUGAUUGUGGAAGUCAUUAUUGGAAAGAAAAAUUUAUAUUAGGGUUACCCACUUUAUUUGCUGAAAAAGUUAGACAAAGAAUUAGAAAUGUAUAUAAUGAAAGAAUUCCUUAUGAGUCAUUAACAUAUAUAUGGAGAAUUAAUUACCUUUAUCAAUAAUGAAGUUUAUCUUUCUACACUGAUCUCAAACUAAAGAGUCAAAUGAAAAAAGAGAAACAACAUAGUAAGAAAGAGUUAGGAAAAUUUUGCUCAUAUUAUGGGUACAACACUAUAGUAGCCCAUUCAAAAAGGAAAAAUAAACAAAAUAACAUAAAAGGCAAGAAAUCAUCAACUGAGUAAAAAUUCCAAAAGAAAUUUGUAAAAAUACUAAUAGAUCAAAACCUUCUAAUAAAACAACUUUAAAAAAGAAGAUACCAACAUGUUAUAAAUGUGGAAAAGUAGGUCAUUAUUUAAAAGAUUGUCAAUUAGAAAAUAAAAUUAAUUAAUUAGAAAUAAGUGAUUUACUAAAAAAAAAAAUUAUAGGAUUAAUGAUUAGUGAAGAAUAAGACUAUUCAAUUGAAUACUAUGAAGUAGAAGAAGAAAAUCAAAUGUUAAUAAUUCAAGAAACAUCAAUUGAAGAGUCCAGUCAAGAUGAAUCAGAAAAUGAAAAGGAAUGUGAUGAUAUUUGUGUAUGCUCUUAUAAAUCAAUAAAUUUGAUUUCAAAAAAUUCAAAAACUUCCUCGAACAUUUUUAUUCAUAAUCAUCUGUCACUCAUAAAUUCAAUAUAUUUUCAAUUUUGGUAUAUUAAAGAUAGGUUGUUUAGAUAUCUUAAUUAUAUGUCAAAAAAUAUACUAACAUUUAAAAUUUUCUUAUGGAUGGAGCAAGAAUGGAUAAGUGCUAUAGUCAUCAAGGAAUUGCAUUAUGUAUUAAACUUUUGUUUCACUUAGGUUUAGAUAUUCCUAUGUGUGUUUGCCUGAGAGACGCUAUGGCAAUAAAGUUUAUUGAUUCUAUCUUUAGUAUGAUUGAUUUAAACCUUGAAAAUGGUCCUAUUUAUUUUAACUAUUAUCCAAUUUUUUCCAUGAACACAAAUGAUUCAAGUAUUUUAUCAAGGCACACUUACAUUCUUGUCUUUCAAAUGGAAUUUCCCUACACAAGGGAUCAAGUUUUGGACAUGCAUUUUUUAUGUUGCCAUAAUGAGAAGUUAAUUUUACUACACAAUAAAAGGUAAGUCAUAACUUUAAUGUUAACAACUUAACAACAAUAUAACUUAAGGUCCACUUAAGUUAUUAAGUCAUAACUAUUAAGUUUUAUCAAACACCCAAUUCUAUGUUGUAAUUUAAAAGAAUGACAAGAUAAUAAAAACUUAGAUGGACAUUGAAUGCUUUUCUUUUUAUUUUUUAAUUAAUUUUAUUUUAAAAAAUGUAAAAUAUAAAGAUUCUUUAAUAAUGCUUUUAAUUUUUGUAAGCAAUAAAUAUGUUUAUAGUUUUAAUCCUAUAUUUGAGUUUUUUAAACAAAAUAUUAAAAUGUGUGUUGAUAAAGAUGUAAUAAUAUGUAGAAAAUCAAGGGAUAAUUUUCAAUUAUUUCUUCGUAAUUUUUAUUGAUUGUUUUAUCCAUAUAUAGUAACCUUUUAUAAAAUAAUACUCUUAAGAGGAAAAAUUAUUAUCCUAAUGGGGUGAUUGAUUUAUUAACAAAUAAAUAAUUUAUUAAUAAAUAAAUAUUUAUUAAUUUAAAGAUCAUCUUUCUUAUGUAUGGUUGUGGACCCCGCAUUUCAGCUCAUGCGCUUCCACUCGAUGGCGAGCUCGAUUUUAUUUGAAAAAUGAUUUUAUUUAUUAAAAAAUGACUUGGAGUCGCCACUUAUUUUUGUUUUAUUUUUAAAAGGGUAAACAAAAUAAAAAUGAAAAACCGAGUCUGGGUCCGAGGGUCAGGUUACUUAUUGGGAAGGUACGAUAAAAUAAAACAUCUGGUUUGAGGAGGGUAAGUAAGAGAACAACUCAUGGGUAUUUUGGUCCUCCUUUCUUGGACUCAAUGAUCUGGUUUGAGGAUGAGUCAUUGGAAGCUUCAGUAGAAAUGGCCUUCACCUCCACUAGUCCAACUUGCACAUCCAUGGUACCAGCAACAAUGGGCUCCUUUCCAUUGCCACUAGAGCUUCCAUUCACAAUGCUUCCAAUGGAUGAUUGAUUCGCAUGUAACUCCAAAUGGGUCAUUUAAUCAAAAACAUUUAUAAAACCUAUGACCUCAUACUAGUGUAGCAAAGCUACUAUAGUAUAGUGGCUCUAGGGUCGAACUUUGGGAUGGGUUUUCAUUCUACCAGUGAUAUACUCAUGAUUAUGAAUUGAAUUUAAUGAUUUCCUUUAUAAAAAAAAACUUAGAGUUUAAAAGAAAAUAAAAUUUGUUUUGAAAGUGUUUGAAACUAAAUUAACAUAAACUAAUUAAAAAUGGAAGAAGGAAAGUCUCCCGGAGCUCAGGAUUGCUAGGAUCAAGUUUAGAAUGCAAAGUGGAAAAUUCCGGAUUUUUCUCCUCGCAUUGGGGAUUUAACCUAUAGUUAUUUCCCGAACCGGUAUAGGUUUAACAAUGAAGAUUUAAUCCAUAAUAAUCAAUAUAAAUGGUAGUCAAAGUCCAUUAAUGGCUUUAGACACUAUAGGUCUUCACCUUGAACCGCUUUCCAAUGACUCGUACAUGAUAACUAAUGGACUAAUAUGGAUCUAGCAAUAAACAUCCAUAAAGACCUGAAGCUUACCAUGUAUUGGUCAUUNNNNNNNNNNNNNNNNNNNNNNNNNNNNNNNNNNNNNNNNNNNNNNNNNNNNNNNNNNNNNNNNNNNNNNNNNNNNNNNNNNNNNNNNNNNNNNNNNNNNGUCAUUUAAUCAAAAACAUUUAUAAAACCUAUGACCUUAUACUAGUGUAGCAAAGCUACUAUAGUAUAGUGGCUCUAGGGUCGAACUUUGGGAUGGGUUUUCAUUCUACCAGUGAUAUACUCAUGAUUAUGAAUUGAAUUUAAUGAUUUCCUUUAUAAAAAAAAACUUAGAGUUUAAAAGAAAAUAAAAUUUGUUUUGAAAGUGUUUGAAACUAAAUUAACAUAAACUAAUUAAAAAUGGAAGAAGGAAAGUCUCCCGGAGCUCAGGAUUGCUAGGAUCAAGUUUAGAAUGCAAAGUGGAAAAUUCCGGAUUUUUCUCCUCGCAUUGGGGAUUUAACCUAUAGUUAUUUCCCGAACCGGUAUAGGUUUAACAAUGAAGAUUUAAUCCAUAAUAAUCAAUAUAAAUGGUAGUCAAAGUCCAUUAAUGGCUUUAGACACUAUAGGUCUUCACCUUGAACCGCUUUCCAAUGACUCGUACAUGAUAACUAAUGGACUAAUAUGGAUCUAGCAAUAAACAUCCAUAAAGACCUGAAGCUUACCAUGUAUUGGUCAUUCAAAGUGAUUCUAAGGGAUUUAAAGCAAAACUUUAGAUUUAAAAGCCAUUUAUGAAUUCCAACUACCUGAAUUUAAUGCACGAGUGUUUUCCACCUUGCAUCUGGACUUUUCACCUAGCUUCCAUCACUCCAAGAAACCAAAAGUUUAGCCUCUCAUCCUCUGAGAAAACAUCCUCAGAGGUUGUUUGGCUUCCAAGAAAAAGAAAAUAGUAGAAAGAAAAUGGAAAACGAGAGAGCUCUGUAAAAAUUUCUAAGUGUCAAACGUAAUACGUAUAUUUCAUAUCCAAGAGGUAAUUUCCACCCCUUAUAUAGUCUUUACAAAAGCAAAAGCUUGUGAUUGGUUAGUUACAAGGAUAAGAAAGGAAAUUACAUCAAAAAAUACAUAGGAAAAUAUCUAAAGUGGAGUCGGCAAAAACAGAGCAAAAUUUGCACCACGCAAGGGGUGUGCGAAAUUUUCGCACACCAUUCACACAGCUAAGGGGAAUUUCGCACACCUGGAGCAGUUGUCUUCCGAAAGCCAUAUCUUCCUCGUUUCAGCUCCAAAUUAUACACGGUUUGAAGCGUUGGAUUCUUGACUUCCUGAGCUUUGAAAUGGUAUAUAGCAUGUAGAAAAUGGACUUCGGGAAGUGCUCCAAAAGUGCCAACGAAGACUGCAGCUGCUGUCCUCUGUUUUCCUCCUUGCUUCUCUUUGCUUUUCUCCUUUGAUUGGCUUGUCUUAAUGAUCCAAAAAGAUGUCAAAACACUAAAACUAGCCACAAAUAUGAUUAGAAGACAUUGCUAGGUCCUUAACAUGCCAAUUGGACUAAAGAUGGAGAACUACUACACAAAAGUGCUUAAAACAUAAUGCAUUAAAGGUGUAAAAUAGCACUUUUUGGGUAGUAAUCACUCCCCCCAACUGACACAUUGCUAGUCCCUGAGCAAUGAAGGAGAGAAAAAGAAAGAAAAAUAGAUAAUAUAAUAAUUUACAAAAUCAUGCUGAUCACUCCAAAAAAUAACCAAGUGGCAUGAUUGGAUCAAACACUCUCGUGGCAAGUCAAGGAUAUAAAACUCAAUCANNNNNNNNNNNNNNNNNNNNNNNNNNNNNNNNNNNNNNNNNNNNNNNNNNNNNNNNNNNNNNNNNNNNNNNNNNNNNNNNNNNNNNNNNNNNNNNNNNNNNNNNNNNNNNNNNNNNNNNNNNNNNNNNNNNNNNNNNNNNNNNNNNNNNNNNNNNNNNNNNNNNNNNNNNNNNNNNNNNNNNNNNNNNNNNNNNNNNNNNNNNNNNNNNNNNNNNNNNNNNNNNNNNNNNNNNNNNNNNNNNNNNNNNNNNNNNNNNNNNNNNNNNNNNNNNNNNNNNNNNNNNNNNNNNNNNNNNNNNNNNNNNNNNNNNNNNNNNNNNNNNNNNNNNNNNNNNNNNNNNNNNNNNNAAUGAGGUCAAUGGCACCAAGUCGAUAUUUUCCAAAGUUAGGGGGGGUGAGAAAGUUUUCCAUCUUAUAACUGGAAUCUAAUGUGUUCAGUGUGUGAAAAGAUUAGAGUGGAAGACUUAAGCUGNAAAACAAAAGAAGCUUCAACAAUUUAUCAACUUUAAUAAGCAUAAUACAAACUCUGAGACUAUGGCAAUAAGAUAAGAAUUUAAUUUCUCCCAUUUACUUUUGAGAAUUUAUCUUUGAGAAAACAAAGAGAGUUUGCAAAAAAUUUGUUAGCAAAAUAACUUAACAAAUUCAACAAAUUACUUCCUCAACUCUCCCCUCAACUAAGAUGAACAUUGUCCCCAAUGUUCCAAAAGCAAGCGAUAAAAUAAGGGAGGAAGUGAUACCUCCUGAUAGUAAGGGACUCUGAAUGAACAGGAGAAACCACAUGUUGCAUAAGAAAAGGAAAAUCAUAAGAGUGAUGAAAAGAGGAAAUAAAAUGGAAUAGCUAAAAUACACUAAAAGAGAAGAUGUCUAUAUAAACUGAGAAAGUACAAUAUACAAAAUAAACAUGGAAUACAUCCAAUCCCAGUAUAAAAGUGGUCCAAAAUAUAUAAGACAUCCCAAAACGUAGCAUAUAGAUACAAAAAAAGAAGAGGAGUGAUCGUAUGAUCAAGUAGUAGGCUCCUCUGGUGGAUAGGAGGGGUCCUCCGCUGCAACUGUGGAAGGCACCGCUACAGAUGGAGCUGGUGGCACAAGACCGAGGUGCUGCUGAAUCUCACGGAGAAUGAGAGUCUGCUGGUCCUGCUGAGUCUGGAAGUGGUCCAUGCGCUCCAUAAUGGCCGUCUGAGUAGUGGUCAAAGUCUGGAAAGAAGUGAGCAAGGCACGAUACUCUGGACCAGGGAUAGUAAUGGGCGACUCUGAUGUAGGAGGAACAACAGGUGGGGCAUCAGAUGAUGCUGCCUCCGGUACUGGCUGUGGAGGGUCUGUAGUGGACGGAGCAGGAGGGACUUCCCUUGGCUCGGAAAGUUCUGGGGACUGGCGAUGGAGCCAUAUCUGAGUCCAUUGGUCAAGAGAGAAGCUCUCUCGACAAUGGCGGCGGGGCUCUGAACGAGGGUCUGUAGGAAAACCCAUAUGCGCCAAAACAUGGCAUAGCAGCCGAGGGAAAAGUAAAGGAAUGGAGUCUGCCCUCGCAAGAUGCCGCGUAUGCACCUUCUCCUCAAAAUGGAGGAGAGCGGCCAUAAUCAAAUGAUGGGGGCCAAAAUAGUAGCCCUCAGAGAUACGGAAUAAUGCCUCCAUAAUGGCCCCUCGUCUCUGUACUUUAUGCUGAAGAGGAAAAAGAUUGGCGCGAAGCACCACAUCAACUAGAAGCAUCUCUGGGGGAAGCUCUCUCCUCAAAAUGGUCCUCUGGGAAGAUGUCCCUCGAGAUAGGAUACGAACCAUGUCCCACUCAGAAAAUGGGACCCAGCGUCUAAAUGUAGCGGGAUCUACUGGUGCAAAAGGGAUAUGGAAGGCAUCGGCAAUCUGUCUAGCCCCCAAAAUACUCUGGCGUCCAUCAAUGGUAAAAAGGAUCAAGGCAGGUACUGGGACGCCACGAGUAGUCAUAGACUGGUAAAAGUCUAAAGCUACUCGAGGAUAAAAGAACUGGGGCAGAGUCAUAAAGGGUAUAAGAUGGUACCUCUCAAGUAGGCGAUAUGAAUCCCGCAACUCAGGCUGCUGUCGCAUAAGAGAGUGAUCAAAAUAUGCCUCGACAUGAAAGUCUCUCGAUCGGCAAUCUGAAUUGCCCUCAAUGGGCAAGCUGGGUCUACGGCGCCUGGCGGAAGAAGGCUGAUACUGUGAAUCCCGAGGUGCUCUGGAGGAAUCUCCUGGCUUUGAAGUCUUGGCUCUCUUUGUAGGAGGACUCCGAGGCAGAACUUGUGGUGGGGCCACAGACGUGGCAGAUGCUUUCCUCGUAUGGUAUCUGCUCUGAGGGGCAGAAUCAGGUAAAUGUGAGGGUGCAGCUAGUGGGGCCCGCACAGGGGCAGCUCUCUGACUGCUCUGGGGGGCUGUGGUAGAUCCUCCUUGGGUCUUUGGCAUGAUGGAGCGAUNNNNNNNNNNNNNNNNNNNNNNNNNNNNNNNNNNNNNNNNNNNNNNNNNNNNNNNNNNNNNNNNNNNNNNNNNNNNNNNNNNNNNNNNNNNNNNNNNNNNGAGCUUUGAAAUGGUAUAUAGCAUGUAGAAAAUGGACUUCGAGAAGUGCUCCAAAAGUGCCAACGAAGACUGCAGCUGCUGUCCUCUGUUUUCCUCCUUGCUUCUCUUUGCUUUUCUCCUUUGAUUGGCUUGUCUUAAUGAUCCAAAAAGAUGUCAAAACACUAAAACUAGCCACAAAUAUGAUUAGAAGACAUUGCUAGGUCCUUAACAUGCCAAUUGGACUAAAGAUGGAGAACUACUACACAAAAGUGCUUAAAACAUAAUGCAUUAAAGGUGUAAAAUAGCACUUUUUGGGUAGUAAUCACUCCCCCCAACUGACACAUUGCUAGUCCCUGAGCAAUGAAGGAGAGAAAAAGAAAGAAAAAUAGAUAAUAUAAUAAUUUACAAAAUCAUGCUGAUCACUCCAAAAAAUAACCAAGUGGCAUGAUUGGAUCAAACACUCUCGUGGCAAGUCAAGGAUAUAAAACUCAAUCAUCAACACGAGUCAUCAAAUAACUUACUUAUCACAAUAUUCAAAGAGCGGUCAUUAUGCAAAUUUGAGUAUCAAAAUAAUUUCCACUUCCAAAGGAUCAAUUCUUAAUAUUCCACAAAAAUCUAAGUGUUAAGGCGCUUAGUUUCCAAUUAUAGUAUGUCAAACUAUAUUCUCCCCCCAACUAAGGUUUUUCUCCAACUUUAGCAACACUAACUCAUAUAUAAAAGGCUAAGAACACACCUUUCCUUUUUUUUUUUUUUAAGUGUCACUCCACCCAUCCACCCAUGUAACGAGCAGUGAGGUCGGGGAACUCCCAACCAGUAAAGGCUUAGGACACCAGGCUUUAAAGAUUUUCACCAUAUGCCCCUCGGACCUUGCUCGGGUUUCAAAGCAAGUGAAGCAAAAAUUAUUUUCAUAAGACACAUUGGCCUUUAAUAAGGUGUCCCAACACUAAUAGAAUGAGGUCAAUGGCACCAAGUCGAUAAUUUCCAAAGUUUAGGGGGGUGAGAAAGUUUUCCAUCUUAUAACUGGAAUCUAAUGUGUUCAGUGUGUGAAAAGAUUAGAGUGGAAGACUUAAGCUUGAAAACAAAAGAAGCUUCAACAAUUUAUCAACUUUAAUAAGCAUAAUACAAACUCUGAGACUAUGGCAAUAAGAUAAGAAUUUAAUUUCUCCCAUUUACUUUUGAGAAUUUAUCUUUGAGAAAACAAAGAGAGUUUGCAAAAAAUUUGUUAGCAAAAUAACUUAACAAAUUCAACAAAUUACUUCCUCAACUCUCCCCUCAACUAAGAUGAACAUUGUCCCCAAUGUUCCAAAAGCAAGCGAUAAAAUAAGGGAGGAAGUGAUACCUCCUGAUAGUAAGGGACUCUGAAUGAACAGGNNNNNNNNNNNNNNNNNNNNNNNNNNNNNNNNNNNNNNNNNNNNNNNNNNNNNNNNNNNNNNNNNNNNNNNNNNNNNNNNNNNNNNNNNNNNNNNNNNNNNNNNNNNNNNNNNNNNNNNNNNNNNNNNNNNNNNNNNNNNNNNNNNNNNNNNNNNNNNNNNNNNNNNNNNNNNNNNNNNNNNNNNNNNNNNNNNNNNNNNNNNNNNNNNNNNNNNNNNNNNNNNNNNNNNNNNNNNNNNNNNNNNNNNNNNNNNNNNNNNNNNNNNNNNNNNNNNNNNNNNNNNNNNNNNNNNNNNNNNNNNNNNNNNNNNNNNNNNNNNNNNNNNNNNNNNNNNNNNNNNNNNNNNNNNNNNNNNNNNNNNNNNNNNNNNNNNNNNNNNNNNNNNNNNNNNNNNNNNNNNNNNNNNNNNNNNNNNNNNNNNNNNNNNNNNNNNNNNNNNNNNNNNNNNNNNNNNNNNNNNNNNNNNNNNNNNNNNNNNNNNNNNNNNNNNNNNNNNNNNNNNNNNNNNNNNNNNNNNNNNNNNNNNNNNNNNNNNNNNNNNNNNNNNNNNNNNNNNNNNNNNNNNNNNNNNNNNNNNNNNNNNNNNNNNNNNNNNNNNNNNNNNNNNNNNNNNNNNNNNNNNNNNNNNNNNNNNNNNNNNNNNNNNNNNNNNNNNNNNNNNNNNNNNNNNNNNNNNNNNNNNNNNNNNNNNNNNNNNNNNNNNNNNNNNNNNNNNNNNNNNNNNNNNNNNNNNNNNNNNNNNNNNNNNNNNNNNNNNNNNNNNNNNNNNNNNNNNNNNNNNNNNNNNNNNNNNNNNNNNNNNNNNNNNNNNNNNNNNNNNNNNNNNNNNNNNNNNNNNNNNNNNNNNNNNNNNNNNNNNNNNNNNNNNNNNNNNNNNNNNNNNNNNNNNNNNNNNNNNNNNNNNNNNNNNNNNNNNNNNNNNNNNNNNNNNNNNNNNNNNNNNNNNNNNNNNNNNNNNNNNNNNNNNNNNNNNNNNNNNNNNNNNNNNNNNNNNNNNNNNNNNNNNNNNNNNNNNNNNNNNNNNNNNNNNNNNNNNNNNNNNNNNNNNNNNNNNNNNNNNNNNNNNNNNNNNNNNNNNNNNNNNNNNNNNNNNNNNNNNNNNNNNNNNNNNNNNNNNNNNNNNNNNNNNNNNNNNNNNNNNNNNNNNNNNNNNNNNNNNNNNNNNNNNNNNNNNNNNNNNNNNNNNNNNNNNNNNNNNNNNNNNNNNNNNNNNNNNNNNNNNNNNNNNNNNNNNNNNNNNNNNNNNNNNNNNNNNNNNNNNNNNNNNNNNNNNNNNNNNNNNNNNNNNNNNNNNNNNNNNNNNNNNNNNNNNNNNNNNNNNNNNNNNNNNNNNNNNNNNNNNNNNNNNNNNNNNNNNNNNNNNNNNNNNNNNNNNNNNNNNNNNNNNNNNNNNNNNNNNNNNNNNNNNNNNNNNNNNNNNNNNNNNNNNNAAGCCUAAACCAUAAGCAUUCAAGCCAUGGUUUCUUCAUAAAAAAACCCAUUGCCGCCGGCCAUGGGUGCUCCCAAUCUUCAAUUUUCCUCUUGAAAAGCUCCCAAUUUUCAAGCCUUCUCAUCAUGACAAAUCUCUUUCAUACCUAAGCCAGCUUUUCCCACCCUCAAAGACCACAAAUUCUCACCAUCUCAGGGGGGGGUGGUGUGCGAGAUUUUCGCACAGGGGAGGGGGGGUGUGCGAAAUUUUCGCACAGGGUACUAUUCACCCGUGCGUUUGAAGAAUUGGGGCUUGUUUGAGAUGGUGAGAAUUUGUGGCCUUUGAGGGUGGGAAAAGCUGGCUUAGGUAUGAAAAAGAUUUGUCAUGAUGAGAAGGCUUGAAAAUUGGGAGCUUUUCAAGAGGAAAAUUGAAGAUUGGGAGCUCCCAUGGCCGGCGGCAAUGGGUUUUUUAUGAAGAAACCAUGGCUUGAAUGCUUAUGGUUUAGGCUUUGGUUUGGUAAGAACAAGGUUUGGAUUGGAUUGUGGAUGGAUUUAGAGGGUUGGGUGAAGAUUUGAAAGGAUUUUGAUGGUGGAAGGAGAUGAAAUUGCCGAAAAUGGGAAGUGGUGAAUAGUGGAUGCCGUGGCUAUGGAGUGGAGCUAUGGAUAAUAAUGGCUACCAUAGUGGUGCUGAUGAUGAUGGAUGAUGAAGGAAAGGAGCUUUGUGGAUGGAAAUGGGUGAUCGGAAGAGAGGCUUUGAGAGAAUUGAAGAAGAAGCUAAGACUUUGAAGUGGAGAACAAAGCUUUUAAAGAGAAAAAUGAAUUUCGCACAGGGGAAAAUGGUGUGCGAAAUUUUCGCAUACCUGUGAUUCUCCAAGACAGAGAGCAUGGUUUUGAAAAUUGGCGCAAAAAACGAAUUCGCACAAGGUUCGCACAAGGUUCGCAUUCCUGUGAAAUUCGCACAGGGGACCGAGAGCAUGUAAUUUUUGAAAAGUGGUGCAAAAAUGGAAUUCGCACAGGGUAAAUGGUGUGCGAAAUUUUCGCACACCACAAGGGGGUGUGCGAAUUUUGCUGAGCCUUGUCUUAUCUCCCCUGUUUUCCCUUGUUUUCACCAAGACUUCAUUCUUCAAGCCUUCCUACCUACAUGUUAGCACAAAAAACACAAUUCAAACCACAUUAGAAUGAAAUUAAAGUCAAAAAUAGAAAUCAAAACAUGCAUAAACACAAGAAAACACUAGAUUAAACUAAAAUCAACUUAAAAGAAAACAAAAAGAGGAUGAACUUUUUAGUAUUUGGAGAGACUAAGUUCAACCAUGAACCAAGUGUUUUCAUGUUGGAGGUGGAUCAAGGAGGAUGAAUUCCUCCUUGUCUCGGGAAAAAGAUUCAAUAUAGGGUUUGAGACGAUGCCCAUUAACUUUGAAAGUUCGAGUGCUAUUGAAGUUGAGUAGUUCCACUACUCCAUUUGGUUGCACUUCAUGAAUUAUGAAAGGACCCGUCCAUCUUGAUUUCAAUUUUCCCGGAAAAAGAUGAAGCUUAGAGUCAUAAAGCAAGACUCUUUGUCCCUUGGCAAAAUUCUUUUGAUUUACCAAAUGAUCAUGCCAUUUCUUCAACCUCUCCUUUGCAAUUUUUUGAAUUGAGGUAAGCAUCAUUCCUCAUUUCCUCCAAUUCAUUCAAAUCCAAACAUCUUUUCAACCCAGCUCUUGUCAAAUCCAUGUUGAGUUUUUUUAUUGCUCACCAUGCUUUGUAUUCAAUCUCCACUGGAAGAUGGCACGCUUUGCCAUAAACAAGGCGAUAAGGGGACAUUCCAAGAAUGGUCUUGUAAGCGGUCCUAUACGCCCAUAAGGAAUCUAGGAGCUUAAUAGACCAAUCCUUCCUAUUCACAUUCACCACCUUCAUUAAUAUAUUCUUGAUCUCCCGGUUGGCUAACUCAACUUGGCCACUUGUUUGAGGGUGAUAGGGUGUAGCUACCUUGUGCUUAACCCCAUAUUUGGCUAGAAGAGUCUCAAAAGGUUUAUUGCAAAAGUGGGUUCCUCCAUCACUGAUAAUGGCCUUAGGCACUCCAAAUCUUGCAAAGAUGUUGUCCUUGAGGAAUUUAAGAAUCACCUUAUGAUCAUUGCUCCUACAUGGGAUUACUUCUACCCACUUAGAGACAUAAUCCACUCCCACCAAAAUGUAGGAAUGUCCAAAUGACAUUGGAAAUGGUCCCAUGAAGUCUAUCCCCCAAACAUCAAAGACAUCCACUAUCAAAAUGGGAUUCAAGGGCAUCAUAUUUCGGUGUGUUAGCUUACCAAGCCUUUGACACCGAUCACAUCCCUUGCACAUAGAGUGGGCAUCCUUGAAAAGAGAGGGCCACCAAAAACCUGAUUGGAUCACUUUCAUUGCUGUUUUCUGGGAGGCAAAAUGACCUCCACAUGCAUUAUCAUGGCAAUGGGAAAGAAUUCCUAAUUGCUCUUGUUCAGGAACACAUUUCCUUAUGAUUUGAUCCGCACAAUAUUUGAAAAGAAAGGGCUCCUCCCAAUAAUAGGCAUGGAUCUUAGCAAAGAAAUGCCUCUUGUCUUGGGCACUCCACUCACUUGGUACUUCUCCAGUAACCAAGAAAUUUGCAAUGUGAGAAUACCAUGGAGCUACCUCUAUUGACAUGAGAGACUCCUCAGGGAAGUCAUCAUUGAUAGGCAAACCAUGUGAGUCAUGUGAUAUCACAAGUCUUGACAAGUGGUCAGCUACCACAUUUUCUACUCCCUUUUUAUCCCUGAUUUAGAGAUUAAAUUCUUGGAGCAAAAGGAUCCAUCUUAUCAAUCUUGCCUUGGCAUCUUGCUUGGUUAGCAAGUACUUCAAGGCGGAAUGGUCAGUGAACACCACUAUAGAGGACCCUACCAAAUAAGCACGAAACUUAUCCAAGGCAAAAACUACUGCCAACAACUCCUUCUCAGUAGUUGUGUAGUUCCUUUGAGCCUCGUUCAAAGUUUUGCUCGCANNNNNNNNNNNNNNNNNNNNNNNNNNNNNNNNNNNNNNNNNNNNNNNNNNNNNNNNNNNNNNNNNNNNNNNNNNNNNNNNNNNNNNNNNNNNNNNNNNNNNNNNNNNNNNNNNNNNNNNNNNNNNNNNNNNNNNNNNNNNNNNNNNNNNNNNNNNNNNNNNNNNNNNNNNNNNNNNNNNNNNNNNNNNNNNNNNNNNNNNNNNNNNNNNNNNNNNNNNNNNNNNNNNNNNNNNNNNNNNNNNNNNNNNNNNNNNNNNNNNNNNNNNNNNNNNNNNNNNNNNNNNNNNNNNNNNNNNNNNNNNNNNNNNNNNNNNNNNNNNNNNNNNNNNNNNNNNNNNNNNNNNNNNNNNNNNNNNNNNNNNNNNNNNNNNNNNNNNNNNNNNNNNNNNNNNNNNNNNNNNNNNNNNNNNNNNNNNNNNNNNNNNNNNNNNNNNNNNNNNNNNNNNNNNNNNNNNNNNNNNNNNNNNNNNNNNNNNNNNNNNNNNNNNNNNNNNNNNNNNNNNAAACAGUAGAAAGGAUGUCCUGAGACUCUCUCAAGGACUUGGUCCAUGAAAGGCAAAGAAAAAUGGUCCUUCCUAGUCACUGAAUUCAACCUCUAUAGUCUAUACACACCCUCCAUCCUGAGGUAGGAUGUGUAGAGACUUCCUCCCCUUUCUCAUUCUGGACCACAGUGAUUCCAGAUUUCUUUGGGACUACUUGGGUGGGGCUCACCCACAAACUGUCUGAAAUGGGAUAUAUGAUCCCAGCUUGGAGUAGCUUCAGAACUUCACCCCUCACCACCUCUUGCACGUGAGGAUUCAACCUCCUCUGGGGCUGCCUCACUGGUUUUGCAUCAUCCUCCAUAUAGAUAUGGUGGGUGCACACCAAAGGGCUAAUCCCUUUCAGAUCAGAAAUUUUCCAUCCAAUGGCUUUCUUGCAUUUCCUGAGGACUCCCAAAAGAUUAUCCUCUUGAUCAAUAGUAAGAGUUGAAGAAAUCACCACUGGACAUUUCUCAUUUUCCUCCAAAUAUGCAUAUUUCAAAUCAACAGGAAGUGGCUUCAAAACAAGUUUUGGAGGGUCCUCCACAGUUGCUUCUUGUGAGUCUUCCUGGUUGAACACUGGUAAGAUCUCUUCCCGUCUCCUCCAAGGAGACAUGAUGGCUAGAACAUCAGAGGGUUCAGGUAACCCUUCUUCAAACAUUUCAAGGUUUUCACUCAAGCUCUCUUGUAAAUUCUUGUCAUAAUGCUCUUCAACCAAGGUGUUGAUCAAGCACACCUCCUCCAAUCCUUCCUCUUCUUCUGGGUGAAGAUGCCUCUUGCAUAGGUGGAAUAUGUUUAAUUCCAAGGUCAUAUUCCCAAAUGUGAGCUGCAUCACCCCAUUUCUACAAUUGAUAAUGGCAUUGGAGGUAGCUAGGAAAGGUCUCCCAAGGAUGAUUGGUCCAUAGUUUGCUUCCUUCACAAUGGGAUCAGUAUCAAGCACAACAAAAUCCACAGGAUAGUAGAAUUUGUCCACUUGAACUAGAACAUCCUCUAUCACCCCUCUUGGGAUUUUGACUGACCUGUCAGCUAGGGAGAGAGUGAUGGUUGUGGGCUUCAAUCCUCCAAGUCCCAGUUGCUUGUACACAGAGUAUGGGAGCAAAUUCACACUUGCCCCCAAGUCUAGUAAAGCUUUCUCCACAUGUGUCCCUCCAAUGUUGACUGAAAUGGUGGGGCAUCCCGGAUCUUUGUACUUAACUGGAGACUUACUCUGAAUGAUAGCACUUACUUGCUCAGUGAGGAAUGCAUUCUUUGUCACAUGUAACCCUCUCUUGACCGUGCACAAGUCCUUUAGAAACUUUGCAUAUGUGGGGACUUGCUUGAUCAUAUCAAGUAAGGGUAUAUUCACCUUCACUUGUCUCAAGACUUCAAGAAUUUCUGAUGAAUUCUUGAUUUCCUUCUUUCCAUGUAAAGCUUGAGGAAAAGGGGGAGGCAUAUGUUUCUUCAUCAUAUCCUCUUUAAUCACUAUCCUUGGCUCUUCUUCAAUGCUUGAUUUGGAUGCACUUUUCUUCCCACUCUUCUCUUCUUGGUUAUUGCUCUCUUUAACCAAGGUUUUCUUUGACAUGAGUUCUUCAUCUUGCCUUAACUUAGGCAGGGGUUGAUCAACCUCUUUUCCACUCCUUAAAGUGAUCACAGCUUUAACCUCCCUCAACUUUGAAGACUCCCCCUCUUGGGUUUCAACUUCAUGAACACCCUUGGGAUUUUGGCUUGGUUGAGAGGGAAACUUUCCCUUCUCAUUCACAGUGUUGAGGUUGGUAAGCCUAGAGAUGGAGUAUUGAAUAUUAUCUAUCUUCUGAGAUAGAUCAUUUUGCAUCCCCUCCAUUCUCUUAAUUUGAGAACUCUCAACAUUUUCAAUCUUUUGAUGCAAUUGAGAGUUGAUUGCCUUUUGUUCACCCACAAAGUCACCCAUGACUUUACUUAGGUUCACAAUGGCUUGCUCCACUGAAGAGGUUUGUUGAGGUGCUUGGGUUUGGCCUUGUGGUUGGUAUGGAGGUUGUCUUGGUUUCCAAGAAAAAUUUUGGUGGUUUCUCCAGCUUGAAUUAUAGGUGUUUCCAUAAGGUGCAUUGUUGUUAGGCCUAAAUUGCCCCACAACAUUGGCUUGAUCACCUAACAUCUCCCUCACAGCUGGCAUGGUUGGGCACUCAUCUACCACAUGAUCACAUGAUUGGCAAAUGGUGCAUGGCAUGGCAUGGGCUUGGGUUUCGGAAAUGGCUUGGACUUCAUGCAUCUUUUUCAACUCAAGUUCUUCCAAUCUCCUUGCUAUUGUUGCCACUUUAGCUUUCAUGUCCAUGUCUUCACUUAAUACAUACAUUCCACCUUUUGGAUUUUGGGUUGGUUGGAAGGGAGACUUCCCUUUCUCUCUUGAGUUGGGCUCAUCCCAUCCUCUUGACACCUCAGACACAUAACUUAAAAAGUCCAUGGCUUCUUCCGGAUUCUUACUCAUAAAAUCUCCUCCACACAUGGUUUCAAGAAUUUGCUUCAUGGAGGAAGACAUCCCAUCAUAGAAAUAGCUCACCAAGAGCCAUGUAUCAAAGCCAUGAUGAGGACAAGCAUUGAUGGCCUCCAUAUACCUUUCCCAACAUUCAUGGAACUUCUCAUUUUCUUUUGCAGAAAAGUUUGAGAUUUGUCUCUUCAACCCAUUGGUCCUAUGGGUGGGGAAAAAUUUCUUCAAAAAUUCGGCCUGAAGAUCAACCCAAUUCCUUAUGCUCCUUGGCCUUAAAGAAUUAAGCCAUAUUUUUGCCUUGUCCUUCAAAGUGAAAGGGAAUAGCUUGAGUCUCAUCAAGUCUAUUGAAGCUCCUCCCUCUCUAAAGGUAUUGCACACCUCCUCAAACUCCUUGAUGUGGGCAUAUGGAUUCUCACUCUCCAUUCCAUGGAAAAUUGGUAGAAGGGGCACAAUAUGGGGCCUUAUAACCAGCUGCUCAAGAGGAGGUAUGAUACAUGAGGGUGCACUCAUCCUUGGUGGGUGCAUUCUAUCCCUCAUGGAUAAAUAUGCAUUGGGAUUACCCCCUUGACCUUGUUGAGAAUUCUGAUCCUCUGAUGGAGGGUCCAUGAUGUUAACACAAAUAUCCAACUCUGUGUCUUGAGGAUUCUCAAUCCUUACUAAUCUUCUCUCUUGGUCCUGAAUCCAAUAGGGAAUGCAAAAGCUACUACUUACCUGAAAUAAAACAAAAACAACAAAAACAAAAGAAACCUAGAAAAAAAAAAAAUUAAGGUUAGAAAGAAAAUGAAAAUAAACCUAACAAAAAUAAAAUGAAAGGAAAUGUAAUUAGUGAAAAAGGAAUUCACCAAACUUGUGAUGGAAAUCACAAGUAGCCUCUAAAAGGUUGCAUCACUGUAUUGUGGCACCAUCCCCGGCAACGGCGCCAUUUUGAUUCGCAUGUAACUCCAAAUGGGUCAUUUAAUCAAAAACAUUUAUAAAACCUGUGACCUCAUACUAGUGUAGCAAAGCUACUAUAGUAUAGUGGCUCUAGGGUCGAACUCUGGGAUGGGUUUUCAUUCUACCAGUGAUAUACUCAUGAUUAUGAAUUGAAUUUAAUGAUUUCCUUUAUAAAAAAAAACUUAGAGUUUAAAAGAAAAUAAAAUUUGUUUUGAAAGUGUUUGAAACUAAAUUAACAUAAACUAAUUAAAAAUGGAAGAAGGAAAGUCUCCCGGAGCUCAGGAUUGCUAGGAUCAAGUUUAGAAUGCAAAGUGGAAAAUUCCGGAUUUUUCUCCUCGCAUUGGGGAUUUAACCUAUAGUUAUUUCCCGAACCGGUAUAGGUUUAACAAUGAAGAUUUAAUCCAUAAUAAUCAAUAUAAAUGGUAGUCAAAGUCCAUUAAUGGCUUUAGACACUAUAGGUCUUCACCUUGAACCGCUUUCCAAUGACUCGUACAUGAUAACUAAUGGACUAAUAUGGAUCUAGCAAUAAGCAUCCAUAAAGACCUGAAGCUUACCAUGUAUUGGUCAUUCAAAGUGAUUCUAAGGGAUUUAAAGUAAAACUUUAGAUUUAAAAGCCAUUUAUGAAUUCCAACUACCUGAAUUUAAUGCACGAGCGUUUUCCACCUUGCAUCUGGACUUUUCACCUAGCUUCCAUCACUCCAAGAAACCAAAAGUUUAGCCUCUCAUCCUCUGAGAAAACAUCCUCAGAGGUUGUUUGGCUUCCAAGAAAAAGAAAAUAGUAGAAAGAAAAUGGAAAACGAGAGAGCUCUGUAAAAAUUUCUAAGUGUCAAACGUAAUACGUAUAUUUCAUAUCCAAGAGGUAAUUUCCACCCCUUAUAUAGUCUUUACAAAAGCAAAAGCUUGUGAUUGGUUAGUUACAAGGAUAAGAAAGGAAAUUACAUCAAAAAAUACAUAGGAAAAUAUCUAAAGUGGAGUCAGCAAAAACAGAGCAAAAUUUGCACCACGCAAGGGGUGUGCGAAAUUUUCGCACACCUGAAGAAGGUGUGCGAAUUUCGCACACCAUUCGCACAGCUAAGGGGGUGUGCGAAAUUUUCGCACACCUGGAGCAGUUGUCUUCCGAAAGCCAUAUCUUCCUCGUUUCAGCUCCAAAUUAUACACAGUUUAAAGCGUUGGAUUCUUGACUUCCUGAGCUUUGAAAUGGUAUAUAGCAUGUAGAAAAUGGAAUUCGGGAAGUGCUCCAAAAGUGCCAAUGAAGACUGCAGCUGCUGUCCUCUAUUUUCCUCCUUGCUUCUCUUUGCUUUUCUCCUUUGAUUGGCUUGUCUUAAUGAUCCAAAAAGAUGUCAAAACACUAAAACUAGCCACAAAUAUGAUUAGAAGACAUUGCUAGGUCCUUAACAUGCCAAUUGGACUAAAGAUGGAGAACUACUACACAAAAGUGCUUAAAACAUAAUGCAUUAAAGGUGUAAAAUAGCACUUUUUGGGUAGUAAUCAAUGAUGCUGCCAGAUUGGCUUGUUCUUGCUUUAGGGAAAUAGAGACCAGCAGGAAAGAGGAGGAAGGGGGAGAGAGAGAGAAAGGUUGGGUUCGAUGGGUCGUGUGGCCAUACAAAGGUAGGGGGAUGGUGGUGGUUUCAUCAAUGUUCACAAAACUAAUCAUUCUUCACUUGAGGGUGCAUUGAGGAUGACGAUAAUCUUCACCGGAAAAAUAACAAGUAGGACGGUGGUGGAAAAAGAUGCAUGAAGAUAAAAAAGAUUUGAAAGCUAGUGGGAAGUUUCGAGUGGAUUUAACACAUGAACAACAACGUAUCCCUUAUGUAACUCAUGCAAGUGAAACAAGAAUCAAGCAAACAAGACCUUUGAUGGUCAAAACAAGCAUCCACAUAUCAACAAAAAAACAAAACAAACAUCCAUAGAUCAAUAAGAAAUAGGGUAUGAUUGUAAAAAUGGAGAACCUAAAGUGUUAGAGAGUUAAACCUAAGCGAUUUCCCUCGGGCCAAAGUGGCUUCACUUCCAACAAACUCUCUCCUCUGGUAAAAUCUUCUCCUGCCAGCUUCCAAACCCCCCCUCCCCCUCCUCCUCCCUCCCCCUCCUCUUUUGUCUCUAAAAAAAAACGUCUUUUUUUUUUUCCUUUCCUCCGAAAAAAAAUCUCAUUUUUCAAAGCUAUAUCUUUACCUCUCUAUCCCUCAAAAUUGAAAAUCUUUCUCCCACUUCCUCUGUUUUUUUCUCCCCGAAUCUCUCUCUUUUCCCUUUUUUUGCUCUUCCUCUUUCUCUCUCCCUUCUCUUGCCAGAUAUCCUCUCAUGCCCUUUUUUCAAACGUCCCCUUCCAGUCCCAUCUAGCUACCAGAGAAUGGCUCCUUUUUAAGGUGGUUCGAAAAAUAACAAUAUAAAAAAAUAAAAUCUCAACCCCUCCAUUCAAGGGGGUAUACAAAUAUGCCCCUCUUUGGUAGAGUUUACGAGUGUAAGGAAUGUGAACACUGGAGUGAAAAGGAAGUGUGAAAAGUGAAUGAAAUGAAGUGAACUCUACCAAAGAACAAAGAAAGACCCCCGAAAGGUACAAGUAGAACAUAAACUUGCUCAAAUCAAUCAAAAGGCCUCUGAUCCUUAGAGGAAAACAUCCACCAAGGCGCCUCUAAAGCUACCCCAAGGGCUUAGACUCGCUCUAAGAUGUCUCAAAAGUAACUCAAAAAAUCGAUGUCAAAGAUGAGUAAUGGUCGAACCAUCUUCAAGUAUAGGAAAGAAUACACCCAAAGGGGACUGCUCUAUGUGAACUACGUGAGAAUGACAAGUGUAGGGUGCUUAACAACCUGACUGAAGUAUGUGUUGUGAACUCAAAGGACUGUGUCAUGAGUAGUGAAAAGGAAUAUCUGGAAGAUCGAUGACGAAUAGGCGAUAAGCAUAGGGUAACGAGGUGAGAAAAAAAAACCAGGACGAACGCAAAGCCAUGAAGGUAAGAGGUGCAAUGUCAGUGAAUAUGAAUGUCUGGAGCCAUGACUCUGAAUGACAAGGCUGAGGAGAAACGACUUUGAAUGCCAAAAGGAUGAAAGAUGAUGAUUCUAAAUGCCUAAAUGAGUAUGCACGACAGCUGUAAACGCCAAAACUAAAGGAAUAUGGUGACACCAAAUGCCAAGUUGGACGAUGGCUCUGAAUGUCAGGAAUGUUGCUCUGAACAUCGAAAAUGUGGCAACGAAUGCUCGAUCAUGAUAGGAUGAUAGCUCUGAAUGCCAAGCUGUGAAAGAAACAAUGACUCUGAACACUAAACAGUACGAGGAUAGUGACUCUGAAUGCUGAACUGGAGAGAGAUGGUGGCUCUGAACGCUGAACUGAAGAAAAAUGGUGGCUCUAAAUGCCGAACCGAAGAAAGACAUGACGACUCUGAAUGCCGAACUAAAAACAUGGCUUUAAACACCAAAUUAAAAAAACCGAUAACACUGAAUACUAAAGCUUAAAUUGAAUUGACAGCUUUGAACGUUGGAACUGAGAAGCGAUGGUGACUUUGAACGCCAAAACUAAGAAGCAAUGAUGGCUCUGAACGCCGAAAAUGAGAACUAUGAUAGCUCUAAACGUCAAAACUGAGAACGAUGAUGGCUCUGAAUGCCGAACUGAAAAUAGUGAUGGCUCUGAACGCCGAAGCUAAGAAGCGAUGAUGGCUCUGAAUGCCAAAACUGAGAAUGAUGAUGGCUUUGAACACUGAAACUGAGAAUGAUUAUGACUCUGAACGCUGAAACUGAGAAGAACGAUGGCUUUGAACGUCAGAACUGAGAAGCGAUGAUGGCUCUGAACGCCAAAGUAGAGAAGCGAUGAUGCCUUUGAACGCCGAAAUUGAGAAGCGAUGAUAGCUCUGAAUGCCGAAACCGAUAAGCAAUGAUGGCCUUGAAUGCCGAAACUGAGAAGCGAUGGCUCUGAACGCCGGAACUAAGAAGUGAUGAUGGCUUUGAAAGCCAAAACCGAGAAUGAUAAUGGCUCUGAAAGUCAAACUGAAAAUGUUGAUGGCUUUGAAUGCCGAAGCUGAGAAGCGAUGAUGGCUCUGAAUGCCAAAACUGAGAAUGAUGAUGACUUUGAACGCUGAAACUGAGAAGGGAUGGUAGCUUUGAACGCCAAAAAUGAGAACGAUGAUGGCUCUGAAUGCCGAAAAUGAGAACGAUAAUGGCUCUGAAUGCUGAAACUGAGAACGAUGAUGGCUCUAAACGCCGAACUAAAAAUGCUGAUGGCUCUGAACGCUGAAGCUGAGAACGAUGUUGGCUCUGAACACCGAACUGAAAAUGUUGAUGGCUCUAAAUGCCGAAAUUAAGAAUGAAGAUGGCUCUGAACACCGAAAAUGAGAAUGAUGAUGGAUCUGAACGCCGAAUGAUGAGGGCUUUGAAUGCCGAAACUGAGAAUGAUGAUGGCUCUGAACGCCGAGAUUGAAGAUGCAAGGAUAUAAUGAAGGGAGGAUAUGCCCUAGUGUGGUGUGAUACUAUAGCUCUCAGUCCACGAAAAUGGUUUGAAAGAGACUCCAUGAGUCUUAAAAGAUGCUCUGCUAGCGAGUCGGAAUGGUCAAAUCAACUAUAAACAUAGUCUCAUAACUCAUCUAACUAAAACACGAGACUUGAUGAAGUGUCAUAAUAAUCUGGAUGUCUCUGGCUCUAGAUGCUCUACUAGGAGGAUCCAUCUUCGUAUCAAAGGAAUGAUCCACUGGGGAGUCACAAGAGAAUAGUCUGUCAGGGUAACUACUACAAUCUUAAUCUAUUGAAGAGUCAUGGAUAGUAGGGUAGUCAAACCCUUAAGGUCGUGCUUUUGUUGGAGGCUCAUCUCGGCAAAAAUCAUUGAGACUGUGACCAUCAAUGUGAAUAAACAUCCCUUGAUCGAGUAAUGUGGACUGUAACAAAUCUUUGAGAAAACAAUCAUCUCCAUUAUUGAAAAAAGGGGAAUAUGCCCCAGUAUGGCAACUAGGGCAUCCGAUCUGUCUUGAUAACUUGAGAAUGUCUCAAUGGGAACGUAUAGGAGAUCCGACCAAUACUCCAUUGAAAUGACAAUGAGGGAGUCUAUGCAUCUGAGAUAACUACAUACAAGAAUCAUGACAACAUAAAAAAAUAUGGGCCCAACUAAAUGACUCAAGAAAGGCUCCACCAGAGAAUCAAGGCAAAGCGAAGUCAAAUCAUUAACCCAACGUGCAUCUCGUAACUGGGAUGGUCAUGCAAAUCAAUGGAAAUCUAUAAAUCUCAACUGAAAAGGGAAUAUACCCCAAUAUGGCAUCAGAUGUGUGGUAGGUCAGAAAACCAGAUGACACCAAAUCAUCCAUCACCAAGUAUGUAAACCUAGCCAUCCAUAUCCACAGUUGAAUCAGAUCAAUGGAUCAAAGAAGUGUCUCCCAGAAAGAGAAACAUGAUGACACGUAAAUGCCGAAAGGUGUGGGUCUGAUUGAAUGGUUGAAGAAAGGCUCCACUGGGAGAUCAUGAUAAGAUAGCAAGUAGGUCAUCAUCUCGACAUGUAUCUCAUAGGUGGGCAUGAUCAUGCGACUCCAUGAAGAUUUAUAAAUCUCAACCGGAAGGGAAAUAUACCCCAAUAUGGCAUCAGAUAUAUGGUAGGUCAGGAAUCGAGUGACAUGAAAUCAUCCAUCAUCAAAUGUGUGAUCUCCGUAAUCUUCAUCGAACCCAAACGUCAAGGAGAUGUCUCUAAGAAGAAGAAGCAUGAUGAUAUACGAAUAUGGAAAAAUACGGGCCUGACUAGAUGACUGAAGAGAGGCUCCACUAAGGGAUCAUGAUAAAAUAACGAAUACAUCCUCGUCUCGGCGUGUAUCCCGUAAGUGGGAGUGAUCAUGCAACUCCAUGAAGAUCAAUAACUCCCAAUCGAAAUUGAAAUAUGCCCCAGUAUGGCAUCAAAUAUAUGGUAAAUAAAAAAAAAGUCAGGUGACAUCAAAUCGUCCAUCAUCGAAUACAUGAUCUCAGUAAUCCAAAUCCACAUCUGAAUCAGACCCACGUAUCAAAAGAGACGUAUCCCACAGGAGGAGCAUGAUGACAUCUAAAAGCCAAAAAGUGUGAGUCUGACCGAAUGGAUCAAGAAGGGCUCCACUGGGAGAUUAUGAUAAGAUAACAAACAGGUCAUCGUCUUGGUGUGUACCUCGUAAGUGGAGAUAAACAAGCAACUCCAUGAAUAUUUGUAAAUCUCAUCCGAAACGGAAUAUGCCCUAGUAUGGCAUUGAAUGGGUGGUAGAUCAGAAAAAAUCAGGCAACACCAAAUCAUCAAUCAUCAAAUAUGCAAUCCCAAUCAUCCAAACCCACUACUAAAAUGAACCCAAACAUCAAUGCAACGUCCCCCUGAAGAAGAAGCAUGAUGACAUCCAAAUAUCAACCAAAUCUCAAACACCCGUCCAAGUAGGGGUGUCGAGGACGACAUCUGAUCCCAUGGCCUCAGGGUGGUCUUAAAACACGGGAUGUAACAUAGGUUAGGGUGAUAAGGUAAUAGAAAUGAAGGGAAACUAGGCCCAAAUACCCAAUGAUAAAAAACCCAUGCCCUCAUGUAUGAAAUGCAACAUGUACAAAAAAUCCCAUGAGUCAUGGACCCGAGGGUGCCCAAUGUGAAAAUGAUAACAAUAACGAGGCAAAAAAGAAAAUCAAACUGAUAAUGAGAUGUGUAAUGAUGAUGCGAAGAGAGUAACAAACCCGAAAAUGGGUCAUUGUAAGAAAAUGUUAAGGGGUGAAACGCAAUGGAUGAAUUAACAGCAAAUAUAGUGAAGCAAAGAACACGAAGAUAAGUGAUGAUCCGCUUGAAUCCAACAUGAAGUGAAGUCACAUCAUCAAUGAAUGUAAUGAUGGAAAGGACAACGACACAAAUCUCCUAAGAGAGAUGUCAUUCAUUUCACUCUCAAAAUAUACGAAACAUGAAUACAAAUAAUGAAGGGUCUCAGAAAGCUCACAUGCGAGCUCCCAUCAAUAAACAUACUCAAUGAAGUGACCCACAAACAUCAAUAUACACCUCCAAUGAUGGAGAAUACUAUGCACAUACACACAUGUGCUUAUUUUUCUUUUCUUUUCAUUCUUUUUUUUUUCAUUUUUUUUUCAUUUCAUUUUUUUUCACCAUUUCAAUUUUUUUUUUCAUUUUUUCUUACACAUAUACAAAUGCACAUACUCUGAACAUAAAAAAAUGAGCCCCAAAUAUGAUAUCUACAAUGGAUAGACACACUCUCAAAAACUCUCUCUGACAAGAUAACCUUCUCAAACUAAGGAUCUCGGAAUCAGUGUCUGCUGGAUAGAUGGCGAAAAUGAUGUGACUAUCCUUCAUGCAAUGAAUUGAGGAGGAUCACCACUUAGGGUGAAGAGAAUAUGAAGCAAAACAAACAGCAGAUAGAAUAAAGGAGAAGGAAUGAAGAACUUGACCAAUGAGAUGUGAUGAAAUGCAGUAGAGUGAUGGUAGGAAAAAAUAAUGAGAGAAAGAUUCACCUAUAGGUCCAAGACUCAUGAGGCUCCCAAACAAUGCAUGUAUACACUAAAGGGCCCCAAUCCCAAUGUAAAAAUAUGAGCAAGGCAAUAAGAUAGAAAUGCUAUAAUGCACACGCGAGGCUCAAUGGGCUAGCAACGAUCUAUAUAUCAAGAGGGAAUAACAAGGUAUAUGGCUAACUGAAAUGAUGGCCACCCAUCCUACGACCAUGGUCUCAAACAUAGUACCUCUUUAGCUGAUCCACAUUAGUCGACUUUGAGAAUCAGUUUCCAUCUAGAUCCAUCAACCAUGCAAUGCCCUUUGAGGUCAACUCCCUGAUGAAGUAAGGUCUGCUCCAAUUGGGUCUAAACUUCCCUUUGGGAUCUCUGAUCAAUCCUCUAAUGACCUUCAAAACCAAGUCACCUAUCCAUAGUGGUCAGGGCUUGACCUGCUUCUUAAAAGCACAGGUCAUCUUUCUCUGAUAAGCACGAACAUGGUUUGUUGCCCUCAAUCUCCUCUCAUCUAGGAGAUUGAGUUGGUCUAAUCGGGCCUGAACCCAAUCUGCCUCUGGAAUCUACUGCUCCAAUGCUACUCUCAAUGAACACAUCUCAAUCUCAACUGGUAGCAUUACCUCCAUACCAUACAUCAAGGAGUAGGGUGUGGCCCCUAUAGAGGUACGGAAAGAAGUCCGAUAAGCCCACGAUGCAAAUGACAGCUUCUCUUACCAAUCUCAAGAAGUCUCAACCAUCCUCCGCAAGAUCCUCUUAAUAUUCUUAUUCGUAGCCACUAUUGCCCCGUUCGUCUUCGGCCUGUACGCAGACAACCUAUGAUGCCAGAUGUCAUAUCUCUAUACUAAGGUGUCAGUCUCCGCUCUAAAAUGUACUCCUCUAUCUGAAAUCAACUCAUGAGGGACUCCAUAAUGACAUAUAAUGUGCGAUCUGAUGAAACUAGCAACUCCAACUGAUGUCAAUCUUGCAUAUGAAGCAGUCUCCACCCACUUGGUGAAGUAAUUGAUGGCAACCAAGAUGAACUCAUGACCACUGGAAGACUUUGGCAAAAUCUUCCAAUGAUGUCAAUACCCCAUACCGAAAAUGGUCAUGGCAAAGUCAAUGCAUGUAGCUCCAAGGGCGACACAUGAAUGAGGUCCCCAUGUAUCAAACACUCGGGACAUCUCUAAACGAAGUGGCAACAAUCUGUCUUCAUGGUCAACUAGAAAUAGCCAAUCCUCAUGAUCUUAUGGGCCAGCAUAUGUCAUCCCAUAUGUGGUCCGCAGACUCCCGCAUGAACCUCUCUCAUCACUCGAUCGAUAGAGGCGCGGUCUAAGCACAAUAACAACAUCCCAUCAGCUGAUCAUCUAUAUAAUGUCUCACCACAAAUCAUGAAUCAGGUGGCCAAUUGCCUCAAUACUCUCUUAUCCUUGGCCGUGGCGACCUCAGGAUAUACACCAAGUCUCAAAAAGUGAUAUAUGUCAUGGUACAAAGGCAAACCAUCAUCUGGCUUUAUAUCAUCAAAUAGGCAAUAGUAGGCAGGAGCAUAUCUCGACUUGAUCAGUAAAGAGCGAACAAUGUCAUCGAUAAGAAUAUCAAUCAUGGAAGCUAGAGUAGCUAAGGCAUCAGAAAACUGGUUCUGCGGUCUAGGUAGGUGUGUGUAUCUCAAAUCAUCAAAUCUCCCAACCAGUAGCUCCAAGUAUGAGUGGUAAGGCCUAAGCUUCACAUCUCUAGUCUUCCACUCAUCUUGAAUCUGUCUCAAUACCAGACUAAAGUCACCAAACACCUUCAUCUGUCUAAUCCCAAGCUCAAGGGUUGUCUCUAAUCCCAAGAUACAAGCCUCAUACUCAACAAUAUUGUUUGUGGCCGAUGUCGAUUCGAGAAUUCCAAGCAAACAGAUUUAGGAAUAUGAUCACCAUGAGAGAAUAUCAACAAGACGCCUAUCCCAUAUCUGGAAUGGUUGGCUGCACCAUCAAAGUACAUGCGCCAACCUGACAGACUAGUCACAACAGCGACAUCCUCGUCUAGAAAAUCAUCAUCAAUAGCUCUACCAUUGGAAACUAGUAAUGAUGCUAGGUGAUCUACAACAAUGCUCCCCUUGAUGGACUUCUGAGUGACAUAAUCGAUGUCAAACUCAGUCAGAAGCACCAACCAUCUCAUGAGGCAACCGACCAGAGCAGGUCCGUCAAACAAAUAUCUCAGAGGAUCUAGAUGGGAUAUCAAGUGCACUGAAUACUCGGUCAUGUAAUGUCUCAGUCGGUGAGUGGCACAAACCAAUGCUAAAUAGUAGUGCUCAAUCAUGACAUAUCUCGUCUCGUAGUUUAGCAUCCUCUUACUCAAAUAAUAAAUGGCUCACUCCUUGCCCGAAUCAUCGAGCUGAGCUAACAUGUAACCCAAUACUACAUCUAAAACUGAUAGGUAUAGGAGUAGAGGAUGGCCUGGUGUAGGGGGUACUAAGAAUGGAGGUGGUAACAAGUAAUCUCUGAUCCUCUCAAAUGCGCAUUGACACUGAUCAUCCCAAAUAGUAGGUUGAUUCUUUCUCAAGAGUCAAAAAAUGGGUUCACAGAUGUCUAUCAAUCUGGCAAUGAAUCUGUUAAUGUACUAAAGUCUUCCAAAGAAGCCUCUAACCUCUCUCUCUGUCCUCGGUGCAGGCAUGUCAAGUAUGACUAUGAUCUUAUCUGGAUCUACCUCUAUGCCUCUCUCACUAACCAUAUAUCCCAAGAGUUUCCCAAAAGUCACUCCAAAAGUGCACUUCUUGGGAUUCAGUCUCAAUCUGAACUGCCUGAUCCUCUCAAAGAACCUCUCAAGAGUCGCUAGGUGAUUUAAUCUAUCCCAGGAUUUCACUAUCAUGUCGUCUACAUAAACCUCGACAUCCACAUGCAUCAUGUCAUGGAAAAGGGUGGUCGCUGCUCUCUAAUAGGUGGCUCUUACAUUCUUCAAUUCGAAUGGUAUGACUCUAUAGCAAUAAGUACCCCACUUGGUAAUGAAGGACGUCUUCUCCAUGUUCUUUGGAUUCAAUCCAUCCAUAAAGGAAAACAUUGAAUGAAUUGUUGUACUAUCAACUAGCAUGUUGAUGUGUGGGAGAGGAAAAUCAUCCUUAGGACUGGCCUUGUUGAGAUCUCAAAAAUCAACAUAGACUCUCACCUUGCCGUCAUUUUUAGAAAAAUGGACGACAUUGGCCAACCACUCUAGGUACUCGACCACUAACAAAAAUCCUACACUGAGUUGCUUCUGGAUCUCCUCCUUCACCUGCAAACUCCAACGAGGGUGAAAUUGCCUCUACUUUUGCUUAACCGAUCUGACAUGAGGCAGAAAUGGCAAGUAAUGUUGGACUAUGGAUGGAUCAAGGCUCGACAUGUCCUCAUAGGACCAUGCAAAAACAUCCAAAUAUGAUCUAAGCAAUCGAGCGAGGUCAUCCUUCUCAUCUAUAGAUAAAUCCAAUCCAAUCCUCAACUCCCUCGAUUGGUCUGUUGUACCAAAAUCAACAAUCUCAAUGUCUCCUGUGGCAAGUGAAACUCUCUGAUCAAUGGGGUCUGAAUCAGAAGCAGAAAAUGAGUCAUCAUCUAAAUCGAGUUGUGCAAUCUCAUCGUCUAUAUCAAAUAUCUGUGAUGUGAGUGAAGAUGGUGCAGAUAAAGUAAUAUCAUGAGAGACAGACAAAUACUCAUAAAUGCUCAAAUCCAUAAAUAAAGAGUCAUUGAUUCGCGUAUGUAAAUCCAGUCGGGUCAUUUAAUCAAAAACAUUUAUAAAACCUAUGACCUCAUACUAGUGUAGCAAAACUACUAUAGUAUAGUGGCUUUAGGGUCGAACUCUGGGAUGGGUUUUCAUUCUACCAGUGAUAUACUCAUGAUUAGGAAUUGAAUUUAAUGAUUUCCUUUAUAAAAAAUUUAGAGUUUAAAAGAAAAUAAAAUUUGUUUUGAAAGUGUUUGAAACUAAAUUAACAUAAACUAAUUAAAAAUGGAAGAAAGAAAGUCUCCCGGAGCUCAGGAUUGCUAGGAUCAAGUUUAGAAUGCAAAGUGGAAAAUUCCGGAUUUUUCUUCUCGCAUUGGGGAUUUAACCUAUAGUUAUUUCCCGAACCGGUAUAGGUUUAACAAUGAAGAUUUAAUCCAUAAAAAUCAAUAGAAAUGGUAGUCAAGGUCCAUUAAUGGCUUUAGACACUAUGGGUCUUCACCUUGAACCACUUUCCAAUGGCUCGUACAUAAUAACUAAUGGACUGAUAUGGAUCUAGCAAUAAGCAUCCACAGAGACCUGAAGCUUACCAUGUAUUGGCCAUUCAAAGUGAUUCUAAGGGAUUUAAAGCAAAACAUUGGAUUUAAAAGCCAUUUAUGAAUUUCAACUACCUGUAUUUAAGGCAUGAUCGUUUUCCACCUUGCAUAUGGACUUUUCACCUAGCUUCCAUCACUCCAAGAAACCAAAAGUUUAGCCUCUCAUCCUCUGAGAAAACAUCCUCAGAGGUUGUUUGGCUUCCAAGAAAAAGAAAAUAGUAAAUAGAAAAGGGAAAACGAGAGAGCUCUGUAUAUUUUUCUAAGUGUAAAACAUAACACGCGUGAUACCUCCAAGAGGUGAUUUCCACCCCUUAUAUAGUUUUUACAAAAGCAAAGCUUGUGAUUGGCUUGUUACAAGGAGAAGAAAGGAAAUUACAUCAAAAAAUACAAUAGAAAAUAUCUAAAGUGGAGUCGGCAAAAAAAGAGGAAAAUUCGCACCACGCAUGGGGUGUGCGAAUUUUCGCACACCUGAGGUGGGGUGUGCGAGUUUCGCACACCAUUCGCACACCUGGAUCAGUUGUCUUCUGAAGGCCAUAUCUUCCUCGUUUCAGCUCCAAAUCGUACACGGUAUGAAGCAUUGGAUUCUUGACUUCCUGAGCUUUGAAAUGGUAUAUAGCAUGUAAAAAAUGGACUUCGGUAAGUGCUCCAAAAGUGCUAAAGAAGACUGCAGUUGCUGUCCUCUAUUUUCCUCCUUGCUUCUCUUUGCUUCUCUUUGGUUUUCUUUGGUUUUCUCCUUUGGAUGGCUUGUCUUAAUGAUCUAAAAAGAUGUCAAAAACACUAAAACUAGCCACAAAUAUGAUUAGGAGUCAUUGCUAGGUCCUUAACAUGCCAAUUGGAAUAAAGAUGAAGAAUUACUACACAAAAGUGCUUAAAACAUAAUGACUUAAAGGUGUAAAAUAGCACUUUUUGGGUAGUAAUCACUCCCCCCAACUGACACAUUGAUAGUCCCUGAGCAAUGAAGGAGAGAAAAAGAAAGAAAAAUAGAUAAUAAAAUAAUUUACAAAAUCAUGCUGAUCACUCCAAAAAAUAAUCAAGUGGCAUGAUUGGAUCAAACUCUCACAUGGCAAGUCAAGGAUAUAAAACUCAAUCAUCAACAAGAGUUAUCAAAUAACUUACCUAUCACAACUUGCUAAGAACGGGCAUUAUGCAAAUUUGAGUAUCAAAAUAAUUUCCACUCCCAACGGAUCAUUUCUUAAUCUUCCACAAAAAUCUAAGUGUUAAGGUGCUUAGUUUCCAGUUAUAGUAUGUCAAACUAUAUUCUCCCCCCCCAACUAAGGUUUUUCUCUAACUUUAGCAACACUAACUCAUAUAUAAAAGGCUAAGAACGCACCUUUUUUUUUUUUAGAAGGGACUCCACCCAUCCACCCAUGUAACGAGCAGUGAGGUCGGUGACUCCCAACCAGUAAAGGCUUAGGGCACCAGGCUUUAAAGAUUUUCACCAUAUACCCCUCAGACCUUGCUCGGGUUUCAAAGCAAGUGAAGCAAAAAUUAUUCAUAAGACACAUUGGCCUUUUAUAAGGUGUCCCAACACUAAUAGAAUGAAGUCAAUGGCACCAAGUCGAAAAUUUCCUAAGUUUAGGGGGGUGAGAAAGUUUUCCAUCUUAUAACUGGAAUCUAAUGUGUUUAGUGUGUGAAAAGAUUAGAGUGGAAGACUUAAGAUUGAAAUCAAAAGGAUCUUCAACAAUUUAUCAACUUUAAUAAGCAUAAUACAAACUCUGAGACUAUGGCAAUAAGAUAAGAAUUUAAUUUCUUCCAUUUACUUUUGAGAAUUUAUCUUUGAGAAAACAAAGAGAGUUUGCAAAAAAAAAAAAAAAAAAAAAAAAAAAAUUAGCAAAAUAACUUAACCAAAAAUUCAACAAAUUACUUCCUCAACUCUCCCCCCAACUAGAAUGAACAUUGUCCCCAAUGUUCCAAAAACAAGAGAUAAUAAAAGGGAGGAAAUGAUACCUCCUGAUAGUAAGGGAGUCUGAAUGAACAGGAGAAACCACAUGUUGCAUAAGAAAAGAAAAAUCAUAAGAUUGAUGAAUAGAGGAAAUAAAAUGGAAUAGCUAAAAUACACAAAAAAGAAGAUGUCUAUAUAAACUGAGAGAGUACAAUAUACAAGAUAAACAUGAAAUACAUCCAAUCCCAGUAUAAAAGUGGUCCAAAAUAUAUAAGACAUCCAAAAACGUAGCAUAUAGAUACAAAAAAGGUGAGAGGAGUGAUCGUAUGAUCAAGUAGUAGGCUCCUCUGGUGGAUAGGAGGGGUCCUCCGCUGCAACUGUGGAAGGAACCGCUACAGGUGGAGCUGGUGGUGAAAGACCGAGGUGGUGCUGAAUCUCACGGAGAAUGAGAGUCUACUGGUCCUGCUGAAGUUGGAAGUGGUCCAUCCGCUCCAUAGUGGCCGUCUGAGUAGUGGUCAAAGUCUGGAAAGAAGCGAGCAAGACACGAUACUCUGGACUAGGGAUAGUAAUGGGCGGCUCUGAUGUAGGAGGAACAACAGGUGGGGCAUCAGAUGAUGCUGCCUCCGGUACUGGCUGUGGAGGGUCUGAAGUGGACGAAGCAGGAGGGACUUCCCUUGGCUCGGGAAGUUCUGGGGACUGGCGAUGGAGCCAUAUCUGAGUCCAUUGGUCAAGAGAGAAGCUCUCUCGACAAUGGCGGCGGGGCUCUGAACGAGGGUUUGCAGGAAAACCCAUAUGCGCCAAAACAUGGCAUAGCAGCCAAGGGAAAAGUAAAGGCAUGGAGUCUGCCCUCGCAAGACGCCGCGUAUGCACCUUCUCCUCAAAAUGGAGAAGAGCGGCCAUAAUCAAAUGAUGGGGGCCAAAAUAGUAGCACUCAGAGAUACGGAAUAAUGCCUUCAUAAUGGCCCCUCGUCUCUGCACUUUAUGCUGAAGAGGAAAAAGAUUGGCGCGAAGCACCACAUCAACUAGGAGCAUCUUUGGGGGAAACUCUCUCCUCAAAAUGGUCCUCUGGGAAGAUGUCCCUCGAGAUAGGAUACGAACCAUGUCCAACUCAGAAAGUGGGGCCCAACGUCUAAAUGUAGCGAGAUUUGCUGGUGCAAAAGGGAUAUGGAAGGCAUCGGCAAUCUGUCUAGCCCCCAAAAUACCCUGGCAUCCAUCAAUGGUAAAAAGGAUCGAGGCUGGUACCGGGACGCCACGAGUAGUCAUAGACUGGUAAAAGUCUAAAGCUACUCGAGGAUAAAAGAACUGGGGUAGAGUCAUAAAGGGUAUAAGAUGGUACCUCUCAAGUAGGCGGUAUAAAUCCCGCAACUCAGGCUGCUGUCGCAUAAGAGAGUGAUCGAAAUAUGCCUCGACAUGAAAGUAUCUCGAUCGGCAAUCACAGUUGCCCUCAAUGGGCAAGCUGGGUCUAGGGCGCCUGGCGGAAGAAGGCUGAGACUGUGAAUCCCGAGGUGCUCUGGAGGACUCUCCUGGCUCUGAAGUCUUGGCUUUCUUUGUAGGAGGACUCCGAGGUGGAAUUUGUGGAGGGGCCACAGACGUGGCAGAUGCUCUCCUCGUAUGGUAUCUGCUCUGAGGGGCAGAAUCAAGUAAAUGUGAGGGUGCAUCUAGUGGGGCCAGCACAGGGGCGGCUCUCUAACUGCUCUGGGGAGCUAUGGUAGAUCCUCCUCGGGUCUUAGGCAUGAUGAACCGAUGAAAUGAGGCUCAAAGGUUUGGGAUUAGAGAAGGUAGGGAUGGAAAAACUGAAAUUUUCGCACAAGGGGGGGGGGUGUGCGAAAUUUUCGCACAGGGUACUAUUCACCCGUGCAUUUGAAGAAUUGUGGCUUGUUUGAGAUGGUGAAAAUUUGUGGCCUUUGAGGGUGGGAAAAGUUGGCUUAGGUAUGAAAAAGAUUUGUCAUGGUGAAUAGGCUUGGAAAUUGGAGCUUUUCAAGAGGAAAAUUGAAGAUUGGGAGCUCCCACGGCCGGCGGCAAUGGGUUUCUUAUGAAGAAACCAUGGCUUGAAUGCUUAUGGUUUAGGCUUUGGUUUGGUAAGAACAAGGUUUGGGAUUGGAUUGUGGAUGGAUUUAGAGGGUUGGGUGAAGAUUUGAAAGGAUUUUGAUGGUGGAAGGAGGUGAAAUUGCCGAAAAUGGGAAGUGGUGAAUAGUGAAUGCGCGGCUAUGGAAUGGAGCUAUGGAGAUGGGCUGCCAUGGUGUUGUUGAUGAUGAGGAAUGAUGAAGAAGAGGGGCUUUGUGGAUGGAAAUGGGUGAUCGGAAGAGAGGUUUUGAGAGAAUUGAAGAAGAAGCUAAGACUUUGAAGUAGAGAACAUAGCUUUUAAAGAGAAAAAUGAAUUUCGCACAGGGGAAAAUGGUGUGCGAAAUUUUCGCAUACCUGUGAUUCUCCAAGACAGAGAGCAUGGUUUUGAAAAUUUGCGCAAAAAACGAAUUCGCACAGGGUUCGCACAAGGUUCGCAUUCCUGUGAAAUUCGUACAAGGGACCAAGAGCAUGCAAUUUUUGAAAAGUGGUGCAAAAGCAAAUUUGCACAGGGUAAGUGGUGUGCGAAAAUUUCGCACACCACAAGGGGGUGUGCGAAUUUUGCUGAGUCUUGUCUUUUCUCCCCUGUUUUCCCUUGUUUUCACCAAGACUUCAUUCUUCAAGCCUUCAAGCCUUCCUACCUACAUGUUAACAAAAAAAAAAAAAAAAAAAUUUCAAACCACAUUAGAAUGAAAUUAAAGUCAAAAAUAGAAAUCAAAACAUGUAUAAACACAAGAAAACAUUAGAUUAAACUAAAAUCAACUUAAAAGAGAACAAAAAGAGGAUGAACUUUUUAGUCUUUGGAGAGACUAAGUUCAACCAUGAACCAAGUGUUUUCAUGUUGGAGGUGGAUCAAGGAGGAUGAAUUCCUCCUUGUCUCGGGAAAAAGAUUCGAUGUAGGGCUUGAGACGAUGCCCAUUAACUUUGAAAGUUCGAGUGCUAUUGAAGUUGAGUAGUUCCACUACUCCAUUUGGUUGCACUUCAUGAAUUAUGAAAGGACCCGUCCAUCUUGAUUUCAAUUUUCCCGGAAAAAGAUGAAACUUAGAGUCAUAAAGCAAGACUCUUUGCCCCUUGGCAAAAUUCUUCUAAUUUACCAAUUGAUCAUGCCAUUUCUUCAACCUCUCCUUUGCAAUUUUUGAAUUGAGGUAAGCAUCAUUCCUCAUUUCCUCCAAUUCAUUCAAAUCCAAACAUCUUUUCAACCCGGCUCUUGUCAAAUCCAUGUUGAGUUUUUUGAUUGCCCACCAUGCUUUGUAUUCAAUCUCCACUGGAAGAUGGCACGCUUUGCCAUAAACAAGGCGAUAAGGAGACAUUCCAAGAAUGGUCUUGUAAGUGGUCCUAUACGCCCAUAAGGAAUCUAGGAGCUUAAUAGACCAAUCCUUCCUAUUCACAUUCACCACCUUCAUUAAUAUAUUCUUGAUCUCCCGGUUGGCUAACUCAACUUGGCCACUUGUUUGAGGGUGAUAAGGUGUAGCUACCUUGUGCUUAACCCCAUAUUUGGCUAGAGGAGUCUCAAAAGGUUUAUUGCAAAAGUGGGUUCCUCCAUCACUUAUAAUGGCCUUAGGCACUCCAAAUCUUGCAAAGAUGUUAUCCUUGAGGAAUUUAAGAACCACCCUAUGAUCAUUGCUCCUACAUGGGAUUGCUUCAACCCACUUAAAGACAUAAUCCACUCCCACCAAAAUGUAGGAAUGUCCAAAUGACAUUGGAAAUGGUCCCAUGAAGUCUAUCCCCCAAACAUCAAAGACAUCCACUAUCAAAAUGGGGUUCAAGGGCAUCAUAUUUCGGCGUGUAAGCUUACCAAGCCUUUGACACCGAUCACAUCCCUUGCACAUAGAGUGGGCAUCCUUGAAAAAAGAGGGCCACCAAAACCCUGAUUGGAUCACUUUCAUAGCUGUUUUCUGGGAGGCAAAAUGACCUCCACAUGCACUGUCAUGGCAAUGGGAAAGAAUUCCUGAUUGCUCUUGUUCAGGAACACAUUUCCUUAUGAUUUGAUCCGCACAAUAUUUGAAGAGAAAAGGCUCCUCCCAAUAAUAGGCAUGGAUCUUAGCAAAGAAAUGCCUCUUGUCUUGGGCACUCCACUCGCUUGGAACUUCCCCAGUAACCAAGUAAUUUGCAAUGUGAGAAUACCAAGGAGCUACAUCUAUUGACAUGAGAGACUCCUCAGGGAAGUCAUCAUUGAUAGGCAGACCAUGUGAGUCAUGUGCUAUCACAAGUCUUGACAAAUGGUCAGCUACCACAUUUUCUACUCCCUUUUUAUCCCGGAUUUGGAGAUUGAAUUCUUGGAGCAAAAGGAUCCAUCUUAUCAAUCUUGCCUUGGCAUCUUGCUUGGUUAGCAAGUACUUCAAAGCGGAAUGGUCAGUGAACACCACUAUAGAGGACCCUACUAAAUAGGCACGAAACUUAUCCAAGGCAAAAACUACUGCCAACAACUCCUUCUCAAUAGUUGUGUAGUUCCUUUGAGCCUCGUUCAAAGUUUUGCUCGCGUAAUAAAUCACAUAAGGCUUUCCAUCCUCUCUUUGCCCCAAAACAACCCCCAUAGCAAGAUCACUUGCAUCACACAUUACCUCAAAAGGUAAUUUCCAAUUUGGGGCUCUCACUAUUGGUGCAGUUGUGAGGAAUUGUUUCAAUUCCUCAAAACUCUUCUGACACUUCUCAUCCCACACAAACUUGGCAUCCUUUACCAAGAGUUCACAAAGAGGCUUUGAGAUUUUUGAGAAAUCCUUAAUGAACCUCCUAUAGAACCCGGCAUGUCCUAGGAAUUGCCUAAUUUCUUUAACAUUUGUGGGAGGUGGCAACUUAACAAUUAGCUCCACCUUUGCCUUGUCUACCUCAAUGCCAUUUUUGGAGAUUACAUGUCCUAAGACAAUGCCUUGUUGUACCAUAAAAUGGCACUUCUCCCAAUUUAGCACUAGGUCUUUCUCAAUACAUCUGUGGAGAACAGCUUCUAAGUGCAACAAACACUCCUCAAAAGAACUUCCAUAUAUAGUGAUGUCAUCCAUGAAGACUUCCAUGAUGCGUUCCACCAUAUCACUGAAGAUGCUUAGCAUACAUCUUUGGAAAGUUGCAGGAGCAUUACAUAAACCAAAGGCCAUUCUCCUAUACGCAAAAGUACCAAAGGGGCAUGUGAAGGUUGUUUUUUCUUGAUCUUCCAAAUCAAUCUCUAUUUGGAAGUACCCCGAGUAACCAUCUAGAAAACAGUAGAAAGGAUGUCCUGAGACUCUCUCAAGGACUUGGUCCAUGAAAGGCAAUGGGAAAUGGUCCUUCCUAGUCACUGAAUUCAACCUCCUGUAGUCUAUACACACCCUCCAUCCUGAGGUAGGACGUGUAGAGACUUCCUCCCCUUUCUCAUUCUGAAUCACAGUGAUUCCAGAUUUCUUUGGAACUACUUGGGUGGGGCUCACCCACAAGCUAUCUGAAAUGAUAUAUAUGAUCCUUGCUUGUAGUAGCUUCAGAACUUCACCCCUCACCACCUCUUGCAUGUGAGGAUUCAACCUCCUUUGGGGCUGCCUCACUAGUUUUGCAUCUUCCUCCAUGUAGAUAUGGUGGGUGCACACCAAAGGACUAAUCCCUUUCAGAUCAGCAAUUUGCCAUCCAAUGGCUUUCUUUCAUUUUCUGAGGACUCCCAAAAGACUAUCCUCUUGAUCACUUGUGAGAUUUGAAGAGACCACCACUGGACAUUUCUCAUCUUCCUCCAAGUAUGCAUACUUCAAAUUAACAGGAAGUGGCUUCAAAACAAGCUUUGGAGGGUCCUCCAUAGCUGCUCCUUGUGAGUCCUCCUUAUUGAACAGUGGUAAGAUCUCUUCCCGUCUCCUCCAAGGAGACAUGAUAGCUAGCACAUCAGAGGGUUCAGGUAACCCUUCUUCAAACACUUCAAGGCUUUCAUUCAAGCUCUCUUCUAAGCUCUUGUCACAAUGCUCUUCAACCAAGGUGUUGAUCAGGCACACCUCCUCCAAUCCUUCAUCCUCAUCUGGGUGAAGAUGCCUCUUGCAAAGAUGGAAUAUGUUUAAUUCCAAGGUCAUGUUUCCAAAUGUAAGUUGCAUCACCCCAUUUCUACAAUUGAUGAUGGCAUUGGAGGUAGCCAGGAAAGAUCUCCCAAGGAUGAUUGGCACGUAAUUGGCUUCCUUAACAGUGGGAUCAGUAUCAAGCACAACAAAAUCCACGGGAUAGUAGAAUUUGUCACUUGAACUAGAACAUCCUCUAUCACCCCCCUUGGGAUUUUGACAGACCUAUCAGCUAAGGAGAGAGUGAUGGCUGUGGGCUUCAAUCCUCCAAGUCCCAGUUGCUUGUACACAGAGUAUGGGAGCAAAUUCACACUUGCCCCCAAGUCUAGUAAAGCUUUCUCCACAAGUGUCCCUCCAAUGUUGACUGCAAUGGUGGGGCAACCCGGAUCUUUAUACUUAACUGGAGACUUACUCUGAAUGAUAGCACUUACUUGCUCAGUGAGGAAUGCAUUCUUUGUCACAUGUAGCCCUCUCUUAACCGUGCACAAGUCCUUUAGAAACUUUGCAUAUGUGGGGACUUGCUUGAUCAUAUCAAGUAAGGGUAUAUUCACCUUCACUUGUCUCAAGACUUCAAGAAUUUCUGAUGAAUUCUUGAUUUCCUUCUUUCCAUGUAAAGCUUGAGGAAAAAGGGGAGGCAUAUGUUUCUUCAUCAUAUCUUCUUUAAUCACUAUCCUCGGCUCUUCUUCAAUGCUUGAUUUGGAUGCACUUUUCUUCCCACUCUCCUCUUCUUGGUUAUUGCUCUCUUUAACCAAGGUUUUCUUUGACAAGAGUUCUUCAUCUUGCCUCACCUUAGGCAAGGGUUGAUCAACCUCCUUUCCACUCCUCAAGGUGAUCACAGCUUUGACCUCUCUCAACUUUGAAGAAUCCCCCUCUUGGGUUUCAACUUCAUGAACACCCUUAGGAUUUUGGCUUGGUUGAGAGGGGAACUUUCCUUUCUCAUUCACUGUGUUGAGGUUGGUAAGCCUAGAGAUGGAAUAUUGAAUAUUAUCUAUCUUCUGAUAUAGAUCCUUUUGCAUCCCAUCCAUUCUCUUAUUUAGAGAACUCUCAACAUUCUCAAUCUUUUGGUGCAAUUGGGAGUUGAUUGCCCUUUGUUCACCCACAAAGUCAUUCAUGACUUUACUUAGGUUCGCAAUGGCUUGCUCCACUGAAGAGGUUUGUUGAGGUGCUUGAGUUUGGGCUUGUGGUUGGUAUGGAGGUGGUCUUGGUUUCCAAGAAAAAUUUGGAUGGUUUCUCCAGCUUGAAUUAUAGGUGUUUCUGAUAACCCGACUCUUGGUAGCUUGGCAUGUAAGGGUAUCAACAAAAUUUAUACCUAAGGUCCUUACACUAAAGUAGCAAAGCUACUAUAGCAUAGUGGCUCUAGGAUCGAACACUGGGAAGGGUUUUUACUUUAACUGGUGAAGUUCGGAGGAUGGAGUGAACUUUUCUUAAUAAAAAUUAGGUUAAGAUGAAAACAUAAAAAGAUGAAGGUGUUGUAAACUAAACUAACAUGAAAAUAGGUUAAAAGAUGGAAAAAGAAGUUUCUCAAAGCUUUGGAUAGCCAUGCUUAACUCACUGUGUAAAAAUGGAGAUUUUGGAACUUUUCACCUCGAGUUGGGGAAGCAACUAAGGUGAUGCUUACUUCCCGAACCGGUAUGUGUUUAACAACUGAGUUUUAGUCCUUGAAAACUUACAAAAAGGGUAGCUGAACCUCAUAAAUGCUCUUUUAAUGAUAUAGGUCAUCUCCUCGACUUGCAAUACAAUGGCUCGUAGGAGAUAACUAAUGAACGUCAGUGGAUCUAACAAUAAGAAUCCACUGAGACCAAAAGGUUAUCAAGUAUUGGCCAUUCAAAGCAAGUCAAAGGGAUUAAAAGCUUUACUUUGAAUGAAAACAUUUAUGACGCUCAACUACUUACAUUCAUGGCUUGGAAAUCUCCAUCCUGACACGGGAGCUUCACAUGGCAUCCAUUACUUUAAGAAACUAAAAGGUUUUAGCCUCUCAUCCUUGGGGAUUUCAUCCUCCAAGGAUGUUUGGCUACUAAGAAAAUAGAAAAUAGUAGAGAGAAAAAGAAAGCAAAAGAUACUCUGUAUUUAGCUAAGUGUAAAAUUUACAUAAGUUCGUCUUUGGAGAAAGUUCCCCGACGUUUAUAAAAUGAAAAUUACAAAACAAUAUAUAACAGGUUGUUUACCCCUGUAUCCUUGCUUAAGAACUAAGGAAUCAUCUAAUUGGUGGAUUACAAGGAGAGAAUUGGGAUUUAGACAACAAAUAUCUGAGGCAAAAUAAAAAAAAACGUUGGUCGCAAAUAUCUGGAAGCACUCAGGAGAAUUUCGCAGGUGCACAAAAUGGCUGCGAAAUUUCGCAGACGAACAAGAUGGCUGCGAAAUCAUUUCGCAGCCGAAGGCUGAUUUCGCAGCCCUGCGAAAUUGGCCUUCAGCUUGGAGUGAUCUGCUUCCAUUGGCUCUAACUUCUUCAUUUCAACUCUGAUUUGCGAACCGUUUGAAGCAUUGGAUUUUUGACUUCCCGAUCUUCGAAACAACAUAAAGUAUGCAUAAAUUGGACUUCAGGAAGUACUCCAAAAGUGGCUGAAAUGACUGUCAUCAAGAAUGCUUCAAGGUAGAUUCUCUCUUUACUUCUCCUCCUUGCAUUCCGGAUUGGUUAUGGCAAAGGACUUUAAGGCUUCAAAGCUCUGAUUCUUCAUGUUCCUGAGCUUUCCAUUGCUUUACCAUGGAUUCCAAAUAACUCUCCUCCAUCUUGGAUUGCUUUGGUGAUCAAAUUACUAACAAAAACACCAAAACUUACACAAAGUGAUUAGAAGUGAUUGCAAAGGUCCUUAAUAUGUUAAUUGGGUUAAAGGGCAAUAAUUACUACUCAAAAGUGUUUAAAAGAGUUAAUUACAAGCUAUCAAAUAGCCCUUUUUGAGUAGUAAUCACUCCCCCCAACCGACAUAUUGCUAGUCCCUUAGCAAUUAAGGAGAGAAAAACUAAGCAAACAAAGUAAUAAACAUAAAAGAGGUCAUGCAAAUCAUUCCAAAAAAAUAAUUGAGUGGCAUGAACGAUAUCAAAACACAUCUCACAUGGUGAACUAAAGAUAUGAAGAUUCAAAAUGCAAUAGGAGCUGUCAAAGCUAAAACUUAAACAAAAAGUACAAAGAGUGGAGAUUAUGCAAUUAAGUAUCAAAAGAUCUCUACUCUCAAGGUUCCAAAUCAAACUCUUCCAUAAUGAGCUAAGUGUUAACGAGAUUAGGUUCCGGAUAUAGUAUAUACAACUAUCCUCACCCUCCAACCUAAGCUUUUCUCGAACAAAGGCAAAAUUAACCAACUCUUAAUAGGUUAGGAACGCACCUUCUUAUUCACAAUUCUUUUUACUCACUAAACUUUAACCAAUUCACCUAUGUAGCAAGCAGAGGAUCGAUGACUCCCAACCAAUCAAGGUUUAGGGCAUCGGGUUUUAAAGGCUUUCGCCACCCCUUCGAAUCAUGCUUAGGUUUCAAGGAAAGAAUAGAAGCUUAUUCUUUUUUUUUUUUUGAAAGACUCAUUGGCCUUUAUGAGGUGUCCCAACACUAUUAAAGAGAAGUUAAGUAAUGAACCAAGUCAAAAUUUUCCUAAGCUUAGAAGGUGAGAAAGUUUUACAUCAUAUAUCCGGGAUCUAAUGUGCACUGUGUGUGUAAAGCUUGAAAUGGAAGAAAUAAGUUCGAAAUCAAAGAGAGCUUUAAUAGAUUAUCAACUUUGAAAGCAUAAAACAAACUCAAAGACUUAAAUAAUUAAGUUAAAACUCGACUUAUCCUAUUUUAUUUUUGAGAAAUUAUCUUUAACAACCAUAGAGAAAAAUUUUAAAAUUAAACAAAAGUAACCUAAAUUACCAAAAUAUUUAGUAUUAACAAUAAUAAUAAUAAAAAACUUCCUUCCUCAACUGUCUCCCCCCAACCAAGCUGAGCAUUGUCCUCAAUGUGGUAUGAGCGAUUGAAAUUACAGGGAGGAAGUGGUGCCUCCUGAGUGGAUGUAAUUUGAGUAGAUAAGGAGAAACCACAUGUUUCAAAAAGAAAAUAGAUAUGAGUAGAGGAAUAAAAAUAAAAUAAUACCAAGAGUAUGCAAAAAAUGAUAGAGUUGUAUUACUUCAUGAAAGUACAUUAAAGAUGAUAACAAGUAAUACAACCAAUCCCAAUAUAUAUCAUAACAAAAGCAUGGGAUUGCAAGUGCUACUAUAAUAAGAAAAUGCAUAAAGAAAAUACAUAAAGUAAACUAUGGAAAUGAUCAAGUAGAUGGGUGUUGAUGAUGUGAAGAUAAUGACUCAGGUGGAUGUCUGUGUGUCUCCUGGAGUCGGCUCUGUGGGCUCUAAAGGGGCAGGCAUCUGGUGUUGAGGAGCUGAUGGAAUACCCAGAUGGCUCUGAAUCUGCCUCAGAAUGGCAGUAUGCUGAGUUUGAGUAGCAAUAAUUUGCUCUUGAUGAGCACGAAGAGUUGCCAUCUCCUGAGUAAGAGUGCUCUGUGAAGUGGUCAAUGUCUGCAAAGUGUGACAUAGAGCUCUCUACUCAGAAAUGGAUAUGGUAGUCCUCGGCUCUGCUGAAGAGGAGGGCUGUGAUGUGGCAGGAGAAGCAGGGGGAGGCCGUGGUGUGGCAGGAGAAGCAGAGGGUGCAACCUCAGGUAUGGGCUCUGUAGAGGGCACUGUAGGGGCAGGUGCUCUCGUGUCAGCUGGUGUCUCUAUGGGCUGUGGCUCCUAUGGCUGCUCUGCAUGUGGAAUCCCUGGAUGCUCUACUCCAGUUGGGGCCCCUGGCUCUGCACUAUAGGCUGUCAUAUUCGUCCAUUUGUCAAGAGUGAAUAUCUCUCGACAAAUCCGUUUGCGCUCAAAUUAAGGCUCAGUUGGGUAGCCCAAGUGUUCCAAAAUCUGACAUAACAAUCUGGGGAACAGUAGAGGAAUGGCAUCAGCUCUGAGCAGCUUCUUCUGAUGGACCUUCUCUUCAAAAUACAGAAGGGCGGCCAUAAUGAGAUGAUGAGGGCCAAAGAAAAAUCCCUCAGAUAUCCGAUAUAAUGCCUCCAGCAAAGCUCCUCGCCUCUACACCUAGUGCUGUAGUGGAAAGAUAUUGUGGCGGAGGAGAGCAUCUAUGAAAAACAUGCUAGGAGGGAGCUCCUUCCUCUGUAGAUAUUGGCCUGUGGAUGCCCCUCUGGACAGAAUACGAACUAUGUCGCUCGGGGAAGGAUUAGUCCAGACUCGAUAAUCCUCUGGCCUAGCUGGUUCGUAAGGAAUGCGCAAUGCCUCUGCUAUGUGCCUAGCUCCCAGAAUACCAUGACGUCCGUCUAUGGUGAAGUGGAUGACAAUAGGAUCUCGGACAUGGUGUGUGGUCAUGGAUUGAUAAAAAUCCAUUGCCACACGGGGAUAAAAGAAAUCCCUUGAAGUAAGCAAUUGUUCCAUAUGAUACCUCCGGAGUAGAUGGAAGGAGUCCCUGAGCUGGGGCUGAAGUCUGAAAGCGGCCACGUCAAAACAGAGCUCAGAGUGGAAAGGCCUAGCCCUGCAGUCUAAAUUACCCUCUAUGGGCGGCUGAGUGAGCAUGGGGCGCUUGAUAAUCAUCUCAGGAGUCAUGCCGGAAGGGAUCUAAGAAUCUGUAGGCAACGGCCGAGACGGCUGAGGCCCUGAAGCUGGCUGAGACGGCUGAGACAGCUGAGGCUCUGUAGCUGGCUCUUCUGGCUCUGAUAAAUCAAUUAACGCUGUCUCAGAUACCUUAGCUUUCUUCUUGGGUGGCUGGCUACUUGCCCGUGUAUGAUAGCGCCUGACCGGAGGGCUCCUCGGUGCUUCCUGAACUGGAGGUGGGGUGCGCAGUGGUCGCGGAGGCUCGGAUGUGGAGCCUUGGACAGGGGUCUUUGAUGAAACCCUCGUACGGCUUGACGGGGAGGAGGACUUAGCUCCUCGGGUUCUUGCCAUGGCGGGCCGGCGGAGAUGGGCGGAGGUGCGCGCGGUCGAGGUUCAGGCGAGAGGGAGAAGAUGGAAGGUUGUUCUGUUUUUGGGUCUUCUCUGGUACUAUUUAAAGUUCAAAUGACCGGUUAUAUUAGAAAUUUGGAAUUUAUACCGUUAAAAAUUGGAUACCAAGGGUCACUUUAAUUUUCGUAGCCGAGGGCGGAUUUCGCAGAGAAAGGGCAUUUUCGCAGAGGAGGGCCCUUUUCGCAGCCCAUUUCGCAGCUGCGAAAUUGGGUUACUGUGCUGCGAAAUGGCACACGAGUGCCAAAGGGGUGUUUCGCAGCUGUGAAACACCCUGCGAAAUGAGGCUAUUGCUGCGAAAAUUGAAGAUUUGACGCUUUGGGGAUUUCGCAGCCAUUUCGCAGCUGCGAAAUGGAGUUACUGUGCUGCGAAAUGGCACACGAGUGCCAAGAGGUGGUUUCGCAGCUGCGCAGAGGAGGGUGUUGGGCUGCGAAAUUUAUUUCGCAGCGGAAGGCCAUUUUCGCAGCCAAACCUCGAUUUCGCAGCGGACACCAAAGGGCUGCGAAAUAAUUUCGCAGCCGAUGGCCAUUUUCGCAGGGGGCUAUUUUGGGCUGCGAAAUUUCGCAGACCAUUGAAAUUUCUUGGUUUUGAGCUCCUUUUUGCUCCCUGGGACUUUCCUUCAUUUUCUUUGCAAUUCCUCCUACAAAAGAUCAUUCAAAUAGAUGAAGUUACAUAUAAUUAACAAAACUUUAAACCAAAAUUAAAAUCAAAAGAAUUAAUAAAGCUUUCAAAUUAAUAAACUUAAACAAAAAUAUGGACUUUGGUGAAACCAAGCCCAUCUAACCUUUUUCUGAUUAGGCUUUCUGUGGCUCAAGGAGGUUGAUUUCCUCUUUGUCUUGCUUGAAUGGUUCAAUGAAUGGCUUGAGACGAUGGCCAUUGACCUUGAAGGUCUUUGCACUAUUUGAGUUGAGUAACUCAAUUACUCCAUGUGAGUGUACUUGGUGGAUGACAAAAGGCCCUACCCACCUUGAUUUGAGCUUUCCCGGAAAUAGGUGAAGCUUAGAGUCAUAUAGCAAGACUCUUUGUCCCUUGAAAAAUUCUUUCUUGGUCACCAACUGAUCAUGCCAUCUCUUUAGCUUUUCCUUAGCUAUUUUUGAGUUGAGAUAGGCAUCAUUUCUCAAUUCCUCAAGCUCAUUCAAAUCCAAACUCCUCUUUAGCCCAGCCUUAGUUAAAUCCAUGUUGAGCUUUUUAAUGGCCCACCAUGCCUUGAACUCAAUCUCAACGGGAAGAUGGCAAGCUUUGCCAUAAACAAGACGGUACGGUGACAUCCCAAGGAUAGUCUAAUAAGUCGUCCUAUACGCCCAUAGGGAAUCAAGGAGCUUAACAGACCAAUCUUUCCUAUUGGUGUUCACCACCUUCAUCAAGAUAUUCUUUAUUCCCCGGUUGGCUAGCUCUACUUGGCCACUCGUCUGAGGAUGAUAAGGUGUAGCUACCUUAUACUUGACUCCGUACUUGGCCAAAAGAGCUUCAAAGGGCUUGUUGCAAAAGUGAGUGCCUCCAUCACUGAUGAUUGCUUUAGGCACUCCAAACCUCAAGAAGAUGUUUUCUUUUAGGAAUUUGAGAACCACUUUGUGAUCAUUGGUUCUACAGGAUAUAGCUUCAACCCACUUUGAAACAUAAUCAACUCCUACCAAGAUGUAGGAGUGGCCAAAAGACAUAGGGAAAGGUCUCAUGAAGUCUAUGCCCCAAACAUAAAAAAGAUCCACUAUCAAGAUGGGGUUCAAAGGCAUCAUGUUUCUCCUUGAAAGCUUGCCUAGUCUUUGGCACUUAUCACAUCCUUUACUUACCUCAUGGGCAUCCUUAAAAAGUGAGGGCCACCAAAAACCCGAUUGAAGAACUCUCAUUGUCGUCUUUUGAGAGGCAAAGUGGCCUCCACAUGCAUUCUCAUGGCAAUGAGAUAUGAUCCCAUGCUUCUCUUGUUCAGGCACACACUUCCUUAUAAUUUGGUCCGCACAAUACUUGAAGAGAAAAGGCUCCUCCCAAUAAUAUGCAUGGACCUUGGCAAAGAAAUUCUUCUUGUCCUGAGAGCUCCAUUCACUUGGUAUUUCUCCCGUGACCAAGUAAUUUGCAAUGUGUGCAAACUAUGGCACUUGCUCUACAAGCAUCAAGGAUUCCUCAGGGAAAUCAUCAUUUAUGGGAAGUCCAUGGGUGUCAUGAGCAAUGUUGAGCCUUGACAAGUGGUCAGCUACCACAUUCUCAACACCUUUCUUAUCUCUGAUCUGGAGGUUGAACUCUUGAAGCAAAAGUAUCCACCUAAUCAACCUAGCCUUGGCAUCUUGCUUGGUUAGCAAAUACUUCAAAGCUGAAUGAUCUGUGAAUACCACAAUGGAAGACCCUAUCAAAUAAGCUCUGAACUUAUCCAAAGCAUACACCACAGCAAGUAAUUCCUUCUCAGUAGUGGUGUAAUUCCUUUGAGCAUCAUUCAAAGACUUGCUUGCAUAGUAGAUCACAUAAGGUUUACCAUCUUCUCUUUGUCCCAAAACAGCCCCAAUGGCAUAAUCACUUGAGUCACACAUCACUUCAAAUGGCAACUCCCAAUUUGGUGCUCUCACAAUGGGUGCUGAUGUCAAGAAUUGCUUAAGAAGCUCAAAACUCCUUUGACAUUUAUCAUCCCACUCAAACUUGGCAUCCUUCACCAAUAAUUCACAAAGAGGUUUGGCAAUCUUGGAAAAAUCCUUUAUAAACCUCCUAUAGAACCCGGCAUGCCCAAGGAAUUGCCUUAUUCCUUUUACAUUGGUGGGAGGUGGCAACUUCACAAUUAGUUCCACCUUAGCUCUAUCUACCUCUAUACCCUUCUUUGAGAUUACGUGCCCAAGAACAAUACCUUGAUUUACCAUAAAAUGGCACUUCUCCCAAUUGAGUACGAGGUCUUUCUCUAUGCAUCUUUUCAAAACAUCUUCAAGAUGUGACAAACAAUCCUCAAAAGAAGUCUCAUACACAGUUAUGUCAUCCAUGAAGACUUCCAUGAUUCGUUCAACCAUGUCACUGAAGAUGCUAAGCAUGCAUCUUUGGAAGGUAGCAGGAGCGUUGCAUAAUCCAAAAGGCAUCCGCCUAUAAGCAUAGGUGCCGAAUGGACAAGUGAAGGUAGUCUUCUCCUGGUCCUCCACAUCAAUCUCUAUUUGAAAAUACUCGAAAUACCCAUCCAAGAAGCAAUAAAAAGGAUGCCCAGAUACUCUCUCAAGGACUUGAUCCAUGAAAGGUAAAGGGAAGUGAUCCUUUCUCAUUACUGCGUUCAGCUUCCUGUAGUCAAUGCACACCCUCCAACCAGUUGUGAGGCGUGUGGACACUUCAUCUCCAUUUUCCCCCUUGACUACGGUUAUCCCGGACUUCUUUGGAACAACUUGGGUUGGACUCACCCAAGCGCUAUCCGAAAUGAGGUAAAUGAUGCCCGCUUGAAGAAGCUUCAACACUUCAGCCCUUACUACCUCUUGCAUAUGAGGAUUCAAUCUUCUUUGUGGCUGACGAGUUGGCUUAGCUCCCUCCUCCAUAUAAAUAUGGUGCGUGCAAAUCAAUGGGCUUAUCCCCUUCAAAUCAGAAAUUUGCCGUCCGAUGGCCUUCUUGUUCUUUCUAAGGAUUCUAAGAAGAUUGUCCUCUUGUGAAACGGUUAAAGAAGAAGAAAUUACCACCGGGGCUUUAUUGCCUUCCUCCAAGUAAGCAUACUUCAACUCGGCAGGAAGGGUCUUCAAUUCAAGCUUAAGGAUUGCAUCCUUAGCUUCUUUCAUCUCUUCCUCAUCCUUGAACAAAGGGAGGAUCACUGGCUUUUGUCUCCAGUUUGACAUAACGACAUUCAUUCCCAUGGGUUCAGCUAACCCAUCAUCAAGAUCUUCAUGGCUUUCAUCUGGAUUCUCUUCAAACUGAUCAAGCAUACUCUGAUUACAAUGCUCCUCCACCAGGGUAUCUAUCAUACAAACUUCUUCUAGGCCCUCAUCUUCUUCAGGAUGGAUGUGCUUUUGACAUAGAUGGAAGAUGUUGAGUUCCAAUGUCAUAUUCCCAAAAGUGAGUUGCAUGACCCCAUUCCUACAAUUGAUGAUUGCAUUGGAUGUUGCAAGGAAUGGUCUUCCAAGGAUGAUUGGAACAUAGUUGAUCCCUUUGACAAUGGGAUCUGUAUCAAGCACCACAAAAUCUACUGGAUAGUAGAAUUUGUCAACUUGAACCAAUACAUCCUCUAUUACCCCCCUGGGGAUUUUCACUAAUCGGUCAGCUAAGGAUAGGGUGAUCGAUGUUGGCUUGAGUUUCUCCUCAACCCUCAGCUCCUUAUAUACAGAGUAUGGAAGCAAGUUAACACUUGCCCCCAAAUCAAGCAAUGCCUUCUCCACUUGGGUUCCUCCAAUAUUAACUGAGAUUGUAAGACACCCCAGAUCUUUGUAUUUGAUUGGAGACUUGCAUUGGAUUAUAGCACUCACUUGCUCGGUUAGGAAGGCUUGCUUUGUAACAUUGAGUCUUCUUUUCACAGUGCACAAGUCCUUCAAAAACUUUGCAUAUAUGGGUACUUGCUUGAUCAUAUCAAGUAAAGGAAUAUUCACCUUCACUUGUCUUAGCACAUCAAGAAUCUCAGAAGCAUUCUUGAUCGGUUUCUUCCCACGCAAGGCUUGAGGAAAUGGAGGAGGCAUGUGCUUCUUCAUCAUGCCUUCCUUUAAAAGAAUUUGAGGUUCCUCAUCCAUGCUAGGAAUGAUGCUUUCUUUCAUCUGAACUUCCUUUCCCUUUCGUUCAUUCUUCUUUUCUUCAUUUCUAUCAGCCUUGUCUUCUUUGGCUUUCCUCUGAUCAUGCUCUGGCUGAUGCACUUCCUUACCACUUCUCAAAGUGAUAAUAGCUUGCACGUCCCUCACCUUUGAAGAAUCCUCGUCUUUGGAUUCCACUUCAUGUAUCCCCUUAGGAUUUUGGUGAGGCUGAGAGGGAAACUUUCCUUUCUCAUUGACAGUGUUCAAAUUUGUGAGCCUUGAGAUGGAAUAUUGGAUGUUGUCAAUUUUCUGAGACAACUCAUUAUGCAUCCAAUCUAUCUUCUUGUUCAAUGUACUCUCUACGAUGUCAAUCUUCUGAUUUAGUUGAGAGUUGAUGGACUUUUGCUCACUCACAAAGUCACCCAUAACCUUGCUAAGGCUUAUGAGUGCUUGCUCAACUGAGGAUUGACCUUGACUCUAUUGGCUUGAUUGGGCUGGUGACUGAUAUGGGUUUGGCCUUGGCUUCCAUGCAAAGUUUGGGUGGUUCCUCCAGCUAGAGUUGUACGUGUUGCCAUAGGGAGCAUUUGAAUUUGGCUUCCAUUAGCCAAUCAGGUUAGCUUGUUCCCCAAACAUUUCUCUUGCUGCCGGAAUGGUGGGACAUUCUUCCACCAUAUGUUCAAAUGACUGACAUAUGGAGCAAGGAUUGGCUGGUUGUUGAGGUUCUGAAAUAGCUUGGACUUCGUGAACUUUUCUCAACUCCAUUUCCUCUAUUUUUCUAGCCAUAGCAGCUACCUUGGCUUUCAUCUCCAUGUCUUCACUCAGAUUGUACAUCCCUCCUUUUGACAUUUGCUGAACUGGCCUCUUCCCCAUUUCUCUGUUAGUGGGCUCAUCCCAUCCACGGGAAACCUCUGAGACAUAACUUAGGAAAUCCAUAGCCUCCUCAGGGUUCUUGCUCAUGAAAUCGCCCCCACACAUUGUCUCCAAUAUCUGCUUCAUUGAAGAUGACAUGCCAUCAUAAAAAUAGCUCACCAAAAGCCAUGUAUCAAAGCCGUGGUGAGGACAUGCAUUGAUGGCUUCCAUAUACCUCUCCCAGCAUUCAUAAAAUUUUUCAUUCUCACGUGCUGAGAAGUUGGAGAUUUGUCUCUUCAAUCCAUUUGUUCUGUGAGUAGGGAAAAACUUCUUCAAAAAAUCAGCUUGAAGUUUUGUCCAUGUUCUUAUGCUUCUCGGCCUCAAGGAAUUGAGCCAUAUCUUGGCUUUGUCCUUUAAUGUGAAUGGAAAGAGCUUCAACCUCAUAAGCUUAAUAGCUGUUCCCCCUUCUUGAAAAGUAUUGCACACAUCUUCGAAUUCCUUUAUGUGCGCAUAUGGAUUUUCACUUUCCAUCCCAUGGAAAGUAGGAAGCAGAGGCACGAUGUGUGGCCUGAUAAUCAAUUGCUCUAUAGGAGGAAUGAUGCAAGAUGGUGCACUCAUCCUCGGAGGGUGCAUCCUGUCCCUCAUGGACCUAUACAAGUUCGGAUCAUUCCCCUGCCCGUGUUGUGAAUGUUGAUCCUCUGGUUGAUUCUCCAUGACUUCCAAAAUAAUCUCUAAUUUAGUAGCUCGUGGAGUCUCUAUCCGUACUAACCUUCCCUCUUGGUCUCUAAUCCAAUAGGGCAUGCACGGAUUCAGCUGGAACAAAGUAAACAAACAAAACAAAGAAAAAAGAGAAAAAACAGAGCAUGCGGAAAGAAAAACAGAGUAUGAAUAAUAAACUAAAAAUGAAAGUUAAAAGCUAAAAGAAACUUAUCUAAACUAAGUUAAAAAUGUUCUAAAACUAAAAUAAAAGGUUAGUAAAAGAAAAAUGAGAUAAAAUUCACCUUACUCAUGAGAAGUCUCACAAGUUACCUCCGGCUGAUAUAUUCACAGUGAAGUAGCACCCUUCCCCGGCAACGGCGCCAUUUGAUAACCCGACUCUUGGUAGCUUGGCAUGUAAGGGUAUCAACAAAAUUUAUACCUAAGGUCCUUACACUAAAGUAGCAAAGCUACUAUAGCAUAGUGGCUCUAGGAUCGAACACUGGGAAGGGUUUUUACUUUAACUGGUGAAGUUCGGAGGAUGGAGUGAACUUUUCUUAAUAAAAAUUAGGUUAAGAUGAAAACAUAAAAAGAUGAAGGUGUUGUAAACUAAACUAACAUGAAAAUAGGUUAAAAGAUGGAAAAAGAAGUUUCUCAAAGCUUUGGAUAGCCAUGCUUAACUCACUGUGUAAAAAUGGAGAUUUUGGAACUUUUCACCUCGAGUUGGGGAAGCAACUAAGGUGAUGCUUACUUCCCGAACUGGUAUGUGUUUAACAACUGAGUUUUAGUCCUUGAAAACUUACAAAAAGGGUAGCUGAACCUCAUAAAUGCUCUUUUAAUGAUAUAGGUCAUCUCCUCGACUUGCAAUACAAUGGCUCGUAGGAGAUAACUAAUGAACGUCAGUGGAUCUAACAAUAAGAAUCCAAUGAGACCAAAAGGUUAUCAAGUAUUGGCCAUUCAAAGCAAGUCAGAGGGAUUAAAGCUUUACUUUGAAUGAAAACAUUUAUGACGCUCAACUACUUACAUUCAUGGCUUGGAAAUCUCCAUCCUGACACGGGAGCUUCACAUGGCAUCCAUUACUUCAAGAAACUAAAAGGUUUCAGCCUCUCAUCCUUGGGGAUUUCAUCCUCCAAGGAUGUUUGGCUACUAAGAAAAUAGAAAAUAGUAGAGAGAAAAAGAAAGCAAAAGAUACUCUGUAUUUAGCUAAGUGUAAAAUUUACAUAAGUUCGUCUUUGGAGAAAGUUCCCCGACGUUUAUAAAAUGAAAAUUACAAAACAAUAUAUAACAGGUUGUUUACCCCUGUAUCCUUGCUUAAGAACUAAGGAAUCAUCUAAUUGGUGGAUUACAAGGAGAGAAUUGGGAUUUAGACAACAAAUAUCUGAGGCAAAAUAACAAAAAACGUUGGUCGCAAAUAUCUGGAAGCACUCAGGAGAAUUUCGCAGGCGCACAAAAUGGUUGCGAAAUUUCACAGACGAACAAGAUGGCUGCGAAAUCAUUUCGCAGCCGAAGGCUGAUUUCGCAGCCAAAGGCUGAUUUCGCAGCCAAAGGCUGAUUUCGCAGCCAAAGGCUGAUUUCGCAGCCCUGCGAAAUUGGCCUUCAGCUUGGAGUGAUCUGCUUCCAUUGGCUCUAACUUCUUCAUUUCAACUCUGAUUUGUGAACUGUUUGAAGCAUUGGAUUUUUGACUUCCCGAUCUUCGAAACGACAUAAAGUAUGCAUAAAUUGGACUUCAGGAAGUACUCCAAAAGUGGCUGAAAUGACUGUCAUCAAGAAUGCUUCAAGGUAGAUUCUCUCUUUACUUCUCCUCCUUGCAUUCCGGAUUGGUUAUGGCAAAGGACUUUAAGGCUUCAAAGCUCUGAUUCUUCAUGUUCCUGAGCUUUCCAUUGCUUUACCAUGGAUUCCAAAUAACUCUCCUCCAUCUUGGAUUGCUUUGGUGAUCAAAUUACUAAUAAAAACACCAAAACUUACACAAAGUGAUUAGAAGUGAUUGCAAAGGUCCUUAAUAUGUUAAUUGGGUUAAAGGGCAAUAAUUACUACUCAAAAGUGUUUAAAAGAGUUAAUUACAAGCUAUCAAAUAGCCCUUUUUGAGUAGUAAUCAGUUUCCAUAAGGUGCAUUCUUGUUAGGCCUAAAUUGCCCCACAACAUUGGCUUGAUCACCUAACAUCUCCCUCACAGCUGGCAUGGUUGGGCACUCAUCUACCACAUGAUCACAUGAUUGGCAAAUGGUGCAUGGCAUGGCAUGGGCUUGAGUCUCGGAAAUGGCUUGGACUUCAUGCAUCUUUUUCAACUCAAGUUCUUCCAACCUCCUUGCUAUUGUUGCCACCUUAGCUUUCAUGUUCAUGUCUUCACUUAACAUGUACAUUCCACCCUUUGGAUUUACAGGAGCUUUCAUCCUUCCCAAUUCCUUUGAGUUAGGCUCAUCCCAUCCUCUUGUUACCUCAGAUACAUAACUUAAAAAAUCCAUGGCUUCUUCCAGAUUCUUACUCAUAAAAUCUCCCCCACACAUGGUUUCAAGAAUUUGCUUCAUGGAGGAAGACAUCCCAUCAUAGAAAUAGCUCACCAAGAGCCAUGUAUCAAAGCCAUGAUGAGGACAAGCAUUGAUGGCCUCCAUAUACCUUUCCCAACAUUCAUGGAACUUCUCAUUUUCUUUUGCAGAAAAGUUUGAGAUUUGUCUCUUCAACCCAUUGGUCCUAUGGGUGGGGAAAAUUUUUUUCAAAAACUCGGCCUGAAGAUCAACCCAAUUCCUUAUGCUCCUUGGCCUUAAAUAAUUAAGCCAUAUUUUUGCCUUGUCCUUCAAAGUGAAAGGGAAUAGCUUGAGUCUCAUCAAGUCUAUUGAGCUCUUCCCUCUCUAAAGGUAUUGCACACCUCUUCAAACUCCUUGAUGUGGGCAUAUGGAUUCUCACUCUCCAUUCCAUGGAAAUUUGGUAGAAGGGGCACAAUAUGGGGCCUUAUAAUCAGCUGCUCAAGAGGAGGUAUGAUGCAUGAGGGUGCACUCAUCCUUGGUGGGUGCAUUCUAUCCCUCAUGGAUAGAUAUGCAUUUGGAUUACCCCCUUGACCUUGUUGAAAAUUCUGAUCCUCUUGUGGAGGGUCCAUGAUGUUUACAUAGAUAUCCAACUCUGUGUCUUGAGGAUUCUCAAUUCUUACUAAUCUUCCUUCUUGGUCCCGAAUCCAAUAAGGCAUGCACAAAUCACUACUUGCCUGAAAACAAAACAAAGACAACAAAAACAAAAGAAAAUUAGAAGAAAGUUAAAGUUAGAAAGAAAACAAAACAAAUUCUACAAUAAAAAAAAAAAAGUUAGUGAAAAAGGAAUUCACCAAACUUGUAAUGAAAAUCACAAGUAGCCUCUAAAAGGUUGUAUCACUGUAUCGUGGCACCAUCCCCGGCAACGGCGCCAUUUUGAUUCGCGUAUGUAAAUCCAGUCGGGUCAUUUAAUAAAAAACAUUUAUAAAACCUAUGACCUCAUACUAGUGUAGCAAAGCUACUAUAGUAUAGUGGCUCUAGGGUCGAACUCUGGGAUGGGUUUUCAUUCUACCAGUGAUAUACUCAUGAUUAGGAAUUGAAUUUAAUGAUUUCCUUUAUAAAAAAUUUAGAGUUUAAAAGAAAAUAAAAUUUGUUUUGAAAGUGUUUGAAACUAAAUUAACAUAAACUAAUUAAAAAUGGAAGAAAGAAAGUCUCCCGGAGCUCAGGAUUGCUAGGAUCAAGUUUAGAAUGCAAAGUGGAAAAUUCCGGAUUUUUCUCCUCGCAUUGGGGAUUUAACCUAUAGUUAUUUCCCGAACCGGUAUCGGUUUAACAAUGAAGAUUUAAUCCAUAAAAAUCAAUAGAAAUGGUAGUCAAGGUCCAUUAAUGGCUUUAGACACUAUGGUUCUUCACCUUGAACCACUUUCCAAUGGCUCGUACAUGAUAACUAAUGGACUGAUAUGGAUCUAGCAAUAAGCAUCCACAGAGACUUGAAGCUUACCAUGUAUUGGCCAUUCAAAGUGAUUCUAAGGGAUUUAAAGCAAAACAUUGGAUUUAAAAGGCAUUUAUGAGCUUCAACUACCUGUAUUUAAGGCACGAGCGUUUUCCACCUUACAUCUGGACUUUUCACCUAGCUUCCAUCACUCCAAGAAACCAAAAGUUUAGCCUCUCAUCCUCUGAGAAAACACCCUCAGAGGUUGUUUGGCUUCCAAGAAAAAGAAAAUAGUAAAUAGAAAAGGGAAAACGAGAGAGCUCUGUAUAUUUUUCUAAGUGUAAAACAUAACACGCGUGAUACCUCCAAGAGGUGAUUUCCACCCCUUAUAUAGUUUUUACAAAAGCAAAGCUUGUGAUUGGCUUGUUACAAGGAGAAGAAAGGAAAUUACAUCAAAAAAUACAAAAGAAAAUAUCUAAAGUGGAGUCUGCAAAAACAGAGGAAAAUUCGCACCACACAUGGGGUGUGCGAAUUUUCGCACACCUGAGGGGGGUGUGCGAGUUUCGCACACCUGAGGGGGGUGUGCGAGUUUCGCACACCAUUCGCACACCUAGAGUAGUUGUCUUCCGAAGGCCAUAUCUUCCUCGUUUCAGAUCCAAAUCAUACACGGUUUGAAGUGUUGGAUUCUUGACUUCCUGAGCUUUGAAAUGGUAUAUAGCGUGUAAAAAAUGGACUUCAGGAAGUGCUCAAAAAGUGCCAAAGAAGACUGCAGCUUCUGUCCUCUGUUUUCCUCUUUGCUUCUCUUUGGUUUUCUUUGCUUUUCUCCUUUGGAUGGCUUGUCUUAAUGAUCUAAAAAGAUGUCAAAAACACUAAAACUAGCCACAAAUAUGAUUAGGAGUCAUUGAUAGGUCCUUAACAUGCCAAUUGGAAUAAAGAUGAAGAAUUACUACACAAAAGUGCUUAAAACAUAAUGACUUAAAGGUGUAAAAUAAUACUUUUUGGGUAGUAAUCAGUCAUGAACAUCAUCAGAACGGGAAACAAAUCUCGACAAAAAAUCAAAGGAAAGAGGUGGGUCCACAAAGUUGGACGCUCCCUCAACUAGGCCAACAAGGUCGUCAAACAAAACAUCAACAUCUAAAAUAUCCUCUACAAACUCCGGAACAGGGGCAGUCGGGAUCUCCUCAGCAGUUUCGAUGACGAACACCCUGAAAAGAUCAAACAAUGAAGCGAGCCAAGGCUGAAGUAUCUCAUCGAUUUGGCUCAAGCUCAUCACGAACAUCUCAUCAACGUACUCGUCAUGUUGAAUGGUUCCGUCCAUCAUGUCUCCGACCUCGGCAAAUGUCCCAUGCUCAUCGAUCUCAUCCAGGAAAUAGAGCGUCAUAAGGCUCAUACGAUCCUGGAAGAAAAGGGCGGUCAACACAGAUGUCGAAGUCUCAGGGGCUCCAUCACUCAAAUGUAGCUGGUGGAUGAGGCGUUGUAACUCGGCCUCCUGAGUAGUGUUGAGUCCUCCAAUGAUCACGUCCGAACGAGUCCGUGGCUCCGAUGCCCUCACGAAGUAAUCUGUCAGGCUGAUGGUGUACGAGCAAACAGGUUAACCGAACGGUGUAUGAGUCAGUCGAGCCCUCACUCGUUCCUUAUGCAAUCGCGCCAUAUAGCUAUAAUCGGCCUCAAUGGGAAUGAACCCGAGUCCGAACGGUACGUCAUGAUCAGGGAUAGUCAUGAACUCACUGGGCCUAUGCUGACGCCACCCUAAUCCCAUGCUGGGUAGAUAAGACACACUCCUCAUCAUAUCGAGCACCACCGUGCUACCGUGCUGGUCGAACGACAAGGCCACAAAGUCUCGACAGAAAUCCUCCAUUUCCAGGGCCUGCACCUCAUCAAAGGUGAAUCCAGUCAGAAGUAAUUCAUCAUCAUUGUGACUAAUUUGGAGCACUGGCUCAGUAGAAAUGAACAUAUCUCGCAUAGACUGCACUAUGACGACCUGGCCAUCGUGAAUGAACUUCACCUUCUGAUGAAUGAAAGAAUGAAUGGCCCCGGCUCUAUGGAUCCAAGGUCGGCCCAAAAGCAGGUUAAAAGAUGUAGGAAUCCUCAAAACCUGGAACAUGGUAACAAAUGUGGCUGGACCUAUCAGCGGCUUGAUCUCUAGAGUGUCCAUAAUCUCUCUUUGAGUGUUGUCAUAAGCUUGAAUUGUUUGCUUAGAGGGAUCGAAAUCAAAAGGUGUGUAGCCGAGGGUAAUGGCAGUGGCCAAAUGACAAACGUUCAGGGUCGAGCCAUUUUCCAAAAGGACAAAUGGAACUCGACGACCUAAACAACCAACGGAUAUAUAAAGUGGACGUGUAUGGUCUGAACCCUUUGGUGGCAAGUCAUCAUCAGAGAAUACUAUGCAUGUGGCUCUACCAACCGUCACCAUAUGAAUCAAUCUCUCCGGAGUGGUGGUAGUCUCGACUCUGAUUUGGCUCAGGACUCGAAUUAAUGCAUCUCGGUGAGUGAUAGAAGAUGUUAGUAAGCUCCAAAUAGAAAUGCGAGCCUGGGUGCUUUGUAACUGCCUCUGAAUCUCAUCAUCCUCUCUCCUGACCUCCUCUUGGGAAGACGUCCCCUCCAAGGGUCUAGCGGCCGUGGGGGGUUGUUGUCGUACCACCCUACCCCCGCGGAUAACAUACUGCACAUCUGAAGUAAGAACACCAUCGACAUAUGGAGUUUGAGAAACAUCAACAUACGAAGUCUGAACCUCAUCAACAUUCGAAAUCAAAACAAAAGGCAUCUGAACACUAUAAUAUGAGAAGGUCGAUGGCUCGACAGUGGUCGUUUGUACUGACAUCGACAUAUGGAGUCUGAGAAACAUCAACAUACAGAGUCUGAACCUCAUUAAAAGAAACCAAUACUAGGUCUAGUGUGAGAAAGAUAUAUGAGUUUUCCUACUAGUUUUGGUAUUUGUCUUCUUUAGCUCCUAGUUUAGUUGUUGAAUCCAUUAGAGUAUCAAUAGGAUUGCACUCGAGCAUCCUUGUUUCCUUUAGUAAAUCUAGAAAAUAUUUUCGUUGAGAAACAAAAAAAUACCUUUUCUUGAUUGAACAACUUCCAUAACAAGGAAGAAUUUGAGAUUGACCAAGUCUUUGAUUUCAAACUCUUUGGCUAGAAAGCCCUUAAGUUUGCUUAUUUCCUCCUCUUAGUCCCUUAUUACAAUGAUGUCAUCUAUAUACACGAUGAAGAUGGUUAUUUUUCCUUUAGGUGAGUGUUUGACACAUAAGGUGUGGCCUGUCUAACACUAAGAAUACCCAUAUCUCUUCAUUGCCUUUGUAAACCUGUUGAACUAAGCUCUUGGGGAUUGCUUGAGACCAUAUAAUGACUUUUUGAGCUUACACACUUUGUUGAUAGUUGUUUAUGUCUCAAAGCUAGGAGGAAUUUCCAUGUAGAAAUCUUCUUCUAGAUCUUCAUUAAGGAAAACAUUCUUGACAUUUAGUUGAUAAAGGGACCAAUUUAAAUUCAUUGUCAAUGAUAAGAGUACCUGGAUUGUGUCGAGUUUAGCUACUAGGGCAAAUGUCUCCUGGUAAUUAGUCAAUUCCAUAGGAUUGAGUGAACUCUUUAGCAACAAGCUAAGCCUUGAACCUAUCAAUCCGUUUACAUCCCAUGAGAUGUUUUUUGGUUGGUAAAUAUGAAAUUUCCCAAAUUCCAUUUAUCUUUAGUGCAAGAAUCUCUUCCCAAUGGUAGCUUUCCAUUCUGGUAAUGUUAGAGCUUCAUGGAUAGUGUUAGGAAUCUGUAUUUUGUUGAGAUUGGUUAGAAAGAAAUGAAAACUAGGUGAUAACCCUUAAUAAGAGACAAAAUUAUAGAUUGGGUGACUUGUACAUGAUCUCACACCUUUCCUCAAGGCAAUAGGACGAUUAAGAUCAUCAUUAGAAAUUUCAAUAUUGCCAGAUUUAGAAUUAGUGGUACUUGGUGAAAUUUCAAUAGAUUUUGAACUUGGAUCAGACUCUUGGAUUUGCUUAGGAGGUGUUUGUUGCUCUAUACCCAAUUCAAUCUUUUUUCUCCUUGAAUAGACAAUAAGCUCAUUGUUUUUUGCAUGUUGAGUGGACUUUGGAUGGUGUGAAGGACUUGAGGACUAGGACCAUUAUAUGGAUUUGAAGUACUGUGAGACAAGUUUGGAGCAUUGGUUUCAACGUUCUAAAGUUUAUAUUUCCAUGUGUAAUUCUCCCCUUGAAUAUCGGAUUUGGGAUGGUAAGGUUGUUGUUAAAAAAUUGUGAUAUCCAUGGAGUUAGAAUCUUUUUGUGAUUAGUGAAUGACACUUGUACCCCUUUUUGAUUUAGAGAGUACCCAAUGAACAUGCACUUGAUUGCUUUUGGGAUAAGUUUGCUCCAAUUUUGUUGAUUUAUGUUUUUUAAAUUUUUUUUUAUUUUGAUGAGAAACAACAAUAUAUUAUAUUGAAGUUAGUAAAAUAAGUACAAAGAAGGAUGAGAGAUCAUUUCCUUAUUUGUUUAUUUUAGUGAUGAAGAUCCUUUCUUUUUUGAUUUCUAGGGUAAGGGAGGGUGUCUUUUUUUAGGGGUUCCGAGUUAAGGAAAGGCAUGAUGUGGGUCUAGAGUUUUCCCAUUUGUUCUUUGCAAAUGAUAAUCUCAUUUUUUGUGAUGCAAGCAAGGAAAAUAUAGUGUAUUUGAGUUGAUUUUUUAUGUGGUUUGAGGCAUGCUCAGGUCUCAAGAUAAAUCUAGAGAAAAGUGAGUUGAUUCCUAUUGGGGAUGUCCAUAAUAGGGAGGAGUUUGUUGAGGUUUUAGGUUAUAAGGUGGGCACCCUUCCAACCACUUACUUAGGCCUCCCCUUGGGUGCUCCUUACAAGUUUAGUAGGGUCUAGGAAAGGGUGGAGGAAAGGUUCCAAAAAAGGCUUGCUUUGUGGAAGAGACGAUAUUUUUCGAAAAGUGGAAGACAGACGCUGAUUAAUAGCACAUUAUCUAACUUACCCAUUUACUUUAUGUCCCUUUUUUUUAUCCCUAAAAGAGUGACAAUUAGAUUGGAAAAGAUUCAAAGAGACUUUCUAUGGGGAGGAGGGGAUUUGGUGAAAAAACCUCAUUUGGUUAAGUGGUCGAUUGUUUGUAUGGAGAAACAAAAAUGGGAUUUGGGUUUUAGAAGUCUUUCUCUUUUCAAUAAGGCCCUAUUGGGGAAAUGGUCUUGGAGAUUUGUGAAGGAAAGGUGCCCUCUUUGGAAAUAUGUAAUUAUUGGUAAGUAUGGGUUACAGGAGGGGGCAUGGUGCACAAAGGAGAUGAGAGAGAGGUUUGGUGUAGGGCUUUGUAAAGCAAUUAGAAAUGGUUGGGAUGUCUUCAAAGAUAAAACAAGUCUUCAAGUUGGUUUGGGAAAUCAGGUGAAGUUUUGGAAUGAUAAGUGGUGUGGGGAAACGCCUUUUAAGGGAUGUGUUCCUGAGUCUUUAUGCUAUCGCUUCUUCUAAGGAUGCUUGUGUGGUAGAUGUUUGGGAUGAGGGUAGUUGGGGUUCGAGGUUUAUUAGAUAAUUCAAUGAUUAGGAGUUGGAGGAUGUUGAUGCCUUUUUUGGGAGGUUGCAUAACUACUUUGUUACUUUGGGUAUCAUUGAUGACAUGGUAUAGUUGGGGCUAAGAAUGGAGUUUUUUCAGUUUAGUUUUUUUACUUCUCUCUAGCAAGUAGGAGAGUGGAGCCUUUCCUGCACAAUAUAAUGUGGAACUCUUGGGCCUCUAUAAGAGCUAGCUUUUUUGUUUGGUAGGCAACUUGGGCUAAGAUAUUUACACAAGACCGGCUUAGAAGGAGGGGAUGGAGGAUGGCAAACAGAUGUUACAUGUGCAAGGCAAGAAAAGAAACAUGAUAUCAUAUUUUGUUGCACUGUCCGAAAGAAAGCUUAUAGUGGCAACUAGUCUUUACUUUAUUUCCUAUAUAAUGGGUGAUGCAUUCAUUUGUGAGAGGGGUGCUCUUAAAUUGGAAUAGCUUCUUGAUUGGCAAAAAGAGGAAAAAGGCUUGGAAAGUUGCCUCACUUUGCCUUUUUUGGUAUAUUUGGAAGGAAAAUAAUAAGAGUCUUUGAGGAUAGGAAAAGUUUUGAUUAGAUAUUUAAAAGUUCUUUUUUGUAUAUCUUUUAGGAUUAGGUUAUAGUGUAUAUGGGGAUAGUAUUGCUUUUUUGAUAGAUUUUAUGGAUUGGUUAGGCUCCCCAUAGAGUGCGGUCGUUUUUUAUACAUUCUUGCCCCUAUUGGUUUUUGUAUUUGUAUACAUCAUGUAUACCUUUUUUUUAAUACAAUACUUCUUUUACCUAUAUAUAUAUAUAUAUAUAUAUAUAUAUAUAUAUAUAUAUAUAUAUAAAAGAGAUCCUCCAAAAAGUACACAAAAAGAAAGCAAGAAUCUCCAAGUUUAAGAAUCUAUACAACUAUGAGAUUCCAUAACCUAAGUCCCAUGUGGAAUUAUACAAAAAUAAUCUAUCCUUGCUAGCCCACUCCCUUGGAAUUACACACUAACAUCCAAUAAAGUUGAAUCAAAUUAAGGGGAACAACCCUUAAAAGUUGUGGAGCAAGAUACACAAAAGGAGGCUACGAAAAAUAUUAUGUCCCAAAGACCCUUUGAGGAUCUCGCCUUAUCCUCAAAGAUCUUAACAUUUUUCUCCCACCACACUACCCACAUCAGAGCAAGACAAGCAAGCUUCCACAACACCUUUCCUCUACUCAUGUUUCCCAAUCCUUUAUAUGAAAUACUCAUCAUGUCGCAUAUACGCCUGGGAGGAACUAAUCCAUUUGAACCAAGCUGAAUAGUUUGUGUUAUAGGCCCAAACUUAAUGGGCAAUGUAAAAAGAUGUGAUCUACCAUUUCGCCACUGUCCACACACAAUAGACAAACAUUAGGACUAAGGGCUUUGUAAGAUCUUCUCAGUUGUAGCAUGUCAUUGAUGUUUACCUUCUUAAGUGCCACUAAUCAAGUAAAAGAUUUGAACUUAAAUAAGGCUUGUGAUUUCCAUACAAAAUCAAUAGGGAAUGAUUGAGUUGGAUCAAUAUGAUGGUUAAGACUUAAAAGAAUGACUUUAUUGUGAAUAAACCGGACUAGACUCUCGCAUCAUGACCAAAAGGAGAUAAAUUCAAGUGUGAGAGAGAGGACAUGAGUCUUUCAAGAUCUUCUAUCUCAAGAUCCAAAAGAUUGUGGUAGACAUUUAGAUUCCAAGAGAAAUGAUAAGUGGACCUAAGAUUCCAAGAGAUAUUAGGUUUUUAACAAUGAUAAUUUUGAAUAGACUUGGGAAUUGAGAGCACAAAGGUUGAUCCACCCACCACAAAUCUUCCCAAUACUGAAUUCUUAUCCCAUCUCCCACUACUAGCCAAGUGUAUCUUGAAAAAUCUAGAAAGACCUGUGCAAUGGCCUUCCAAUGACAAUGAUGUGACCACUUAACUAUAGUGUUAGCAUCCCACUUAUUAGUAUGUGUCCUAUAAAUGCUUAGGAAAACCUUAUGCCAAAGAGCAUAUGUGGAAAUCUGUUACAAUUGUGAAUGAUGAUUGGUAGGAUAAUAGGGAAAAAUUGAGGCCCCUAUUGUGGGUAAUUUAUGUUCUUCCAUGUUUGUAUUUUUUUUUUCCUUUUUAAUUGUUCUCUGUAUAGUUGUUAAAUAGGGAUACGUUUAUGUAAAAAAUAAGAGUUUUGAAUGAAUUUAGAAGAUCAUUUUCUUAGUUUCUUCAUGGUAUCAGAGCCUUAUUUGCUCUAAAACCCUAAUCUGUCAAUGGAUGCCCAAAGAGGAAGCAACCAUGAAAGAGUGUCGGAGAUACAAUCUUCGAUGGGUUCCGUCGGUGCAUUCGAAAACUCCUCACUCCACCUUACCAUUGAAAAACUGAAUGGUAAUAAUUACAGAGAGUGGGCUCAAGCAAUCAAACUCAUUAUUGACGAAAAGGGAAAGUUAGGAUUCCUUACCGAUGAGACUCGACAACCACCUCCUACCGAUGUAGCAGCAUCCCAGAAAUGGUAGUUCGAAAACUCCUUUACCACCUCAUGCUUGAUUAAUUCCAUGAAACCAUCCAUUGGAAAGACUUACAUGUUCUUCCUGACGGCAAAGAACGUGUGGGAUGCGAUACGGGAAACGUAUUCCGAUGUUGAGAAUGCUUCCCAGAUCUUUGAAAUCAAGACGCGGCUUUGGCAGAUGAAGCAAGGAGAUCGGGAAGUCAUGGAAUACUACACUGAGAUGUUGGGUCUAUGGCAAGAUCUCGAUUUUAGCUGCGAAGAAGAGUGGGAGGGCAUGAGGGACAAUGAGUGCUUUAAGAAGAAGAUGGAGAACGAAAGGGUCUUCGAGUUCCUAACAGUGCUGAACCGCGAGCUUGAUGACGUUAGGAGUAGGGUUCUCAGUCGCCGGCCGUUGCCCUCCAUCUGAGAGGUCUUCUCUGAGGUGUGGUAAAAGGAGAUCAGAAGGAGAGUGAUACUGGAUCACUCAGUUGGGCCUAAGGGCUCAACCCUUUUAACUCAUGGGCCUCAUGGGCCUUAUGUUUAUUGCUAGACGUGGGCCUUCUAUUGCUGGAUCUAGUGGGCCAAGCCCAAGACAGUCCAAGAGGAUUUAUUGUGAGCAUUGUAAGAAGUUGGGCCACACUAAAGACACUUGUUGGGCCUUACAUGGCAAGCCCCCAGAUUGGAAGCCCAGACAUCCCAUUAAAGCCCAUAGUCAUCAGGCCUCCACCGAAACCCAGGCAGACAAAACUCCCACAGAAGUUUGUCAGUCAAAUUCUAGUGUGGGGUUUAAUUCCGACCAGCUUGCGAAAUUAUAUGAACUUUUUUUCUAAUUUCCAAGCCUCUGGUCAGUCCUCUACCACUUUAUCCUCUACCACUUUAUCCUCUGGUUCUUUGGCAAAAAAAGGUACCUUUUUAGUAGUACUUAGCACCAUGUCUCAGACUACUCCUUGGAUUGUUGACUUUGGUGCAUCUGAUCAUAUGACUGAUGCUCAUCAUUUAUUUUCUACAUAUUCUCCCUGUACCGAUAAUUUAAAAGUAAAAAUUGCAGAUGGUACUUUAUCACCAGUUGCUGGAAAAGGGAGUAUUCGUAUUUCUGAGUCAAUUACUCUCAACCUUGUCCUACAUGUACCUGAUUUGUCUUGCAAUUUGCUGUCUAUUAGCUAGUUAACCAAAAUGUCUAAUUGCUCAACUAAAUUCCUACCAUUUCACUGUGUUUCUCAGGACCUAUCAUCGAAGAAGACGAUUGGUAGUGCUAAGGAACAUAUAUUACUUCGACGAAAUUGAUGUGCUUGGACAGAGUUCUCCUACUGUUUGUAAUUCUACAUCUUAUCUUAAGGACAGUGAACUUUUGUUAUGGCACAAAAGGAUGGGUCAUCCUACUUUUCAGUACUUAAAACAUUUAUUUCCCUCACUAUGUUCAAACAAAACUUAAUUGGAUUUUCAGUGUGAAGUGUGUGAACUUGCCAAACAUCAUCGGGUGCCUUUUCCUAAAUCUAAGUAUAAACCAUCCAUACAAUUUACUCUGAUUCACAAUGAUCUAUGGGGUCCCUCACGUACCCUUAAUAGGACCCAUAAAAAAUGGUUUGUUACUUUUAUUGAUGAUCAUACUCGUCUGUGUUGGGUAUAUUUGUUGACUAAUAAAAUUGAGGUUCGAUUAGUCUUCAUGAACUUUCACUCUAUGAUACAAACUCAAUUUCACACCAAAAUUCAAAUUCUUCGUAUUGAUAAUGGUACUGAGCAUUUUAAUCACUCCUUGAGCACUUACCUACAAGGAAAUGGUAUUAUUCAUCAAAGUUCUUGUGUUGACACCCCUCAACAAAAUGGGGUUGCAGAACGGAAAAAUAGACAUAUUCUUGAAGUUGCUCGUGCUUUGUUGUUUACAUCUCACAUGCCAACACAAUUUUGGGGUGACUCCAUUUUGACAGCCACAUAUCUUAUUAACCGAAUUCCUAGUCGGGUCCUAUCCUUUGUCACACCCCUUGAUUACUACUCAAAACAUGCUAUUUUGUAGCUUGUAAUUAGCUCUUUUAAACACCAUUGAGUAGUAAUUAUUACCUUUUAACCCAAUUAACAUGUUAGGGACCCUUGCAAUCGUUUCUAACAAUUGUGUUAAGUUUUGGUGCUUUUUGAUAGCUUUAUGCUCACCAAAGCAAUUUAAGAAUGAGGGAGAGCUAUUUAUAGUUCAUGGCAAAGCUUUUGAAAGCUUAAAUUUAUGAAGAAAUCAAGCUAUGGAGCCUCAUAAUCCUUUGCCUUAUUCGUUCAAAGUAUACAAGGAAGAAACAAUGGAGAAGAGGAAUCUUAGUUUAUUUUGUCUUAAUUCAAGUCAAUUUUGAUGAUAAAUUUCAGAAAAAAAUCAUGAAAGAUGGGGAGAACUCUUCAAAAGCAAGACAGGGGAGUAAAACCAAGGAAACAGAGCACCUGAUUUCAAGGUGCGAAAAUUUCGCACACCUGAUUCCAAGGUGCGAAAUCCUCGGUCCAAAGGGAGCCAUUUUUCGCACACCCCAAAACCAAGGUGCGAAAUUUUGUUCAAGGUGCGAAAAAUGAUUUCAAGGUGCGAAUUCCCUAAAAACCAAUUUCGCACACCACUGUGCAAGGUGCGAAAAUUUUCGCACUGUGCGAAAUCUCCUCUUGGCACACGAGUGCCAUUUUCACACACCUCAAGCCACUUUUCGCACCGUGCGAAACAAGGUACGAAAAUUUCGCACACCUGAUUUCAAGGUGUGAAAAUUUCGCACACCUCAUUUUAAGGUGCGAAAUCCUCAGCUAAAGGGGUGCCAUUUUCGCACACCUGAUUUCAAGGUGCGAAAAUUUCGCACACCUCAUUUUAAGGUGCAAAAUCCUCAGCUAAAGGGGUGCCAUUUUCGCACACCUAAUUUCAAGGUGCGAAAUUUGCAGACCAAGGUGCGAAAAUUUCGCACGGUAAAAUUUUAAGUUCCAAAAAUUUUAAAUGGACUUUUAAAUUAAAAUUUUACCCCCGAAAUUGUGCCUAACGUCCAAAAACGACUUUUCGGUUGCCUUGGAAAAUUUUAAAACAUCAAAAGCCCCCUAAACCUCAUUCCUAUAUAAUCCCUUGAAGUCCAGAAGCUCAAAGGACUCCCCCACGAACCAGCUGAGAAGCCUCUGGAAUCCCAAAUAGCCACCCACCUCCAUUUUGGCCAUGGCGAAGACCAGAGGAGGCCUUUCCGGCUCCCUAUCCUCACUGACACCUCGACCACAUCGAGCCGCCAUGGGAGCCGCAGCUUCGCCACCUGUUCAGGCCCCGACCAUUCCCCCAUCUGAGGGAGAAGCCCCUUCUCAGCGUCGUUACCCCACCAGGAGACCACCCACGGACCCUGUGCCACCCGCCGACCGAGCUCAGAGACCUGCUUCUCGGCCCCCUGCCAAGAGAACUAAGUUCUCGGGUCCUGGAGAGUCAUCCCUGCGCCUCAGGCAGAGCCGCCUACAGAGGAGCCUCGGAUUCCUGUAGAGAUUACCCCCGAGACCCUUAUCAGGCGUCCCAUGAUAGCCGGACCACCGAUAGAGGGCAACUUGGAUUGCAGAGAUCGAUCCUUCCACUCCGAGACCUACUUUGAUAUAGAGGCCCUCAGACAGCAGCCAGAGCUCAGAGAUUCAUUCCGACUGCUGCAGAGGUAUCACAUGGAGGAUCUUCUCACUCCUAGGCAAUUCUACUAUCCCAGAGUAGUUAUAGAUUUUUAUCAAUCUAUGACUACUCGAGGCCUCCGCAAUCCUAACGUCAUCCAAUUUGCCAUAAACGGAGGCCAGGGUGCCAUUGGAGCUCGCCACAUUGCUGAGGCCCUUCGUAUACCUUAUGAGCCUGUUAUUCAGGCAGAUUUCAGAGAGUGGUCCUCAUUCUCUUAGAGUGACAUGGUCCGCAUUUUGUCCAGGGGGACUUCUACAGCCUCAGUGUUGACUAGGAGAGAGCUUCCAUCUGGGAUGCUCCUUAUUGAUGUGCUCCUGCGUGCCAACCUUUUCCCCCUUCAGCACAAAGUUCAGAGGCGAGGAGCUAUACUUGAGGCGUUAUUUAGGAUUUCUGAGGGCUAUUUCUUCGGCCCUCAUCAUUUGAUUAUGACUUCUCUUCUUCAUUUUGAAGAGAAAGUCCAUCAGAAGAAGCUUCAAAGGGCAGAUGGCAUCCCAUUACUAUUUCCGAGGCUCCUCUGCCAGAUUUUAGAGCACCUGGGCUAUCCUGAACAGCCCCGUCUUGAGAGGCGCCGCCAUUGCCGAGAGGACUUCUCUCUCGACAAAUGGCAUCACUUGGUAGCCUACUUUGCACCCCAGGGAGCCCCAACUGUGCCUGCACCUCCAGAGCUACCCCAAGAUGAGCAGAUGCCUCAGGCCCAGCAGGAUGAGAUUCUCACAGAGACCACACCUCCUGCCCCUGCAGCACACCCCUCAGAGCAUAUUCCUGAGCCUAUACAUCCUAUUUCUCCUAUCACUUCGGGUGCUCCACCAGUCAUGCCAGCUACCCCAGCACCUCCUCCUUCAUCUGAGCCCACUGUCACCGUUUCUCUUACGGAAUUCAGAGGCUUAGAGCGUUCAUUGCGGACACUGAGCACUGCUCAGGAUUCUAUUAUCCACCAGAUGGCCACUAUUCGAGCACACCAGGAUCAGAUCAUUGCUAUUCAGGCCCAGCAUACCACGAUCCUUCAUCAGAUUCAGCAGCAUUUGAGUUUGCAGACACCUUUUGGGCAUGAUAGGUCUGCACCAUCCGAGCCUGUAGAGCCAGAUACGGAGAGCUUACCAGCUGAGCAGCCCAUACCAAAGGAGGAGAUCAGAGCAGAGCCAUCACAUGACACCCCUCAUAUUUGAUAUUUUUAUAUUUUACUUGUUUUUAUUUUAGACUUGUAAAUCCCAUCUUUUGCAUGUGUUAUAAACUGGGAUUGGAAGUAUUACUUGAAAUCAUACAUUGUAUAUUUCUUUUACAAGUAAUAUAUAUAUAUAUAUAUAUAUAUAUAUAUAUAUAUCCUUUUUGAAUAUAUUCCCUUUUCUCAUUACUCUUUUGUCCUUGGAACAUGUGGUUUAAGGUACUCCAUACCUCCUUUACACUCAGACUUUGUCUCACUCAGGAGGUACCACUUCCUCCCUUUAUUUUUAAUCGCUCUUGAAACAUUGAGGACAAUGUUCAACAUGGUUGGGGGGAGAGUUGAGAAAGGAAGUUUUGUUGUUAAUACUAAGUUAUUUUGGUAUUUUAGUUGAUUUUUGCUUAAAAUUUAAAAUUUUUAAAAGUUUUUUUAAUCAUUCUCUAUGGUUGUUAAAGAUAAUUUCUCAAAAAUAAAAUAGGAUAAGUCGAGUUUUAACUUAAUUAUUUAAGUCUUAGAGUUUGUUUUAUGCUUUCAAAGUUGAUAAUCUAUUGAAGCCUCUUUGAUUUAGAACUUUCUUCUUCCAUUUCAAGCUUUACACAUACUGUGCACAUUAGAUCCCGGAUAUAUGAUGUAAAACUUUCUCACCUUCUAAGCUUAGGAAAAUUUUGACUUGGAUCAUUACUUAACCUCUCUUUAAUAGUGUUGGGACACCUCAUAAAGACCAAUGAGUCUUUGAAAAAAAAAAAAAAAAGAAUAAGCUUCUAUUCUUUCCUUGAAACCUAAGCAUGAUCCAAAGGGGUGGCGAAAGCCUUUAAAACCCGAUGCCCUAAACCUUGAUUGGUUGGGAGUCAUUGAUCCUCUGCUUGCUACAUAGGUGAAUUGGUUAAGAUUAGUGAGUAAAAAGAAUUGUGAAUAAGAAGGUGCGUUCCUAACCUAUUAAGAGUUGAUUAAUUUUGCCAAUGUUCGAGAAAAGCUUAGGUUGGAGGGUGAGGAUAGUUGUAUAUACUAUAUCUGGAAGCUAAUCUCGUUAACACUUAGCUUAUUAUGGAAGAGUUUGAUUUGGAACCUUGAGAGUAGAGAUUCUUUUGAUAUUUAAUUGCAUAAUCUCCACUCUUUGUACUUUUUGUUUAAGUUUUAAGCUUUGAUAACUCCUAUUGCAUUUUGAAUCUUCAUAUCUUUAGUUAGCCAGGUGAGAUGAGUUUGGAUAGCAGUCAUGCCUCUCAAUUAUUUUUUGGAAAUGAAUUGCAUGACCUCUUUUAUGUAUAUUAUUACGUUUGCUUAGUUUUUUUCUCCUUAAUUGCUAAGGGACUAGCAAUAUGUCAGUUGGGGGGAGUGAUUACUACUCAAAACAUGCUAUUUUGUAGCUUGUAAUUAGCUCUUUUAAACACCCUUGAGUAGUAAUUAUUACCUUUUAACCCAAUUAACAUGUUAGGGACCCUUGCAAUCGUUUCUAACAAUUGCGUUAAGUUUUGGUGCUUUUUAAUAGCUUUAUGCUCACCAAAGCAAUUUAAGAAUGAGGGAGAGCUAUUUAUAGUUCAUGGCAAAGAUUUUGAAAGCUUAAAUUUAUGAAGAAAUCAAGCUAUGGAGCCUCAUAAUCCUUUGCCUUAUUCGUUCAAAGUAUACAAGGAAGAAACAAUGGAGAAGAGGAAAACAGGGGAUGAAAAUAGGGGACACAUCUGCAUUCUUUCAUCGCACUUCCCGAAGUUCAUUUUUUACAUUCUAUAUACCAUUUCAAAGCUCAGAAAGUCAAGAAUCCAACGGUUCAAACCAUAUACGAUUUGGAGCUGAAAUGAGAAAGAUAUGGCCUUCGGAAGACAACUGCAUCAAGCUGAGGGACAAUUUCGCACACCACUGUGCAAGGUGCGAAUUCCUCAGUCCACUGUGCGAAAAUUUCGCACACCUCAAAUCAAAGUGCGAAAUUGGAACUCCAGCGUGUGAAAAUUGGAUAUUUUUGCCGACUCUUUUUCUUCUGAUAUUUUUGUGUCUAAAUUUCCAUUUUCUCCUUGUAUUCAACCACUCAUGUAAUUCCUUAGCUAGGAAGUAUCCAAGGAAGGGUAAAAUUACCUUCCUAUAUAUAAAUUCUCUUGUAAUCAUGGAAAAUGAUCUUCGGAGCUUUCUCCAGGAGACCAACUGAUGUAAAUUUGAUACUUAGUGAAAUACAGAGAUCUCUUUUGCUUUUUUUUUUCUCUUUUCUAUUUUCUAUUUUCUUGCAAGCCAAACACCCUCUGAGGAUGUUUUCCCAGAGGAUGAGAGGCUAAACAUUUAGUUUCUUGGAGUAAAGGAAGCUAGGUGAAAAGUCCAGAUUAAAACAUGGAAAGUUUCCGUGCAUUAAAUUCAGGUAGUUGGAGUUCAUAAAUGGUUUAUAAAGCCAAGGUUUUGCCUUAAAUUCCUUUGAAUCACUUUGACUGGCCAAUACAUGGUAAGCUUAAGGUCUCUGUGGAUGCUUAUUGCUAGAUCCAUAUCAGUCCAUUAGUUAUCAUGUACGAGCCAUUGGAAAGUGAUUCAAGGUGAUAGCCCAUAGUGUCUUAAGCCAUUAAUGGACCUUGACUACCAUCUCUAGUGACUUUUUAUGGAUUAAAACUUCAUUGUCAAACCUAUACCGGUUCGGGAAAUAGCUAUAGGUUAAAUCCCUAAUGCGAGGAGAAAAAUCCGGAAUUUUCCACUUUGCAUCUGGCACUUGAACCUAGCAACCUUCAGCUCCGGGAGACUUUCUUUCUUCCACUUUUUACUUAGUUCUAUGUGAGUUUAGUUUAAAUCACCACUUUCAAAACAAUUUUAUUUUCUUUUAAAUUUCAAGUUUGUGCUAAAGGAAAUCAUCAGAAUCAAUUUCUAAUUUAGAGUCUGUCACUGAUAGAGUGAAAACCCAUCCCUGAGUUCGACCCUAGAACUGCUAUACUAUAGUAGCUUUGCUACGCCAGUAUAAGGUCAUAGGUUUUAUAAAUGUUUUUUAUUAAAAGACCCGGCUGGGCAUUGAAUCACCCCUCUAGAAAUUCCAUGAGUUUUUUCCUCAUUCGAGACUUGAUGCACACCUUCCACUUUGUGUCUUUUGGUCCACUGUGUUUGUCCACACUCAUGGACCUAAGCAGAACAAAUUUGAUCCCAGAGCACUUAAAUGUGUCUUUCUUGGCUACUCUUCCACACAAAAAGGCUACAAAUGCUAUGACCCAAUUUCACAUAAGCUAUAUGUUAGCCUAGAUGUCACAUUUUUUUAGCAUACUCCCUAUUACUCGCUUCAGGGGGAGUCCAUGAGUGAAACUAGACCUUCCUUAACCUUUGACUAUCUUGAUGUUGCUAUGUUUGAAUCCAUUCCGUGCCUUAUAUCUAACCCUUCACCUAAUACAGAAGAACACUUAGAUUCAGGGGGAGAUAUGGAAUUACAGACAAAUAGGGAAACACUUGUCUACCCAAGGAGGCCAAAAUCGAAGUUCAAUGAGACACUCAUCUCCGAAGCACUAAAAGAGUUAGAACCGCUGAUAGUUCCAACCCCUUGGGAGUAUGGCUGCAAUUCUGAUCAGGUAACAGAUGACUUACCCAUUGCUAUUAGAAAACAACCUUGUUCAUGUACUCUCCAUCCUAUCUCGAACUUUGUGUCUUAUAAUUCUCUUUCUACAAAGUGUUGUGCCUUUACAACUGACCUUGAUAGAAUCUAGCUUCCUAAAAACAUUCAAUAAGCCUUCAAAAUUCUAGAAUGGAAAGAAGCUAUGAUGGGAGAAAUAAGGGCAUUAGAAAAAAAAUGAGACUUGGGAAGUGAUGAAUUUACCAAGGGAGAAGAAACCAGUGGGCUGUAAAUGGAUAUUCAUAGUGAAAUAUAAGGCAGAUGGCACAGUAGAACGAUACAAAUCUCGCCUAGUUGCAAAGGGGUUCACUCAGACUUAUGGCAUCGACUGUACUGAGACAUUUGUACCAGUAGUAAAGCUGAACACUAUACGAGUUCUUUUAUCCUUGGCAGCAAACCUUGACUGGCCACUCCAUUAGUUUGAUAUCUGAUUACUACUAAAAAAGUGCUAUUUUUUAGCUUGUAAUUAACUCUUUUAAACACUCUUGAGUAGUAAUUAUUACCUUUUAACUCAAUUGGCAUGUUAAGGGCCCUUGCAAUCGUUUCUAAUCAAAUUGUGUUAAGUUUUGGUGUUUUUGAUAGCUUUUUGCUCACCAAAGCAAUUUAAGAAUGAGGGAGAGCUGUAUAUAGUUCAUGGCAAAGCUUUUGGAAGCUCAAAUUCAUGAAUAACCAAGCUUUGGAGCUCCAUAGCCUUUUCCAAAGUCGUUCAAAGUAUGCAAGGAAAGAACAAUGGAGAAGAGGAAAACAGAGUGAAGAAAACAGAGGACAGAAGCUGCAGUCUUCUUUCACACUUUUGGAGUACUUCCCGAAGUCCAUUUUCUACAUGCUAUAUACCAUUUCAAAUAUUAGGAAGUCAAGAAUCCAACGCUUCAAACCGUGUACGAUUUGGAGCUGAAAUGAGGAAGAUAUAGCCUUCGGAAGACAACUGCAUCAAGCUGAGGGACAAUUUCGCACCUUGCGAAAUUGGAACUCCAACGUGCGAAAUUUAAAGUGGAUGGCAGCUGUGCAUUUGCGGUGAAGUCCAACAUGCGAAAGUGAUUUUGCAACUUGCAAACUUGGAUCUCAACAUGCGAAAGUGGAUUCUAAGUUGCGAAAUCAACUUGCGAAAUUUUCGCAAGUCACCAUGCAACGUGCGAAACUGGGAUAUUUGUGCAUCGACUCUUUUAGAUAUUUUUGUAUAAAUUUCCAUUCUUCUCCUUGUAAUCCACCAACCAUAAGAUUUCUUAGCUAGGAAGGUUGGAAAAAAUUCUCUAUAUAUAUUCCCUUGCAUCCAUUGUAAACGAUAUCGAUCAAUAUAUAGAUAUUUAAAUAUAUAGACUAUACAGAGUCUUGCUCUGUUUUUCUCUCUUCUCCUGUUCUUCCCCAUUUCUAUUUUCUUAGUAGCCAAACAGCCUCUGAGGGCUUUUCCUCAAAGGAUGAUUGGCUAAAACUUUUAGUUUCUCAAAGUAUGGAUGUUAUGUGAUGACUUGGAUGCAAUCCCAUGGAAAUUUCUCGCACCUGGAAGGUAAGGUAGUCAUUUUUCAUUAAAGGUUCAUUAAUGCAAAGUUUGGUUUUUAUUUCCUUUGGACAACUUCCAACAGCCAAUACUUGAUAAGCUUUUGGAUUUCUAUUCAUUAGUUAUCUCCUACGAGCUAUUGGAAGGUGAUGUUUUCAAUUCCAAGUUUUGCAUUAAUCCGUUAGAACCAAUUUCAAUGGCCAUUGAAAGGUGAGUUUAUCACCUGGAAUGACUUUGAGUUGCCAAUAUUUGGUAAGCUUUUGGCUUUAGACCAUUAGUUAUCUCUUACGAGCCAUUCAAAGGAAGUCUAAGGUGAAUAACCAUUGAUGAAAUUCACUACCAUCUGUUUUGCCAUUUUAAAGUAUUAAAACUUGAUUUGCUAAAUCCAUACCGGUUCGGGAAGCAAGCAUCACCAUAGUUGCAACCCCAACGCGAGGAGCCUAUCCUGAGAUUUCCAAUUUGCAUAAGAGCCAGAGCAUAACUAUCCUAUCUUUGAGAAACUUGUUUUUACACCCUUUCAUUUUAGUCUUUAAUGUUAGCUUAGAUUAGUUUAAAUCUUUCUAAAACAUUUACAUCUUCUUUUAAAGCUAACAUCCAUAAGAAAAUCACCUAUUUUCCUAAUUUGAAUAUCAUUUGUGAAGUGAAAACCCAUCCCAAUGAACGAUCUUAGAGCCACUAUGCUAUAGUAGCUUUGUCUCUGCUACCCUAGUACAUGGUGUAAUAGGUUAUAAAUUUUGUUGAUUACUCCCUCAUUCAAGGAGCACCAGCUGGACAUGAAUCAGCUGAGACACCAAUUAGGCACGAAUCAAAUGGCGCCGUUUCCAGGGAUGGUGCCACUUUGCAGUGAUAUGAUCUUUUGAGAACACUUGUGAUCUUCAUCACAAUUUUGGUGAUUUUUCUUUUCUUUUACUAACUCUUUUUAAUUGUUCUUUUUCUUUAUUUAUGUUUUAGUUUACCUUUCAGCUAGUUUUAGUUAGUCUUAAUUUUUUUAGAAUUGUUUUUCUUUUGUUUUCUUUUGUUUUCUCUGUUUUUAAUUCACAAAUUGCUAGUUGUGCAUGCCAUAUUGAAUACGAGAUAGCAGAGGAAAUCCAUCAAUGCUCAUCUCAGUCAAAGAAUUGACAGUGUAGAGAGUUCAUUAAAUAUAAGGAUGGAUGAAGUGCAAAAUGAUCUAUCUCAAAAGAUAGAUAAUCUCCAAUACUCAAUCUCAAGGCUCACCAAUCUCAAGGCUCAAAAGGGAGAAUCUUCAAUGGUGAAGGAAGUUAAAACAAUUAUCACUUUGAGUAGUAAAGAGGUUGAUUUGGCCACAUCCAAACAAGAGCAUGAAACAAAGAAUGAAACAGAGAAAAAGAGAGGGAGGAAAUCAAAGGAAAGAGAAAGGGAAUUGUUUCCAUUGCCAUCAUACAAUGCAAAUCUCUAAUGAAGGAUGCUAACUUCAUAUGGGAUCUGGGCAAGCUGAAACAGGACAACAUUUUUUUUUAUGGAUUUAGUCUUUCUAAAGACUAGCUAGUCCAUAUCUUUUUGCUUUAUUACUUGUUUUAAUUUUGAUUUCAAUGCUUUAAUUUUAAUUAGUUUUGAUUUAACAUAAGUUUUUGGAUGAUCAUUGCAGGAGGGAUUGCAAAACAAUCGGGCACGGAAAAAAAAAUGAUGAAAGAAAAGGAAGAGAGGAGAGAAUUCUGGCCAUUGGUUUUAUUGCCACUUCAGGACAUAUUUGGAGCACUUAAUUGAGCCCAUUUUAUACAUACUAUAUACCUUUUCGAAGCUCGGGAAGUCAGGAGUUCAACGCUUCAAACGGUGUCCAAAUCGGAGUUGAAACAAAAAAGUUAUGUUUAUUGCAAGAAAACUGCGCUGAGCUGAAAGAAAAUUUCUCACCGUGUGAAUCAAGGUACAGAAAUUUCGCACUGUGCGAAUCAAGGUGCGAAAAUUUUCGCACCGUGAGAAACCACCUCCUGGCACACGAGUGCCAUUUCGCACACCUCAAGCCAAUUUUCACACCAUGCAAAACAAGGUGUGAAAAUUUCGCAAGGUGCGAAAUUGAGUGCGAAACUCGAUUCAAGGUGCGAAAUUCUCAUUUUAAGGUGCGAAAAUUUUGCUACUGUUGGACACAUUUUUGAAGCACUUCCUGGAGCUCAAAUUAUGCAUAUGAUAUGUCGUUUUGAAGCUUGAGAAGUCAGAAAUCUAGAACUUCAAACUGUGCAUGAUUUGGAUUUGAAACGAAGAAGUUAUGGCCAUUUGAAGACGACUAUGCAAAGCUAAAAGAAAAUGUUGCAGCCGCACCAAAUUUCGCUACUGUUAGACACAUUUUUUAAGCACUUCCUGGAGCUCAAAUUAUGCAUACCAUAUGUUUUUUUUAAGCUUAGGAAGUCAGGAAUCCAAUGAUUCAAACGGUGUGUGAUUUGGUUUUGAAACGAAGAAGUUAUGGCCAUUAGAAGACAGACUACGCAAAGCUGAGCGGGAAUUUCGCACCUUGAAAUCCAAAGUGCGAAAAAUCCUUUCCAAGGUGCGAAAUUUUUUUUAAAGUGCGAAAAUGCUCCAAGCUUCAAGAAUCGGCUGCGAAAUUCCCAUUUUGUUGCCAAAUGAUUUUCCAAACUUCAAAAUGGCUACAAAAUGAUUUCCAAGCUUCAAAAUGGGCUGCUAAAAUGUUUCUAUUUUUCCAUGGGCUGCAAAAAUGUUUUUCUUUUCCCUUUGACUGCAAGACAUGGCCUCCAAGCUACAAAAUGAUGUGCAAAAACACUUUGCAAAGCCAAGAAAAAUUGCAAAAAUGCCAACAGAGCCUCACAACCAUGCAUCUAAAGAAGAGAGCCCUCUCAUUGAGAUCAUACAUGAAGUCUCUCAUUCCAUUUCUUACCUCCUAAAACCAUCAAAGCUCAUAGCUCCAACCGAGAGCUCCAGUUGAGAAGACUAUGCCACCUAAGGAGACUACUAGAGCAGAGGUCAAUGUCUUGACCCAACCCACUCAGAAGGCCACCACAGAGCCAUUAUCUCCACAGGACCCUACCACUACUUGAUCAUCUCUUUAAUUUUUGUAUUUACUUAUUAUAUUAGUAUAGAUAAUUCCAUGUUUUGAUGUUUUAUAUUCUAGGAUUGGAUGUAUUGCAUGAUCAUAUAUUAUAUUCUAUUUUCUCAGAUUAAAUAUAGACAUCAUUUUUGUUUAAACUUGACAUUUUUCUAUUUCCUCUACUCACUGAAUCUUUUGUUUUUUUUAAACAUGUAGUUUCUCCUAUACGACUCAGACUCCAUGCCACUCAAGAGGUACCACUUCCUCUCUUUAUUUUUAUUUUUUUAUUGCUCUUGAAACAUUGAGGACAAUGUUCAGCUUGGUUGGGGGGAGAGUUGAGGAAGGAAGUUUUGUUAUUAAUACUAAGUUAUUUUGGUAAUUUAGUUGCUUUUUGCUUAAUUUUUAAAAUCUUUUAAAGUUUUUAAUCUACUCUCCAUGGUUAUUAAGGAAAAAUUUUCAAAAUGAAAUGGGAGAAAUUAAAUUUUUGUCUUUUUACUUGAAACUUAGAGUUUGUAUUAUGUUUAUUAAAGUUGAUGAAUUAUUGAACUCCUAUUGAUUUCAACCUUAUUUCUUCCACUUUAAGCUUAUCACACACCGUGCACACUAACUUCCGUUUAUAAGAUGAAAAACUAUUUUCCCCCUUGACUUAGGAAAAUUUAGACUUGGUACCUUUUACCUCAUUUUAAUAGUGUUGAGACACCUUAUAAAAGGCCAAUGAGCCUUUGGAAAAAGAAAGAAAAAGAAAAAUAUAUUACUUGCCUUGAAACCCGAGCAAGGUCUGAGGGGUAUAUGGUGAAAAUCUUUAAAACCUGGUGCCCUAAGCCUUCAAUGGUUGGGAGUCACCGACCUCAAUGCUCAUUACAUGGGUGAAUAGGUGGAGUUUAACAUUUUGUAGGUGCUUGGGUAUUAAAAAUUCAUUCUCAAAAGUCCGGGGUGAAAUCCGAGGAGUUAGUGGUUGAAAAAUCCUUAAAUCUUGAUGCCCUAAACCUUGAUUGGUUGGGAGUCAUCGAUGGACCCUCGUUACAUGGACAAUUUAGAAAAGAAUGCCUUUAAGCUUUGCACUCCUACAAGAAAAAAUUGUGAAAGAAAAGAGGUGCGUUCUUAGCCUAUUAGAGGUUGAUUAGUUUGCUAAGCUUUGAAAAGAACUAGGUUAAGGGGAGAGAUUAGUUUGACAUACUAUAUCCGGAAACUAAUAAAUAACACAUAGAUUUUUGUGGAAGAGUAAGGAUUGGACCUUUGGGAGUGGAAAUUAUUUUGAAGCUUAAAAUUGCAUAAUGCCUACUCUUUAUGAAUUGUGACUAGGCAAAUUAUUUGAUAGCUCCUAUUGAAGUUUGAGUUUUAUUUCUUUCAUGUUCCAUGUGAGAGUUUGAUCAGUCAUGCCACUUAAACAUUUUUUGGAGUGAUCAGCAUGAUUUUGUAAAUUUAUUAUUUUUAUUUUUAUUUUUUCUCUCCUUCAUUGCUAAGGGACUAGCAAUAUGUCGGUUGGGGGGAGUGAUUAAUACUCAAAAAGUGCUAUUUUGUAGCUUGUAAUUAACUCUUUUAAACACUCUUGAGUAGUAAUUAUUACCUUUUAACUCAAUUGGCAUGUUAAGGGCCCUUGCAAUCGUUUCUAAUCAAAUUGUGUUAAGUUUUGGUGUUUUUGAUAGCUUUUUGUUCACCAAAGCAAUUUAAGAAUGAGGGAGAGCUGUAUAUAGUUCAUGGCAAAGCUUUUGGAAGCUCAAAUUCAUGAAUAACCAAGCUUUGGAGCUCCAUAGCCUUUGCUAAAGUCAUUCAAAGUAUGCAAGGAAAGAACAAUGGAGAAGAGGAAAACAGAGUGAAGAAAACAGAGGACAGCAGCUACAGUCUUCUUUCACACUUUUGGAGCACUUCCCGAAGUCCAUUUUCUACAUGCUAUAUACCAUUUCAAAUAUUAGUAAGUCAAGAAUCCAACGCUUCAAACCGUGUAUGAUUUGGAGCUGAAAUGAGGAAGAUAUGGCCUUCGGAAGACAACUGCAUCAAGCUGAGGGACAAUUUCGCACCUUGCGAAAUUGGAACUCCAACGUGCGAAAUUUAAAGUGGAUGGCAGCUGUGCAUUUGCGGUGAAGUCCAACAUGCGAAAGUGAUUUUGCAACUUGCAAACUUGGAUCUCAACAUGCGAAAGUGGAUUCUAAGUUGCGAAAUCAACUUGCGAAAUUUUCGCAAGUCACCAUGCAACGUGCGAAACUGGGAUAUUUGUGCACCGACUCUUUUAGAUAUUUUUGUAUAAAUUUCCAUUCUUCUCCUUGUAAUCCACCAACCAUAAGAUUUCUUAGCUAGGAAGGUUGGAAAAAAUUCUCUAUAUAUAUUCCCUUGCAUCCAUUGUAAACGAUAUCGAUCAAUAUAUAGAUAUUUAAAUAUAUAGACUAUACAGAGCCUUGCUCUGUUUUUCUCUCUUCUCCUAUUCUUCCCCAUUUCUAUUUUCUUAGUAGCCAAACAGCCUCUGAGGGCUUUUCCUCAAAGGAUGAUUGGCUAAAACUUUUAGUUUCUCAAAGUAUGGAUGUUAUGUGAUGACUUGGAUGCAAUCCCAUGGAAAUUUCUCGCACCUGGAAGGUAAGGUAGUCGUUUUUCAUUAAAGGUUCAUUAAUGCAAAGUUUGGUUUUUAUUUCCUUUGGACAACUUCCAACAGCCAAUACUUGAUAAGCUUUUGGAUUUCUAUUCAUUAGUUAUCUCCUACGAGCUAUUGGAAGGUGAGGUUUUCAAUUCCAAGUUUUGCAUUAAUCCGUUAGAACCAAUUUCAAUGGCCAUUGAAAGGUGAGUUUAUCACCUGGAAUGACUUUGAGUUGCCAAUAUUUGGUAAGCUUUUGGCUUUAGACCAUUAGUUAUCUCUUACGAGCCAUUCAAAGGAAGUCUAAGGUGAAUAACCAUUGAUGAAAUUCACUACCAUCUGUUUUGCCAUUUUAAAGUAUUAAAACUUGAUUUGCUAAAUCCAUACCGGUUCGGGAAGCAAGCAUCACCAUAGUUGCAACCCCAAUGCGAGGAGCCUAUCCUGAGAUUUCCAAUUUGCAUAAGAGCCAGAGCAUAGCUAUCCUAUCUUUGAGAAACUUGUUUUUACACCCUUUCAUUUUAGUCUUUAAUGUUAGCUUAGAUUAGUUUAAAUCUUUCUAAAACAUUUACAUCUUCUUUUAAAGCUAACAUCCAUAAGAAAAUCACCUAUUUUCCUAAUUUGAAUAUCAUUUGUGAAGUGAAAACCCAUCCCAGUGAACGAUCCUAGAGCCACUAUGCUAUAGUAGCUUUGUCUCUGCUACCCUAGUACAUGGUGUAAUAGGUUAUAAAUUUUGUUGAUUACUCCCUCAUUCAAGGAGCACCAGCUAGACAUGAAUCAGUUGAGACACCAAUUAGGCACGAAUCAAUAUCAAGAAUGCCUUUCUGAAUGGUGAACUAGAAGAAGAAGUGUUUAUGAUGUUACCACCAGGGUUCUGUAAGGAAGAAGAAGAAACCAGGGUAUGCAAAUUGAAGAAAUCUCUUUAUGGUCUCAAACAAUCACCCAGAGCAUGGUUUGAUAGAUUUGCAAAGGUGAUUAAGAAUCAAGGAUACCAAUAGGGACAGUCAGAUCACACUAUGUCUUCAAAACAAUCCAAUGAUGGAAGGAUGACCAUUCUAAUCGUGUAUGUCGACGACAUCAUUCUCACUAGAGAUGACACAGGAAAAGUGGAAAGAUUGAAGAAGGUCUUAGCCACAGAAUUUGAGGUGAAAGUUCUAGGUCAAAUGCAGUAUUUCCUAGGAAUGGAGGUCGCCAGAUCAAGGGAAUUAGUAUUUCCUAAAGAAAGUAUGUACUUGACUUGUUGAUUGAGACUGGCAUGCUGGGAUGCAAGCCAAAUGAUACCCUUAUCAAGGCAAGAAACAAAAUGGAAAGUGAUGGAAAGCCCGUGGAUAGAGAGAAAUAUUAGCGACUAGUAAGUAGACUAAUCUACCUUUCUCACACUAGACCUGACAUUGUUGUCAACGUAAGAGAGAAAGCUUUUUAGCUUGAAGGCUUACAUGUUGAGAGAGAAACAAGAGAAAGAGAGGGGAGAGAAUGGGAGAUUUUUUUCAUUCCCAAAUUUUUUCAUGCUUACAAAUGAGGAUCAAGCCUCCUUAAUAGCUAAAAAAGAAUCUUAAAACAGUUUAAAGUAGUUGACAAAGUACUGUUUACUUUUGGCCAUCUGUUGUGAAUAGGGAACCCGUGCAUGAAUAGUCAAAGUGAACAGUAACAUUUUUUACUGUAGCACUUUAGACUUUUUAGCCAGAAAUCUUACUUUUGGCGGGAAUAAUGGAUGGCAGGUCGAAUCUUGAACUGUGGAUGCACAUGUUGGAAGACAAAAUUGCUUUCGGUGUUAUAAUUGCUGGAAGGAAUAUUCUUGCACGUUGAAAGUCAUGAAGCUGAUGGUCACUUGGAUUUUCUUAUUGGAGGAAGAAUAUCUUCAUAGUCAUCACCAUUAUCGUGAAGGUAGCUUGUUGAAUCAUCAAAUUCUGCAUAAGAGUUUUCUUGGGAAAAGCUUGAGCUUCCUUCAUCAAGGAUUUUUUGGAAUUCUUGAGGGGUUUUUGCUGCUGCGAGCAUGGCUUGGAGCUAUUGUUUCUUGAGAAGAAAUUGUGAUAUGUCAUCACCAGUUGAAGCUUGUGUGGGAUGCUUAAGGAAAUAUUGCUUACCUGCAUUAAGGGAUGCAUCAUUUUUCAAUGCGUCCCACCAUUUUGUCUUAAAAGUCUUUCCAAGAGUUGGAAAGGCAGCUGAUUCAUCAGCAACGAUGAUGUAGUCCCACUAGACAAUCCAUGCAAGACCAAAAUUGUUGAAAAAGAAUAGUAAAUGUGGAAAAGCUGAAAGUUCUCUAGGGAUAACAAAAGAACUAUUGAAUAGCUCAACGCCAUCCAAUAUGGGCUUAGGAAGAAUCUUAAUGGAUGGACCAAAAUAAGUUCACCAAUUGUGGAACCAAAAUGGGAAGGAGGAAAGUUGAUUCUUGGAUGGAAAGUAGAACAUCCAUGGAUGAUGGAAGUCCCUAUUUUGGAUCAGAAAAGCAUUGAACCAUGCUCUCUGAUAAUCCUAAUAGUUGAAAAACUUUGGUUUUGAAGGUUCAGAGAAUUCCCUUGAGAGAUUGGGAUUUCCACCCCAUUGCUUAACAGUAAGAAUCUUAUAGAUAUGGCAGGUGGAAAAUGUCAAAUCUAGAUUGUUGUACUUAUCAGCAUUAUGCGUAAUUUUAACAGAACCAGUUUCUAUGAGGAUUGCCUCAUAAAAAUCUCUUGUUUUUAAAAGGACUACAUCAUCAUUACUGAUGAAUUAGCUGUCUUUCCAACUCUUGGAAGGACUUUUAAGACAAAAUGGUGGGAUGCAUUGAAAAAUUAUGAUAUAUAUAUCUAAAGUUUACUUUACAUCCUUGAAAAUUAUUUUUAAAACUUUUAAAAUUUGAGACAAAUUUUUGUGUUCUAACUUCUUUUUAUUUAUUAAGUAUAUUAGUUUAUAUAUAAUUUUAUAUUUCAAAAUUAAAAAAAUAAUAAUAAAUAUGAAUUCCAAUAUCAGGAAUAGGCAUGGGAUGAUGAUAUAUUAGCACGGGAAACUUGUGCCCCUAAUGGGAAUUUCAUGUCCCCGACCCAUCUGGCUUGAGACUAGAAUGGGGCGGGGAUGGGGAAAAGUAAAAAAAUUGACUGGAAUAGAGAUGGGGAGUCCUACCAACCCUUGAGAGAGGGGAAAAAAAAAGUCAAAAACAAAGAAAAUAAGAACAAAGAGCUAUUCGUCAAACUUAAAAAAGUUUUCCCUUGACAAUGCUGAGAUGAAAAGUCCAAGAAAAGUCCAAGAAAGCCCAAAGAAAAGGAGCAGAAAUGAAUGUGAUGGACUGAAAAUCUGGCCUUAGAGGGAAUAAGAGGGAAAAUCUUGCUCACCCUUCUCUCAUCAGCUGGUCCCCACCCAAAAUCUGGCCACAAGCUGCUUUCCAAACAAAAGGCUGAAAAUUCUCCCCUACUUACCUGAAAUCAAUCUCAAGAGAUUGAUUGGUGAAAAGAGCGGACGCAGGAAAAGUAUGCCCAUACUUUCCAAGAAAUAUCCAUAAUUAGACUGCUAAGCUUAGAAGACCGGGCUCCAAAAGGAUGCUCUGAGAUAUCUGGUAGUUCACUGAUGACAUUGUCAACGUACUAUGAAGUUGAAGGCUGAAGGAUAAAUACUAAGCAUGAAAGCAUGGUCAUGUGAAACUUGGAAUGGUAGAAAUGGAAAGCAGCAUGUGCCUCAGCAGUGCAAUUUUAUCUCUGUGUUUGUCAUGUAUGUGGUUGGGAGUAGUGCCUUACAUUUCUAGUGCACAGACAGACACCAUCAAACCUGGGGAAGAGCUUCAAUUUUCGGAAAAAUUACUGGUUUCUGCAAAAGGGACUUUUACUCUAGGCUUCUUCAGCCUGGAAUCUGGCAGUUAUUUAGGAAUAUGGUUCACAAUUGAUGCUCAGAAGGAGAAAGUUUGGGUUGCUAACAGAGACAAGCCUAUAUCCGGUACAGAUGCAAACCUCACACUGGAUGCUGAUGGAAAAUUGAUGAUCAUGCAUAGUGGGGGUGAUCCAAUUGUCCUGAAUUCCAAUCAAGCAGCCAGAAACUCAACAGCUACUCUGCUUGAUUCUGGAAAUUUUGUUUUGGAAGAGUUCAAUUCGGAUAGAUCUGUGAAGGAGAAACUAUGGGAAAGUUCGAUAAUCCUACAGACACCCUCCUGGCUGGGAUGAAACUAGGCAUCAACUUGAAAACCGGACAAAACUGGUCACUUGCUUCAUGGAUAAACGAACAAGUGCCUGCUCCUGGGACUUUUACUCUGGAAUGGAAUGGCACACAAUUGGUAAUGAAACGCCGAGGGGGCACCUACUGGAGCAGUGGAACCUUGAAAAAUAGGAGCUUUGAGUUCAUUCCUUGGUUGAGCUUUGACACUUGCAAUAACAUCUACAGUUUUAACAGUGUUGCUAAUGAAAACGAGAUUUACUUUAGCUAUUCGGUUCCAGAUGGAGUUGUUUCAGAGUGGGCAUUGAACUCGAGAGGAGGACUUUCUGACACUAACAGACCUUUAUUUGUGACGGACGAUGUGUGUGAUGGGUUUGAGGAAUAUCCAGGGUGUGCAGUGCAAAACCCACCCACUUGCAGGACUAGAAAAGACGGAUUCAUGAAGCAAUCGGUUCAUAUAUCAGAAUCACCGUCAUCAAUAAAAGAAGAUUCGAGCUUGGGACCUAGUGAUUGUCAGGCCAUAUGCUGGAAUAAUUGUUCUUGUACUGCUUGUAAUACUAUAUACACUAACGGAACUGGAUGUCGGUUUUGGAGUACAAAAUUUACACAAACCUACGCGGGUGAUGCAAAUCGGGAGGCGCUCUAUGUUUUAUCCUCAUCACGAGUUACGGGUAAGUGUCUCUCUGUAUUUUCGUAUUCCUGAAAGUAACCAAGGCAAAGUAGUUGAUGAAUCCAACAUUUUUACUGAAUUUACAACCCUAAUAGGUGAUCAAAAAUUCAAAAUACCAUUAGAGGAGCUAUAUCAAGACCAUAAAAGACCCUUGAUCUUUCACUCAGUUCUGUUCUAAGCCACUAACCACAAAAUUUAUCUUGUAUCUACGCAGGGAACAGUUGGUGGAUAUGGGUCAUUAUUGCAGGAGUGGUACUUGUGGUCCUGUUACUUAUGGGCUUCUUAUACUAUUUAAGGAGAAAAUCCAAAGGUAGUAUUUUAUUUUAACUUUUACUGAUGAUAAUAAUGCCAUUUGUUAAUGGGUUGGAUAAUUGAACUUGUGACUUCUGGUAUAACAGGGGAGAGAAAAAUGGAGGAAGCUAUGCUGCAUGAAUUGGCAACUUCAAAUAGCUUUAGUGAUUCAAAAGAUGUUGACCAUGAUGGAAAGAGGGCUCAUGAUCUCAAACUGUUCAGUUUUGAUUCUAUUGUGGUUGCCUCGAAUAACUUUUCAUCUGAAAAUAAACUUGGAGAGGGCGGAUUUGGCCCAGUUUAUAAGGUAAUUAUAAUUUCAUUAAGCCAUAGCAUGUAAUAGGAAUAGGGCAUUCUUUGUUUAAGUACCCCAAUUAAAGCUUCCUUGUGGAUUAUUUUUGCAGGGGAAAUUACCUGAGGGGCAAGAAAUAGCAGUGAAGAGACUUUCAAGGGGCUCCGGACAAGGUUUGGUGGAAUUCAAGAAUGAGAUUAGACUGAUUGCCAGACUCCAACACAUGAAUCUUGUUAGACUUUUGGGUUGUUGCAGCAAGGGAGAAGAAAAGAUGUUAAUCUAUGAGUUCAUGCCCAACAAAAGCUUGGACUUCUUCCUCUUUGGUUUGAUUACUUCCCUUUUUUCUUCCUGUUAUCUGCUUAACUUUUCCUUAUGUUCUUUAUCCUUUUUUGCUUGAAACAAUUUACUAGUCGUGCUGUGUUCACCCAAAUUUUCAGAUCCUGCUAGAAGAAAGAUAUUAGAUUGGAAAAGAUGUCACAAUAUCAUUGAGGGGAUUGCACAAGGACUUCUUUACUUGCAUAAAUAUUCAAGACUAAGAAUUAUUCAUAGAGAUCUAAAAGCAAGUAACAUCCUACUUGAUCAUGACUUGAACCCCAAAAUUUCUGAUUUUGGCAUGGCCAGAACUUUUGGGCGAAAUGCAUCAGAAGCAAAUACAAAUAGGAUUGUUGGAACAUAGUAAGCAUGACUCUUCCUUAUCUACUGCUUUCUUUUCCAAUCUAGUGAAUUGAACCUUCUACUAUGGAUGCAGUGGCUACAUGCCCCCUGAGUAUGCCAUGGAAGGAAUUUUCUCAGUGAAAUCAGAUGUUUAUAGCUUUGGGGUGCUACUGUUGGAGAUUGUGAGCGGCCGGAAGAACAAGAGCUUUUAUCAUAAUGACGGUGCCCUUACCAUAAACCUGGCAGGAUACGUAAGUCUGCUAAAUCUCAUAUUUGUGUCUACAUUAUUAUCAACAACACCCGGUGUAUCCUUCCAAAAUUCUCAAACUAACCUUGUAAGUAAAUCAACCCUAAAAUGAACUGGAAUCAGGCUUGGGAGCUAUGGAAAGAAGGUACUAGCUUGCAGCUAGUGGAUCCAAUGCUGGAGGAUUUCCACUCAUCAACCCAAAUGUUGAGAUGCAUUCAUAUUGCUCUCUUGUGUGUACAGGAGAGCGCAGCAGAUAGGCCUACAAUGUCAACUGUUAUCUCCAUGCUCACCAACGAAACUGUGCCCCUACCAAACCCAAAUCUGCCCGCAUUUUCCAUUCAUCAUACAGUGUUAGAGCUAGAUUCACACAAAGGCGGGCCACAGAGCUGUUCUGGAAGUGUAAACAUUUCAGAGAUGGAAGGUCGGUAAAGAAGAGAAUUUCAAGGGGGGAAAGGGAACCUAGAUAGCAGCAGUUUUUGUCCUAACCUAUUAGCAAUUUGUCUAGAUUGAUUCGUAUUGCCAUCAUAUAUGUAUUAGAUAUAGAAUCAACUAGGUUCCCUCAAGGUAAUCUUUUUUAAAACCUUUUUGAAUUUAUCAUAGCACGAUAGAAGCUGGUUUGGUAUAAUUUGAAACAUAGUUUGAAUCUAUAUUCUGCGGCUCAUUUAUGUUCGGUUAUUCAUUCUCAUUAUUUGGAAGGCAUGGGAUGGACUACGCCAUAUGUUGGCAUCAAACAGAUGAUCAAAGCUUUGUGCUACGUCAUACGCAAAGAAGAGUACUCCAGGCUGACCACCGAAGUAGAAAGUAGAGAUGAUGUAUGAGUGAUCCUCAUUCAAUUUGCACAUACACCACUGGUUAACCAAACUUCAUCCUCCAUGCUUCAGGUAAUCCAUAGCCAAGUUCUUCUCCCACCCGUUGCAGGAGACAUAGGUCUUCAAAUCGAAAUGUCCACCUCCUAAAGCGCAAGAUUUUACUGAGAAUCGUCCCUUUCUGGAGGCCUCAUCUACGCCAACUCAGAAAUUCAGAAAUUCAAAUCAUGAAAGGCUGAAAGCCCAUGAUAUGGGUUCCAACAUCCCCCGCCGGCCCCGCCCCACUCCCCCCUCCCCCCUCCUACAAAAUUUGCACACAUACAUAAAAGCUUAUAUAUUCAAGCGACACCUAUCCCCACAUCACCAUGAUGCCAAAGUUAACUCUUUGCCCAUUUCCAGCCACUCCUUACGCUCUUCCAUAGCCCUCUCCUGCAUGGUUUGAAGUAUUUGCUAAGACUGGCACCGCUCAGCCAAGUCUUAUUUGCCUUGACCAUGGCCAUGAUCAAUCCAAGAUAAAAUUUGAGAAUUUUACAGUUGAUAAUGACUAGGUUUCAAGUCCAAUACCAACUACUUAAUUCAACUAACUCCAACUCACAACUCUACAAUAGGAGUAAACAAAAUUUGAGAAUCUCUGCAUCUCCAAAAGUGAACCCAUCUAAAUUACAAACAAAAAUCCGAUUACAUGAAAAAGGCAUCAAACCUAAGCUUUUUAGAGUAAGGGAGGCAAGAAUCACAAACACGAAUACAAAAGGCAAACAACAUAAAAGGAUAGAAAAGUCAUGCAUAUUAAUCACUCUUGCAAUUCUAGCAAGUUUACGAUGUUAUGAUCCUCAUGUGUGGAUCAAGCGAACAAAUGAGAAAAUGGUACAUCAAAGGCACAUAAAGGAUAUAUCCAUUUACUAAUCUAUUAAAUAUCAAUUUUAUCCUCACCCUCAUGUUUGAAUUUCAACCUCUUAUCAUCCCAAUGAAAUUGCCAUUUUGUGAACCUACAUUUUUUAUUUAUGUUUCUGGUCAAAUAACAAAAUUUGGACUCUAUGAAAAAUUUAUUAUGAAAACUAAUUUUUUAUUCUUUUUUGAGGCUGCCAUUAAUUUUAUUUAUUUUUUAAACAAUAAAGAAAACAAAUUUUAAAAAAUAAAAAUAAAAAUAAAAUCUUGUAUGACUCCAUAGAGGAAAAGCUAGUCUAGAAAUGAGAAUGGAUAUGGGAUCAAGUUAUUUACUAGUUAGGUAUGGGGGCACUCAUCUAAGCUCUUAUAUUAUUUGGUCUCUAUUAGUGAGCUAAGAUAUGGCCUAAAAUUUGAUUUAGUUUACAUAAUCUUGCAAAAUUAGUUAUGAAAUGUUUAUGAUUUUAUUACCAUUAAUACAAAAAAUUUAUCACAAGAUACACAAAUUAAUUUGAUUAAAAAAAUCAUUUUAUGGUUUUAGUAAUUAAUAUAAAAAAUUAGCAUAUAAACCAAAAAAUAUAAUUUAAUUUAUUUCUUAAAAAAUUAAUAAAUAAAGUAUUUUUUUAUUUUAUUAAUGUCAAUUUAUAAAGAAUUAAUAUAUAAAAAAUUUUGUGCCACAUAACCUUAAAAAAUUAAUUUAUAAAAUAUUUUUCUCGUUUUAUUAAUAUACAAAAAGAAAUAAAAAAAUUCUAAUUUAUUUCACACAAUCUCACCAAAUUAAUUUCCAAAGUGAUUUCUUGAUUUAUUUUAUUUUAUUUUAUUAACAUUAAUGUAGAAGGAAAAAUUUUAAUUUUAGAUCCAUUAGAAAGAAAACCCUAAAAAGUGACUCCAUAAUUUUUGGAAAAUGUGUCUUUGAAAAAUCGGAGUCUAGGUCUGGGGAUCAGAUUACUUAUUGGGAAGGUACCUUUAGGAGGUAGCACCCCUCUAAGCCCUGUAAAGGUCUCUAUUGACUAAGUUGAGGGAAAUGUGAUAAUUAAUUGGUUAAUUAUAGAUACCUAGGUAGGCUAGGCAAUUUCAAAAAAUAGCAUGUCAAACAAGAAAACCAAUCACAAUUGCAAAGGAAGGUUAGGAUGCGUAUCUGGACUGCUCUCAAGCGCUAUCAUAAGACAUCAAAGUUAGUAUAAAAAUAUAGUACACAACAUGCAUUUUAUCCAAGCAAAUCUAACAUACAUCUAAGUACCCAAGGAUGGAAUCAGACAUGGAUAUGGCUCACAACAACAUGCAUGCAUGUUCAUAAAAUUCAGAAAAGCAAGUGAUAGAGAGCGUACCUAGAUAGUAUGCAUAAUUGAUAAGAUUCCUCCAAAAAUGUUAGAAUGGUUAGGACACGUAUAAAUUAUAUAACAUCUUUAUUAUAUCUAAUAUACAGUAUCAAAGCCAAAAUUGAGCCAAGGUAAGUCAAAUGACUCCAAAAGUAAAUAACCAACUCAAGUAGUGUACAAGAUCAUCAACAUGCCAUUAGAAAAGGGAGCAUAAAAAACAAUGUCUAAAAAAUGGCUUAGAGUGGAAUUUAAUUAUGAAAAAUUUCAGAAAAUAACUCCUACACAUCUAGAUCAAUAUACUGAAGGCCAAACUCUCAUUCAAAGGACAGAUUAUGGCAAAGGCACCUAAAGGUUCUAUAAAGUCCAGAUUAGAUAAGGAAAAAUGAUAUGCAUAAACGAAUUUCUAAAAAUAAUAAAUGAUCAUAUAAAAUCAUAAAAAUAAAAUAAAAAAUCACACACAUAUUUCAAAGUAUUUGUAUCACAUAAAAAAAAAAUUCAGGGUCAGAUAGUAUUCAAAAAUAUUUUUAAAACACUCAAGUUAAUUAGAUGUCCAAAAUCCAGCAUGCGCAGUAGGUAUGACUUUGAAAAAUCAUAUCUCUCUCAAAAAGGCAUAUUUUUUUUAAUAUUUUAUGUGUCUAAUAUCAAUUUCAAGAAGCCUAGAAUUGAGGGAAAAUAUUGAAUCAAAUUUAAAAAAGUCGUCUGGUAUUUUAUUUUUGCAAAAAGGUCUCCGAUGUCCAAAACUGGGUGAAAACGAAGUCCCACUAAAGACUCAUUCAUAUCUUCUAUUCCAUAAUUGCUUUCUAACUCAUACAGAAUCUUAAAUUCAAGUUCAAGAAGUGAGGAAAAUCAUACAAGUUUUGGAAAUUUUUUUAAAAAAUAUUCUAAAGUUGUAAAAAGGAAUUUUAAAACUAAAGGGUCAAUGGUUGAGUGAAAACUAGAAGCAAUGAAGAGUUUCGGAAAAAUUUUCUUAUGUAGGGGUUCCAUCAAGUCCCCAUUCAAUUUCCAUAAGUUUUAGUUGUGUGUCCCCAUUAGUUUGGGAGCACAAGUCCAAACUUAUGUGAAUAAAAAACCAAAUGUUUUAAAAACCAACAAGAAGAAAUGCAACUUAAAUGAAAUGAGUUGCAUAAUUUUAAUAGAAACUGUAUUCUUUGCCUAAAGCUAGAAUGAAUGUUUUUCUAAAACCUUUUAUUGGAGAUUUAAAUGCUUUUGAAAAUGACUUUAAGGGAAGUAAAAAAAAUGACCCAAUGAUUUGUUAAAUCUUAAUCAAUAGACACAAAAUAAAUAUUUUUGAUUUGUAACUUAAGGGGGAUUUGAAAAUAAGAGAAAAGCUAAAUUGGAGCCCCCCUUUUUGGCUACCUUUCAUUUGGGAUCAAGGGGCCAAACUUAUAAUGGCAAAAUUCAUUUUUGAAAAAAGAAAAUUUGACCAAACUCAAAAUGUCAAUUUGAUAAAAAAAAAAAAAAAUGAAUAAAUAAAAACCCUUUUCUAAAAGAAAGUUCAAACUCAAAAAUUCCUUAAAGUGCCUAUAAAAUAAGUAUAAAAAAUAAAGAUAACUAACAAUUCAAUCAAAUAUCAGGAAGCCAAUAUCAACAAUUAUGUUUUAAACUUUGGAAAAUAAGGAAUUAAAUAAGAAUCAAUCAAACUAAAUAAAAUUAUCAACUUGAACAUGCAAGGAUUUAACUAAAACUGAAAUUCUAAACACUAAAUAAUUAGCAAGGUAAAUCAAACUAGCAACUUAAUAACUUAGAGCAGGUCUAGAUUUUAACUAAAACUAAAAUUCUAAAUAACUUAAUAAUUAUGGAUUUUUAGCUAAAAUUAAAAUUAUAGACAAACUUAACAAUUGGCAAGAAUCAAUCUAACUAAUAAAUUAAUCCUAAAUCUUUGAGACUAAACAUUAACAUGAAAUAUUGGAAAUAACAACAAAAGAUAUUGAGAUCGUGAACUUAAAAAAAAAAUAUCAACGAAAGCUUGCUCAAAAAAAAUAUUAAGGUCAUACAUUGUCAUGAAGAUUGAAAAUUAACAACAAGAAAUACUAAAAUUUGAGAUAUCAAAUCAAUGACUGACUCUAGAAUGUGAAAAACCUAUACUACCAUAAUUCUAACUUAGUGAAAAUAAAAUAAAUUAAAGAAUCCAAACAAAAAUUAAACAAAUAUCAAGUUUUAUACAACUAUAAUGAUGAACCAAAACCAAAACGGAAACAAAGUUUCAAGCUUCUCCAAUCUAAAUUAAAGAAUCAAACUAAAACAAAAACAAAAAUAAACAUUUUCGAACUAAUAUGAGAAUCAAAACUAAAUCGAAACAAAGAUCAUAACUUUUUUUUUGUCUAAAACGAUGAAUUGAAACUUAAUUAACAAAAUUCCAAAUUUUCAAUUUUUAAAACCAAAACUUAAAACCUUUACUUACCUUCUCUUCUUGAAUCAAUCAGUCGCAGUGUCACUCACCUUCCUUUGCAUUUCCUUCACACUUUCAGGCCAAUUAAGAUCAUCUAAAUCUUCAAGAAGACGAUCAGCAUAUGCAGUGAUCUUGAGAAUUCACUGUCGCAUUGGCUUUCUUAUUACUGGAUGACCACCACGUUCACUUACACCAUCUACAACCUCCUCAUUUGCCAAGACAGUACCAAGAGCAGGGCACCAGUUGACUGGCACUUCAGCUUGAUACACUAAUCCUCUUUUUAGAAGUUGAAGAAGAUCCAUUGCAUCCAUUUAUAGUAUUCUGGUUCUAUCGUGGAAAUUUCUCGUUCCUAGUCAUAUGUGAAGCCCAAUUAUUUAAGCUGUGAACGGAAACGUGCAAUGUUCCUCUACGCUAGUCCCAACAUAAUUAGAUUCUCAUGGAUUCAAUCCUCCAUUUGACAUUCCAAUUUCGACGUCGUUACCGUCGUGUAAGGUAGGGAUCGAUGCCGAUGGAUUUGACGGUGGAAAUUCGAAAUCUGGUUCGGUGUGUAUCGGAUUCAGCCUUUCAGAUCGUGAUGGAUUGGUAUCAGUGGGUCCGAUUGCCUUGUGAUUGAAAUCAGACGGCUGAGGAUGACGAUCUGCGAUGAUUGAAAGCAUUCGAAAGGAGAGAAUCCGGAUGUAGGGGUUUUCCGCGAUGAGAUUCGGUGCUGUCAAUUUUCUUUUCUAGAUGCGUGCUUCGUCAAAGCUCUUCUCCAGUGCAGGUGCCAAUCUUCUUUGUGAUUCCAAAAUGAAUCCAGCAAUCUCACGUUCUCAAGAUCCCCCAUUGCCUCUUCGUAUGGCUGCUGCCAGCAAAGACGAGUGGUAAGGUUAACCAUCUCUUUCCACUGCAUUUCUAGGUUUUCUUCAUGCUUAUAAACUGACUCUACUGCCCAAGCAAAGUAUCCUCCUACCCGAAGCAUUCUGUUUACAUCAAGCAGCAAGAUUCCAUCAUCACAGGUCCAGUUGAUUCGACAUCUUGAACAAUGUAUCAAGUCAAAAGCCUGACUGAGAUAUAACAAACGACGAGUCACCAAAGCUACCACCAUUGCAGGCAGAUCGCGCUCAAGAGCAAACUGAAUCUGGUUCUCAUGAGCAUCUUUGGGAGCUAUGGAUAGAGUGAUGACAUUCCGUGAUAACAAAUAGGUACCCAAAACUGGUCACCCCACAUCCAACAUCCAAAACAACUCGAGUAUGCUUGCCAAACUCCAUGUCAGGCACUAUAUUUUGAAAUUUGAUCUCAGUAUUCAUCUACUCCAUGUGCUCAGAAUCCUCCUUUUCCAAAGUCCCUUCCUUCCUCUUUCAAUCGUGCGGUUGCACAUUUUUUUCCCUUUUUUUUUUCAAUGGUGCGACUGUACCUUUCUCACCACCCGAAUCCCAAACUUUCCUCCAGUCUGAAUGGUGCGGCUGCACCUGCUCCCACUCCUAGAAUGAUAUGGCUGCCAAUCUACUUCUCCAGAUUCAACAAGGUAAGUUCAUACUCCUCCUCACCAUCGCGGGGUGAAUAGCCGGUGAAUCUCAACAAAUAGUCGCGUAUGUGGGUUCCUAAAAUAGCCGCCUCAAUCCACUCUGAAACAUGGACUAAUUCCUCCCAAAACAGCAACCCUAAAUGCCCUUUCAAAACACAAACUGAUUCCUCCUCAAACAACAGCCCCAAAUGCCAUUUCAAAACACGGACUAAUCCCCUCAAACAACAACACCAAAUGCCCUUUCAAAACACGGACUCAUUCCUCCUCAAAUAGCAACCCCAAAUGCCCUUUCAAAACAUGGACUGAUCUCUCCAAAUAGCAGCCCCAAAUUUCCUUUCAAAACAAGAACUAAUCCCCCCAAACAGCAACCCCCAUAUGUCAUUUCAAAACACGGACUGAUUUCUUCCAAACAGUAGCCUCAAAUGCCCCUUCAAAACAUGGACUAAUUCCUCAAAACAACAGCCUCAAAAUCCCCUCUUAAACAUGGAUUGAUUUUCUCCAAACAACAGCGUCAAAAUGCUCUUUCAAAACAUGGGUUGAUCUCUCAAAUAACAGCCCCAAAAUGCUCUUUCAAAACAUCGACUGAUUCCUCAAAACAGCAACCUCAAAAUCCCCUCUGAAACAUGGAUUGGUUUUCUCCAAACAGUAGCCUCAAAUGCCCCUUCAAAACACAGACUGAUUCCUUAAAACAGCAGCCUCAAAAUGUUCUUUCAAAACAUGGACCGAUAUCUCAAACAGCAACCCAAAAAUGCUCUUUCAAAACACCGACUGAUCUCCCAAACAGUAGCCCCAAAAUGCUCUUUCAAAACACCGACUGAUCUCUCAAACAAAAACCCCAAAAUACUCUUUCAAAACAUGAACUGAUCUCUUUCCCCAAACAACAACCUCAAUCCCUUCUGAAACAUGGACAUUUUUUCUCUAAACAGCAGCCUCAAAAUGCCCCUUUAAAACACGGACUGAUUCCUCCCUCUUAAAAAUGACAGCCUAAUUUCUCCAAAAUAAACCUUCUGACCUCCUUCAAUCAUGCGUCUUCCUUCCUUUUCUUUUCUUUUCUUUCUUAAUCUUUUCUCCAUCCCCUUGUCAGCUUCUCCGUAGCCACGGUGAUGGAAAAAAAAUGGCAGAAAAAGGUUUCCUUCUACUCUUUCAAUCACCCUCCAUCCCCUCAAAUUUUCCUUUUUUUUUUCCCUUUGUCUUUCCUUUUCUCUCUUCCUCUCUCUCCAAUCCACCGGCUGCCUUCAUCUUUCCUCUUACUGGCGUUUUCUUUUUCUUUUAUGGAGCACAUGGGAUCCAUGCAAAACAAAUAAUAAAAACAAAGGAAAAGGAAAAUAAAAAUACCAAUAAAAAAAAACUAAGGGUUAGAAUAAUAAUAAUAAAAAAAAGUGUAACUAAGGAUUAAAAAUCCAAAAUAUGCAAUUUUAAAUGAAAUUAAAAAUAUAGACAAAGCUAAAAUGAAUUAUCAACUCAAGCAACUUUUUAUCAAAAUAAAUUAAUAAAUAGAUAAAUAAAAACAAAAUGAAUAUGAUUAUUAAGCUCAUGCAACUUCCUAAAAAUGAAUAAAACUAAUAAAUAGAGAAAGAUAAAAAAAAAAAAAACAAAAACAAAAUCAAGCACAUGCAAGCCAUAUGAGCUAUGCAACCAUGCAAACCAUGCAUCCAUCCAAAAAAUGAUCUAAAUUGGCCUAAGGUGCCUAAGUGAGCAUAGGGUGCCUAAGUGGGCCUAAGGUGGUGCCUAAUAGGGCAAAUGGGCCUAAAUGAGCUUAGGGUGCCUAAGUGGGCCUAGGGUGGUACCUAAUGGGCCAAGUGUGCCUAAUGGGCCUAAGGUGUACUUAAAUGAACCUAGGGUGAUGCCUAAUGAGCCAAAUGUGUCUAAAUGGGCAUAGAGUGCCUAAGUGGGCCUAGAGUGCCUAAGUGGGCCUAGGGUGGUGCCUAAUGGGCCAGGUGUGUCUAAAUGGGUAUAGGAUGCCUAAGUGGGCCUAAGGUGGUGCUUAAUGGGCCAAGUGUGUCUAAAUGGGCCUAGUGUGCCUAAGUGGGCUUAGGGUGAUACUUAAUAGGCCAGGUGCGUCUAAAUGGGCCUAGGAUACCUAAGUUAGCCUAGGGUGGUGCCUAAUGGGCUAGGUGCAUCUAAAUGGGCAUAGGGUGCCUAAGUGGGCCUAGGAUGGUGCCUAAUAGGUCAGGUGUGUCUAAAUGAGCCUAGGGUGCCUAAGUGAGCCGAAGGUGGUGCUUAAUGGGCCAAGUGUGUCAAAAUGGGCCUAGGAUGGUGCCUAAUGGGCUAGGUGUGUCUAAAUGGGCCUAAAGUGGUGCCUAAUGGGCCUAAGGUUCCUAAGUGGGUCUAAGGUGCCUAAUGGGCCUAAGGUGUACUUAAAUGAACUUAGGGUACCUAAGUGAGCCUAAUGUCAUGGACUUAGUUUUUUCCUAAGCUCGUGCGGCACUUAGACAAGCCAAGACCCCUGAUCUUGCUAAGUCAACCUUACUCUCAAUGCUUAGCUUGCUAGGCUAAGACGCUCACAACUCGGAAGCUUUAGAAGGCGUAGUAGGCAACUCUUAAAGAAUGGAAGUUGCUAUUACUCAAGGAAGCCUUUACAAGUGCUUUUGGGAAUUCACUUGCUUGGUUAGGAAGUGAUUUGGGUGGUACCUUGGCCAAAUGAGGCCCUCGCCUAUUUAUAGGCACCAAUAGAACUCUUUGGAACCUUGGAGGGUUCCUUACAAAUUAGGAAGAUUCUAGAAUACCCUACACAAUUCUAUGUACAACCUUAUGUACAAGAGAUCUCUAGAAUUCUCUAGAAAGCCUUGGACUCCUCUCAUGCCUUCCACCAUAGUGUAGAGAUGUGUGGACAUCUCUAGGCAUCUCUAGAACCUUCCACACUCUUUCCUCCAAUGGCUUAGUGUAGAUGGCUCCAAGAGCUUCCAGAAGCUUCCUGGGCUCUAUAUAAACCCAUGAGGAGGCUCAUUUGAAGCAUCCUGUGACACUAAGGUGCCUAAGUGGGCCUAGAGUGGUGCCUAAUGGGCCAAGUGUAUCUAAAUGGGCCUAAAGUGGUGCCUAAUGGGCUUAAGGUGCCUAAGUGGGCCUAAGAUAUGCCUAAUGGGCCAAGUGUAUCUAAGUGAGCCUAAAGUGGUGCCUAAUGGGCUUAAGGUGUACUUAAAUGAACCUAGGGUGCCUAAGUGAGCCUAAGUCUAAAUUAGGGCUGCCAAGAGUCACAAUGGGGUUAGAUAAAUCCCUCAACCAAAGUCCCCAAGGUGGCUUAGAAAAGAUAGGUUACAAGAGUAGUAAUGAGCCACAAGGGAAUUGCUAUAAAGUACCGAACAAAUACCUAGUAUGACAUGUGCUAAGAGGACAAAAUGGAGGGUCUACAGGUGUAUUUUAAAGAGACACCUUCUAGAAUUUCAAAAAAUUGGAUUUAUAUUGAAAGUAUCUCUUGAAAAGACACUUUCCACAAUUCCACAAAAUCUAAUAUAUACUAAAGGUGUCCCUUCAAGAGACAUCUUCCACAAUUUCACAAAUUUUAAUUCAUACUACAAAUGUCUCUUGAAUUUGAUUUUAUAUUAAAAAAAUUGGAUUUAUACUAAAGAUGUCUCUUCAAGAGACACUUUCCACAAUUCCAUAAAAUUCAAUAUAUAUUAAAAGUAUCUCUUCAAGAAACACCUUUCACAAUUUCACAAGUUUUAAUUUAUACUACAAGUGUCUCUUGGAUUUGAUUUUAUAUUGAAAGAGACACGUUCUACAAUUCCAAAAAAUUUGGAUUUUUACUAAAGAUGUCUCUUAAAUAAACAUUUUCCACAAUUUCACAAAUUCCAAUACAUACUGAAAGUGUCUUGAAUUUUAAUUUUCAUCUUCAACAAUUUAAAAAAUUUUAAUUUAUACUACAAGUGUUUCUUAAAUUUGAUUUUAUAUAGAAGGUGUCCUUUGAAAAAAAUACCUUUAGUAUAUAUUGGAUUUUGUGGAAUUGUAUAAGGUGCCUCUUUAAGAGACACCUUUAGUUUAAAUUCAAUUUUUUUUUUUAGAAUUGUAGAAAGGGUUUACCUUCAAUAUAAAAUCAAAAUUAAGAGACACUUGUAGUAUAAAUUAAAAUUUGUGAAAUUAUGGAAGGCGUAGAGUUUAGUAUAUAUUGGAUUUGUUUUUUUUGAAUGGUGGAAAUUGUCUUUUCAAGAGAAACCUUUUACUAUAAAUCCAAUUUUCUGGAAUUGUAGAAAGUGUCUCUUGAAAAGACACCUUUAGUUUAAAUUCAAUUCUUUUAAUUAUAUAUCGUAGAUUUAAAAAUUGUAGAAGAUAUCUCUUGAAGAGACACCUUCAAUAUAACAUCAAAUUCAAGAGAUAUAGAAAUAGGUUGCAUCAAAAAAGUUAAAAUAGGAUAUAGUUUUUUUUCCACCCCUCUCCCAUAUGUCCAAAAAUGCCACAAAAUUGGAAUUAUUUUCCAAUCUACGAUAUUUUAGAAAAUAAUUUUUAAAGGAAAAGUUGUGUUUUGGGCUUCCCAUCCCAACAUAAUAGCAUUUUAGAAACCUAACGAUGGGAAAUAUGAGAAUCAACUUUUAAUAUGAAAAGUAUAAUCAUUUUUGUGCACUCUAGGUCGACUCCACCUUUUAUGCCCAAAUUACCCCUUCGUUUCUCUAGCUCAGCAUCAUCCUAACAACCCAAAGAUUCUCUCAUUUUAGUUCAGAAACCCAACUCCAAAAUUCCAAGGCAGUGUCAAAACGCUGUUUCGGCUCAUCUAGGAGCCAUGGGAGUAAAACAGAAUAUAUGAAAAACGAAAUGAAGCUUGGGUGGAGAGAGUAGGUACCCAAAAAUCAAAACCCUAACCUCCAAAUGCAUCCUAGACUCACAAAUUCAUGUCCAAGAUAGCUUUAUCAUCAAGAAAUAGCACCAAACAUCUCUCGUAGACUACUAAAUCGGCAAAACCCUUGAAGAACCAGAGGAAAUAGUGCAUAAAAUGAAACGUGGGAGACUCUUAAAGUAUUGGGUCCCGACGAACCGGUCAACCGGUCUUCGAACCAAUCACCAUUGGUAUUUUAGUGACUGUACCUUAGGUACUACCUUGAUAGACUUUAGAUACUAGCUUAAUCUACUUUAGGUACUACCUUAACCGACCUUAGGUACUACCUUAGUUAAACCUGCAUUCUACCUAUGUGAAGGCUUAAAACUUCAUUUGUGGAUAUUAAUUAUUUGUGACCCUUAGAGCAUGCCAUUAUGUGAUUAAUCAAUGUGGUCAAUUGGUUCACCUUUGGUAUUUUGGUUAUUGUACCUUAGGUACUACCUUAAUAGCCCUUAGGUACUAUCUUAAUCGUCCUUAGGUACGACCUUAGUAAAACUUGGGUACUACCUAUUUGAAGCCUCGAAACUUCAUUUGUGGAUAUUGCUUACUUCAUUUGUGACCCUUAAAGCAUGCCAUUAUGUGAUUAAUUAGUAUGAUUAAUUAGCAUACCAUCAUAACAUGCUUUAAGGGUCACAAAUGAAUUAAGUAAUAUCCACAAAUGAAGUUCCAAGGCUUGAAAUAGGUAGUACCCAAGUUUUACUAAGAUAGUACCUAAGGUCGGUUAAAGUAGUAGAUAAGGUAAAUUAAGGUAGUACCUAAGGACUAUUAAGGUAGUACCGAAGGUAUAGUUAUCAAAAUAUCAAUGGUGAACCAAUUGACCACACUAAUUAAUCACAUAAUGGCAUGCUUUAAGGGUCACAAAUGAAGUAAGUAAUAUCCACAAAUGAAGUUUUGAGGCUUUAGAUAGGUAUUACCCAAGUUUUACUAAGGUAGUACCUAAAGUCGGUUAAGAUAGUACCUAAGGUAUAUCAAACUUGCACCUAAGGGCUAUUAAGGUAGUACCUAAGGUACAAUCACCAAAAUAUCAUAGGUAAUCGGUCAAGGACUGGUCGACCAAUUCGUCGAGACCCAAUACUUUAAGAGUCUCUCGCACUUCAUUUUCUGCACUAUUUUCUUUGGUUUUUCAAGGGAUUCAUUGAUUCAAUGGUCUAGGAGAGAUGUUUGGUGUUAUUUAUUACUAAUAGAGCUAUAUUGGACACGAAUUUGUGAGUAUAGGACUGAUUCAAUGGUCUAGGUUAGGUGUAGACCCCUCUUGGACCAAGGGGUAUUGCUGGCCACCCGGUAAGUUGAGGAUUUUAUUUGAGGAGUGGGAGACGACUUCCAUGAAGAAGCUGCUGAGAUGUGUGGCAAAAGAUGUGACCACCUUGCCAUGAUGGUGGUUGAAGCAGGUAAGAAAAGAAAACAGAGGAGUACCAUAAAGCUGGGUGAUGGGAGACUUUUUGGGGAGUGGUAGCUGGAGGAAAGGAGAAGCAGAGGUUUUGAGAGAAUGUGAGGAAAGAAGGGCUGGGAGAGAAAAACGGAGGAAGUUUUUUAGAUAGAGGUUUGGAAGGGGGUAUGAGAAAGGAAAACAGAGCAAGAGAGGUGGAAAGCAAAAACAGAGAGUUGGACUGAGACAAGGGGAUGAGCCGAGAAAGGAGCGAUCCAUGGGUGUUUCGUUUUAGGGAGACUGAGAGAGAGUGAGCUAGGUAGAAAAACAGGGUUGCAAAAACGUGGGGUGAUUGAUUGGUUUUGGGGGAAAAGGAAUAGCUAGAAACCAACAUUCCACACGUCCGGAGAGAAGUCUUCCAAGUAUGGAUUUUUUUGUUUCUAUUGUUCAGUUUGUUGGCCAUACUGCCUUUCUUUCUCUCUUUCUAUCGUCCUCUCUUUCUUCCAUUGCUUGCAUGCCCUCUUAUUGUUGGAGACCCAAAGUUAGCUUGAUGGUGCUCCAACAAAUCCACAUUUGACUAUGAUAAAAAGACUUUAGUUGUGCCAUUGUUUUUCUAUGUUGAGGUCCAGACUUACCAUGGUUUGAUGUGUGAGAAUUUAUGAAACUGUCUUGGGAACACUAGAGGAUCAUGUUGUCAUCUUUCUUGUCCACAAUGGACCCACGUGUUUAGGUUUUAAUAUGAAUGACAUCUGUGGAGUGGAUUGGGUGUAUGGAGGUGGUGAUCAUGGUGAUCCAGAUUUAGCACAAGCCAUUUCCCACUUGAAAUAGACCACCAAAUUCUCCACCCCCCUGGUUGUAUUUGGCCACAUGUAUAAAGAGCUAGCACAUGGAAAUGCCCACAGAAAAAUGAUUGUUGUUGGGGAAGACGACACCACAUACCUUUGGUGGGCCAUUCUUGAAGCACAUGCCUUUAUCUUGUUGUUUUUUUAUUAUUUAUCCUCACGCGUCAAAGUUUGAUUUUCACAAAUUCUCUUUUAAAUGAUUUUCAAAAUUCCAGUUUUUCAAAUAAUCUUAUUUCCAUUCCAAUUUGCAAAUUUAAUUUAAAGAAAAAAAAUUCAUUCUCAAAUAAUUUUUUAAAAUUCCAAUUUCCAAAUUUAAUUUUCAAAACUUCCAUUCUCAAAUAAUUUUUCAAAAUUCCAGUUUUUAAAUUUAAUUUUCAAAACUUUAAUCUUUGAAUAAUUUUUCGAAAUUCCAAUUUCCAAAUUUAAAUUUUAAAACUUUCAUUUUCAAAUAAUUUUUCAAAAUUACAUUUUCAAAACUCCAAUUUUCAAAACUUCAAUUUUUAAAUUUAAUUAUCAAAACUUCACUUUCCAAAUAAUUUUCCAAAUUUCCAAUUUUCAAAAUUCCAAUUUUCAAAUUUAAUUUUCAAAACUCCAAUUUCAAUUAAUUUUUUAAAAAAACUCCAAUUUUCAAAACUUCAAUUUUCAAAAUUACUAUUUUCAAAUAAUUUUCAAAACUCUAGUUUUCUUUCAAUAAUUUUAAUUCCACUCCAAUUUUCAAAUAUUUUUAAUUCUACAACUUUUCAUCAUUUAUUAAGGUUUUGGGUAAAAAAAAAUCUCAUUUUUAAUAAACUUGCUACAUUUCCCUUCAGUUAAGCACUUUCACAAAUUUUCUUUGAUUUUCAAAUAAUCUUUUGUUUCUUUUGAUUUUAAAUAAGCAUGAAUAUGAUUUUCAUAAUUCCAAAACAAUGGAAUUUGUGGGAUUAAUUCAUGCAAAAUCAAUUGGGUUUUGGUGGGGGCCCUACAUAUGAGUUUUCUCUUCUGAUUGUCAAUUGUUAUGCUUAAUGAAUAUUAUUUGAUCUUUGUCUUGCUCUUUGAUAUGCAUGUGAUAAUUUUAUACUUGAGCUAACCUUGUUCCAUGAUAGCGCACUAUUACUUGUUGUUAAGGUACACUCUCACUCUCACUUUGUUUAUUUAUUCGUUAUCAUGACUUACUUCUAAUCUAUGAUCAUUUUGGCAUCCAUUGAUUUCCUAAUUAAGUUCCACACUUGCUUCGCCUUAUUUAGUAGAGACCCGUUUUUAGGGACUUAGAGGGGUGCUAUGGUCUUUUAUCGUACGUUCCCUAUAGGUAACUUUGGUUUUUCACAGACUUGUUUUUCCUUCAGGAGUCACACUUAAGGUUUUUCUUUCUCAUUUUGUUUUUCCCUUUAAAAAAUAAAAACAUAAAUAAGUGACGACUCCAAAUCUUUUCUAAAAAUCAUAAUUUUUCACAAAUAAAUGAAAAGUGAGUGUCGCUAUCGAGUGGGAAUGCAUCAUGUGAAAUGUGGGGUCCACAUUAGGGUUUUGAUUUUUUUGGUACCUACUCUCUCUACCCAAGCUCCAUUUCAUUUUUCUCAUAUUCUCUUGGACUCCCAUGGCUCCUAGACGAGCCAAAAGGCGUGUUUUGACACCUCCUUGGAGUUUUGGAUUUGGAUUUCUGAACUAAAAUUAGAGAAAUUUUGGGUGGGUGAAUGUGCCUACAAUGUCAUGGAUUAGGAUAAAUUUGGGUAGGCUAUGCUUGAUUCCCGGAAAGUUUAAGGAAAAAUACAAGGGAAAGAAAAUAGAAAGCAAAAGUAGAAGGAAAGAAAAAGUGAAAUAAAAUCAAUAAAUUAUUUUUAUAUCCUACCUCAAAUUCAAUCCACUUAUUUAUCUUCUUCAUAUAAAGAUUAAAUAAUUUAAAAAUAUAAAAAUUUCUUACUUAUUUUAAUUAUAUUUGACUUUCUUUAUUAUUUUCCAUACUAAAACCAAACAUAGAAAAAUUAUUUUUUUCUUUGCAUUUAUUUUCUUUUCUUAGUACUUCCCAGGAACCCAACAUAGCCUUAGUAUUAUGCAUAUAUUCUUACACAAACAACCGGCUGUUUGAGAUAACUUAUUUUAAAAAAUUUCUAAGAGAUGAAGUCAAAUCAAAAUUUUAAAGGAUUAUAAAAUUUUUAUUAAAUAUAAAGCUACUUCCAUGAAUAAAAAGAAAAAAAAUUAUGAGAAGUAGCUUCAAUUUCUUUCUUUUAUUUUUGUUUUGUUAAGCUUUUUUAAUUUUAAAGUUACCAAUAAAUACAAUGUUUAAUGUAGUGUGAAAAUAAUAACUUCAUGUAUUAAGGCCACUUUUAAUAUAUGAAAUUCUACAAUAGGAAUAGGAAUGUAAGUGUGAUUUACUAGUGGUCCUAAUCGUGUGUGUGCAGGGGCGGAGCCACCUUGUGCCCAGAAAGGGCUUUGGAAAGAAAGAACUUUACGAGUGCCUACAGCGAGGGUGGAGCUUGUCUUCAGCGAGGGUGGGGUAGGCGGUCAGCAUAAGAGCCGGCGCUUGCCUUCAAAAAUGUGGGUAGGCGGUCCAGUUAACAGCUGGAGCUUGUCUUCAAUAAGGGUGGGGUGGAUUCCGUCGAGGCUUUUGCAGAUGUAAAACUACAAGACCUUAAAACCUGUAUAACACUGAUCAAAGUAUUGAAGGCAAGCUUGUUUUGUGCCUAAGAAAAAGCAUGGCGUCCUCUCUGUCCUGUCCAGGCAACUCCUUGACCCAGUCAAAAACCCUCUAUGCAAAUCAAAAGGUUAUGUUCAUAUACAGAGAGAAAGAAAGGGAAACAAAAACGAAGCCUGUUGAACGUCCUUCCACCCGGUCACCUUAUACAAAGAACAUUGCCCACGUGGUCACAUGAGUAGGUGAACGAUGGAUCCAUACAAAGGCAUAUAGAAAAUGAAACUUGGAUUCAAACAAGUCUUUUGAGUUACAACUAAUAUAUGGAAAAGAAUUGAUUUAGUAUUUAUCAACUUUACAAUUAAUUUGUAAAACAAAUUAUGUCAUUAUCAAUAUGAAUUUAUAAAAGAUUAAUAUAUCAAAUAAAAAUAAAAUGAAUAAAUAAAAUUUCAAUUCAGUAUUUAAUAGUUUACAAUUAAAAUUCAAAGUGAACUAUUUAAAAUUCAAAUUCCUCUCUCAUUUUUAAAUUGAACUAUAAAUGUACAUUGAAAAGUUUAAAAAUUAAAAUUUAAAAUUAAAUAAAUAAAUAGAAGUAAAAUAAAAAUAAAAACAGAAAUAAAUAUACAUAUUUCGGCUAAGAGUGAGUGGACCUACUCUGUAUCCGAGGAAAAAUAAAUGGGCUUAAAAUUGGCUCAAAGUGAAUGGUCAAGAAUGAAUGUGCCUAUGAUGUCAUGGGUUAGGAUAAAUUUGGGUUCCAUAGAGUAUAUUUGCUUCCCCAAAGUUUGGGGGAAAAUGCGAGGCCAAAAAAUGAAAGAAGAAAAAUGAAAGAAAAAUAAAUAAAGUAAAAAAUAUAUAUUUAAAAUUAAUAAAUUAUUUUUAUAUCUUACCUCAAAUUCAAUUCAUUUAUAUGUCUUUUAUAUAAAUAUUAAAUAAUUUAAAAAUAUAGAAAUUUCUUACUAAUUUUUAUUACAUUUGACUUUUUUAUUAUUAACCAAGCAUUAAAAAAUAAGAAAAAAAUAUAAAAUCAUUUUUUUAAUAUUAUUUUUCUUUUCUUAGUGUUUUUGGAACCACACAUAGUUUUAGUAUAAUGCAUAUAUUCUUACAUAAACGGUUAUCUUAUUUUAAAAUUUUGUCAAUGUCAAAAUUUUAAAGGGCAAUAGCCUUUUACCAAGUUGAGCUGCAACACCCAACACCGGAGGGGGGGCAUUCUAAGUGUGAGGGGGUUACCUUACCGAGGUCGGCAUUGUAAGAUUCAGUACACUUGACGAGUCACCACUGCCGACACGAAAAGUCCACCCUCUGGUAAUGCUCAAUUUUUAGGAAACUCAGGUAAGUAAAUCUUAAAUCAUGUACUCAUCCUUUGGUGGUUUCUCCUCUUACUUGCGAAUGGGUCAGGGGUUGGGUUUUUUCUUCUUUAUCUUGUCAUGUGUCUGUUUGGGAGGGCCUUGCUUUUGUAGUGCACACACAGACAGCAUCAAACCUGGGGAAGGGCUUCAAUUCUCGAAGCUACUGGUUUCGGCACAAGGGACUUUCACACUGGGGUUCUUUAUCUUGGACACCCGCAGUUAUUUAGGAAUCUGGUACACAAGUGAUGUUAACAACAAGAAAGUUUGGGUUGCUAACAGAGACAACCCUAUAUCUGGCACCAAUGCAAAUCUCAUGCUGGAUGGCAAUGGAACAUUGAUGAUCAUUCACAGUGGGGGUGAUCCAAUUGUCUUGAAUUCCAAUCAAGCAUCCAGAAACUCCAUAGCUACCUUGCUUGAUUCUGGAAAUUUUGUUGUGUCAGCGUUAAAUUCAGAUGGAUCUGUGAAGCAGACACUAUGGGAAAGUUUCGAUGAUCCUACAGACACGCUCCUGCCUGGGAUGAAACUAGGCAUCAACUUGAAAACCGGGCAAAACUGGUCACUUGCUUCGUGGAUAAACGAACAAGUGCCUGAUCCUGGGACUUUCACUCUAGAAUGGAAUGGCACACAAUUGGUAAUAAAACGCCGAGGGGACAUCUACUGGAGCAGUGGAAUUCUGAAAGAUCGGAGUUUUGAGUUCAUUCAAACUCACCAUAACAUCUACUAUUUCAUCAGUGUUUGUAAUGACAACGAGAUCUACUUCAGCUAUUCAGUUCAAGACGGAGCUAUUUCAAAGUGGGUAUUGAACUGGAGAGGGGGAUUUUUUGACACUUACGGAACUCUAUUCGUGAAGGAAGAUAUGUGUGAUCCUUAUGACAAAUAUCCAGGGUGUGCAGUGCAAGAGCCACCCACUUGCAGGACUACAGACUUCCAAUUCAUGAAGCAAUCGGUUCUCAAUUCAGGAUAUCCAUCAUUAAUGAACAUAGAUACGAGCUUGGGCCUUAGUGAUUGUCAGGCUAUAUGCAGG